CAGUCAAUUCUUUGAUUUGCUUGAGGCUUUCAAGUGUGGAACUUGUGAAGAUAUAUUCCAAUACUUCACAGUCAUAGAUUUUUAAUAUCGUCAGGUUGGGCAAUUGAAGCAGAGUCAUAUUGGCCGACCUUGGGAGGGUGAUUGCAGUACAAGUAUCAUCACUUCCAUCACCAACAUUCGUAGUACUAUCAACACCAUCUUUGUUUAUUUCUUUACUUUCAAAUAUCUCCACCAUUGACUUACAUUCUUCUAUUCUCAACACUUCAAGCUUAUUCAGUUGUCCCACUACAUUGGAUGGAAACACUCUUGAUAGGGCAGGGCAAUUUCUUAUAUCAAUCUUUUUGGAGUAUUGGCAUAAGAACCAAGAAGCAACACCGACUUGACAACACUACAACAACACAUGAAAAAUCAAUGGAUCUAUUUGUUAAGUAACAAUGUAAGUUGAACUACAAAAGGGCAAUAUACAGAAAAAUCACUAUAUUUCGGCCAAUUUUUUGCAGUUUAACAACUCCAUUUCAGUUUUAUCUCAUCAAACCUACCCAAGUUUGAAAUUUCUUUCUAUAUCGACAAAUUUUACCUACUAUAGCAGGUUAAAGUGGUCAUAAUUGAAAAGGUUGUCAAUGUUUAGUCCACUUAACUUCACUAAAGCCCCUCAACUUUGACAAAAUUUUCUAUUGUGACCACUUUAACCUGCUAUAGCAGGUCAAAGUGGUCGGCACAGAAUAUUUCUCCAAACUUGGGUGGAUUUCAUGAGGCAAGCAGAAGUAGAGUGUCAUGAUUUAUGAAGAGAAAAUAAAUGGUGACAGACAGAAUCAACGAUGUGAAGCGAGUGGAAAGAUCAUAAGAAGCAUACUUCUGAAAGACACAGAAUCAGCAUAAAGAUAGAAGACCACCUAGGCCACAAAAUCUGGGCCUACAUUUAAAGGAUUCAAAUGGUUUACAAGACAAAGUUCAUGAUGGAUUUUAUGGUGAAAAUUUGAAUUAAGAGAAAUCAGACCGUGGUGUUUGGACUCCACUCCAUUAAGCAAGACGGUUUGUCAAAUGACCAAAAUACCCUUGUUAUAUGUAUAACCAAAUAACUAAAAACAAGAAAACAGUUGUAUGCCAUGCUUUAUAUUGUUGGCAAGAGAGAACAAGUAGAUGGUGGAUGAAAGAAAAGGCAUACUAAAUCAAUCAUAAAAGUGGCCUUAAUUAUAUAGGCUUACAGGAGAUUUUGAACAGCUACAAAAAAGAAAAUAGAAACAAGAAAAAACAAAACUGCCAGGGUGCUAAUUAACACAAUUAAUUAGCAUUUAUCCAAAUUAAAACUUGAAAAUGAACAGACUUUGAUUAGCAAUUAAUCAACAUAUAUAUUUCAGGCGUGUCUGCAGGAACACGUGUAUAAACACAUACAAGCAUGAUAAAAACCGUAAAAUAUACAAAAUAUUGUAACUCUGAACUUUACGUGUCUGUAUUGAAGAAUGGAUAAAUGCAAGAAAUAGCAACACAUUUCCAUUUAUUAUUUUAUUAAAGCAUCCUACUUUCAUUUCUUUCUAUUGCAGAAAUAGAAAUCCUUUGUAUUUGGAUGACAUUGCUAGAAUUGGGUGGGUUUCUGAAAGUACAAUGCUUUAAUAGGAAAAAAUGAAAGUAGGAUGCUCUUAAUUAUAAGCAAAUAAAUGAGAGUAAAUUGCUAUUUCUAUCAUUUUAGCCUUUAAUAAAUGACACAAGACCACCAUAUUGGUGCUAUAAUUGGUAUAUUAUUCAAAAACAAAAUGCAUCAACAAAAAAGACAUCAAUAAAAUCAUUUUGUUCUAUUUUUCAAAUUACCUAAUAAAAAAUCAAGAAUAAUGUUGAUAUGACUUAUAUGCAUCUAUCAAUUAAUUUUUUUUCUCUCCCUCACAAUCCGGUUUGAGUCCACCAUCCAUUUUAGUUAAUUUAACUAAAUUAAACUGGAUACAAAAGAUCUUAAAUGAUUUAUAACCAUGCUUAUCAUAAAUAACUUUGUGACCUAUGCAACCGAAUAAACUUCAAAAUAAAAAAAAUAAAUAAAAUUAGGUAUGUAGUUAUUUAUUUUGUGUUUCUAGCUUCAGAUGAAUUAGCUUAGGGAGUUAUAUAAAGCAGCUAAUGGAGAAUAGAAUAUUAAAAAUAAAUAUAUAUAAAUAAAACAAAUAACUGAAUGUGUAAAGGAUCCACUAGUUAAGAGAAAUGAUACCUUGAACUGAUCAUGGAUGGAAGUAUUGUGAUCCUNAGUUGUGAUCCUAGUACCGCCAUCGAUACUCUUUAGGCUUGGCAGAUCUUCAAGGUAGAGUUGUUCAAGAAGAGGGAAGGAGGAGAAGGUGUUUGUGUGAGUAGAAGAUAUUAUUUCUUCAUUUUCAUCAUUAAUAUCUCUAUUUGAAACAACUUCUUCAAUACCAUCACAAUCAUAUAUCCAGACACACUUUAAAUUGGGAAGAAGUUUGCCCAUGACAGGUGAAAAUAAGUACUUUAUGCUAUGACACUUUUCCAUGUAUAUGGUUGUGAGGUUGUGGAAUGAGUAGGAUUGUGAUUGGUUUUGAGGAAUUACAAGUUUCUUCCAAUUGAACUUCCACACAUCACUCAUCCUCUCCAUAUCUUCUAAAUGUAAUUCCUUGAGGUGGGGAAGUAGUAGUGGUGGUGGUUGAUGAUUAUAUUUAUGCAGAGUUGUUGUGAAAUCUGUGUUGUUACCGGAACUCUCUAUCUCAAACACCACUUCAACAUCCUUACAGUCCCUUACAUCAAGUCUUUGAAGGUGAUUAACGUGAAAAGGUUUGGGAUGAAUUGAGGAUUCAACAUCAGGAAUAUUACCAUACACCUCUGAAAUGAUCUCUUCCUUGGAUAUAACAUUAAUCUGCACAUAUCUCAACAACAAAUAUAAUUACAAAUCUCCUACAAAUAAAUAUGAAAAAUACACGCACUUACACAAAUACAUAAAAAUGAUAUUUUUCACAAGAAAUUACAAAAUUGGUACCUGUGUUUAUCUCUUCUCUUUUUUUUGGUUUGUCCAUUAAAUUGUUUAGGAAUUUUGGUCCCCAUUAACUUGCUUAUAAAUAUGCAAAUAAUAAUAUGAAGGUUAAAACAGAUCCACACUUAGCAAUGUGGGAAAUAUAGACGACUUCUCCAAACAUAAAAGUGUAGUAGUGGCAUAGGUAAUUUGUCCAUGUUUUUAAAUUUGGAGUUUUAACUUUUUCUUUAUCACAUACUGAAGUGUAAAGAUUUAGAAAUAAUUUGUCAGGAUACAUCUCUUCACGCAAAUUAAUAAUCUUAUUGCACUUUAAAGUGUUAACACAUCCAAAGAAUUGUGUAGAAUUGUAGUGUGAUAUGUAUAUACGUGUAUGUACGUACAGAGACACAUAUACAUAAGUGCUCUAGCAUCAAAAUAGAAAUAAAAAUAGAAAGCUCAAUGAUAUCACAUACCUCUUGGUUGUUCUGAACCAAUUCAAUGUUUCCCCUGGUUUCUUCCCAAGUUCUCCUACCAUCUAUACUCACUUUCAUAACUGUUCUCACAUCAGAAUUGGUCACGGUCGGUGUGAAUACGUUUACAAACCUCUCACACCCAAAUAUAUAUAUCCUUUCAACAGCUUGAAAGCAACGGAUGAGGAUAUCAGAGCUACUUUCACCUUUCAUCCUCCACAACUCUCUUAGCUUCUCCAAUUUAGAUACUUUAAUUUCUCUCAAGCUGCUACUGUAUUCUUCAGUUUCACCAACACAACUCAUGUCAAUGUUAAAUAACAAUUCAAUGCUUUCACAUUCUCUAACAUCAAGCUCUUCCAGACGACCCAACAAAGACAUGGGAUUGGUUGGAAACAGAUUCACAAGAUUAUCACAUCUGCCCACUUCAAUCUUUCUCAACAUGCAGGCAUCAACGUCUUUGCUACUUAUAAAUUGAUAAGGCCAUAUCUCUUUCAGCUUAUCCAUCCUCCAAAUCCUCAAUUUCUCCAACUUAGGAAUCAGCAUCUGCACAAUAAUUAAGACAUGUUGAUAAUCAGUAGUGAAAUCAAACUUAAAAUAGUUUGUUUGGGGGAUCACAAAUUCACAAUCUAAUCAAUACAGAUUUUCAUUACAAAGAAAAUCUAUAAAACUGUCAACAUAAAUCCUAAUAUAGAGGUACCUGUUUGUUAAAGAAUGGUUGAAUUGCAGAAGCAUUACUGGACAUAGAAGAUGUUGCAGAUGUUUUCUCUGGAUAAAUGCUACUGAAAUUAGGAAGGCCAUCAAGUUCCAACUCCACCAGCUGUGGUAGCUCAAUUACAUUAGCAUUGUUGCAAAGACCUAUCAACUUUGGUAGCCUAUCCAAUCUUAGAAACUUUAGCCUCUGAAACUUAAUUGCCCCAUCUCCACCAUUCUCACUAUGUGCAAGUACUUCCAGAGCAGGGCACUUUGAAACUGUGAGCCGCUCAAGCUUCAUCAAACCAUUUGCAAUAGGGACUGUGAAGAGGUAUCUUAAGUUUUCACAGUUGAAAACAUCAAGGACUCUUAGAUUAUUAAACGCCUGUCGAGGAAGAUGAACUGAUUCCACUAAAACUUCUUCAAGAUCGUUGAUACCAUCCACCUCCAAAUAAAGCACCUCGGUUUUCUCAAACAACUCAUUCAUUCCAGAUUCCAACAGCUCAUCUUUGUUAGUGACCAACCUCAAUGUGUUUUCAAAUAAGUGCAUAUUUUUGUGAGUAUUGCCUACUAAACCACAUCCCAUAGAGAUCCUGAACCUUUUAAGUUUAGUAAACAGCAUAUUCUCGGGUGUACCGUUGUUGUCAAAGAACUCAAGUUCUAAUGCAGAAAGGUGCUUUGAAAGCUCUGCUAAUUCAGCACGAUUUCCAUUUGUGAACCUGAUUGCCUUUCUAUCAUCAACUCUCAUAUAAAGCUCUUCAAGCUCGACCAAAUUUAUCAAGACACCAUCAUCAAUACGAAGAUUAAGACACCCUGUCAAAUCCAGUAGCUUUAGCUUCUUCAACUUUCCGAUUGUGGAUGGUAACUUUCUGAUACCACAAUGAGCAAAACUGAGCACUUCCAAAUUCAAUAGUUCACCAAUUACAGAGCAAUCAAACAUCAAUAGGCACUGAUGGAGAAUGAGUGUUCGUAGCUUGGUGGAGCAUUCAAGUGAUCUGGGAAGCAACGGAUACUGCAUUUUUUCAUAUGCUACAACUUCAAGAUUUUCCAUUCUUUUAUAAAAAUCUUCAGGGAACUUAAGCGACUUAUCUCCAUCCAUAAGUCUCAAAAGUGAAAGGUUUGGGUAUUUAAAGUCACCAGCAAACUCAGACAUUCCUGUGCAAGUAAUAGAAACUCUUUUGCAAGAAUCUUUCACUUCAGCUCUACUCCACUUUGAAAUAUCACCAUGGUUGAUCAUCCAUGGAUGGUCACCUUUAGAAACUCUACUUAACACAAAAGCAAGCACAAGAUCAUGCAUUUUGACACACCCAAUAUAAUCGCUAUCCAUCAACAAAUUUGCAUUUCUAAGAUUCUGCACACACGUUUUUGUCCUGUCUCUAGCCUCUCCCAAAGUAGAAACUUCACUUAACAAACGUAGGCCCCAUGCAUAUCUUGUGAGUUCCUCAAUUGGAAUAUUAAAGUCAUCAGGAAACAAGCCACACAAAAGAAAAAUCACCUUUUCCUCCUCUGUUUUUAUAUAGUCAUAGCUUAUCUUGAUAACUUCUUGCACAUUCUCAUCAAGAUUCUUCUUCUUCAACCUUUGAAAAGUAUCUCUCCAUAAAAAAACUUCCUGAAAUUGAAGGGUCUUGGCGAUGAGUUUAAUGGCAAGGGGCAAAAAACCACAUCUUCUCACAAUUUCACUUCCUAUUUGAUUGAGCUCAUAUCAUGUUNACUUCCUAUUUGAUUGAGCUCCAUAUCAUGUUGUUUUGAAACUCCUGUGAUUUUCCAAAAGAAAUUUUGUGCUUCGGGCUCCUCCAUCACAUCCACUCGAACUAGUGUCGAAUCCGAAUUAGCUUCUACUGCAAUUUGUUUGUAAAUAUUUUCAUUUCGUGAUGUCAACAACAACUUGAAGCCGUUGGGCAAAGGACUCAAUCCAAUAUCUUUGAGUUCAAUCGUUUCCCAUACAUCAUCUAGUAUUAGUAAAACCCUUCUUCUACCUUCGGGAAGGUUUCCAAAUGUUAUACGAAGACGAUCCGCUCUUGCUUCUUUACUCGGUUCAGUGAGCGAUUGGCCCAUCAUGUACACUGCCACAUCUUGCUGAAUUUUAGACAUGUUAAUUUGUUGCCCAAUAACCACCUUCACAACAUAAUCAAACAUUUUCUUAUCUUCUGCAGCCUUUUUCAGUUGCUCCAUCAUGGUGGUUUUCCCCACACCACCCAUUCCACAUAGGGCUAUCACUUUGCUCUUGUGAUCUUGUUGGAGGGACUCCAAGGCGUUCUUAAAAGACUUCUCUCUUGAUUUGAAGUGAUUUUGGGCAUCACCAUCCGAAGGAACAUGACUGGAUGCGAUUUUCGAGUUCACUUUCCCAAGAGGUCUUUGAGUAUCACUCCAAGUUAUCUUACUAUUUUCAUCGAUAAGACGUUCCAUCUCCUGCGUGAUCUUGAAUGCAUUCCUUCCAGCUCGAUACCUCAUUUUCAAGUUACAACAUCCGCUCCCAGUACUUGGAAUGCUUUGAGCUUUUUCUUUAGUCUCUUCAACUUCUUCCAACCACCCCGGUACAUGAGUAGGUGUCUCUAGAUUACUUAUAUUGUUUGUUUCCAUGUGUUUUUUGACAUCACAGCUUGUAUCAUCCAGUAGCUUUAUUUUGGUAUUCAUAUUCCUAACAUGUUUCGUGGACGAAAAGAGAUAUCCCAGUUGUUUCUUGACCGGAUCAAUUAAAGAUUCAACAAUAGGACUAAUUAUUGCAGAUAUAACCUCCAUUUUCCAAUAUUCUAGCUUUUUAGCGACACCUGCAAAGCAUGUGUAACAAAUCAUAAAAGGGGAUGAAAUUGUUAAAAGUUGUCAAUUAGCUUACUUUUUUGUCCGUUCAUAUUUUCAUUAAUAAUUUGCAGAACUAUCUUUUUUAAAAUAUCAUCUACAAGCCAUAAGUAACUAGUAAUCAAAGUUUUUCCUUCAAGAUGUAGAUACAAACUCCAUUUUAUUGUGUAUUAGAUGAUUUUGGCUUUGGAGUCGCCGAUAAAGGCAUGAUUUUAUUUAACAUAAAAAAGUGCUAUGUCAAUGAGGAUGGCACAGUUCAACUCACACUUUUUAGUUCAUAAGUUCUUCUGGUUAUCCAAAUGAGUAAAGUUUAAAAAAACAGAGCCAAAAUUUAAAACAUGUCAAGUGGCUUAAAAGUCACCUGCCCAAAGUGUAUUCAAAUGCAUCCAACGUUUAGAAUCAAAAAAUUAGAUUAUAAGUGAAAACACAAGCAAUAGCAACAUACUUCCAUUUCCUUGUGUAUCAUUUCUUCCUAUUAGAGUAUUUUAGUUUCAAUUUUUUUCUUAUUAAUCCAUUUCACUUUAAAAAUUCUACCCAGUUAUAACAUUGUACUUGCAGAUUUUUUUAUUAGAACAUUAUAGCAUUGCUAUAAUUGGGUCGGUUUUUCAAAGUAGAAUGCUGUAAUAAGAAGUUGAAAACUCUACCCAAAUAUAUUUAUAGCAGCGAAAAUUGCUUUGCAGUUUGUAUAUAGAUGACAUUUCUAUAAUAAAGGGAUUUUGUAAUCAUAUUCAACACAUCAAUCAUUUAUAAAGUUAGAAAAACGAACAAAAAAAAAACAUUUCCAAGUAAAAACACAAGCCAUGACACAAUUCCUAACUCCCAGAAUAUAAAUCAGCAAAAUGACCAAUAUACCCUCAAUAAUUAUACAUCAGAUAUGAAUCCGUAAGGUAAAUUUUCUAUAUUUUGACUAUGUAAUUUCAUUUUUACUGUACAUGUAAGAUAUGUAAUCAAAAGGAUCUGUUUCACAGCUUGAUCCUUGUGCCCAACUUAACAGCAGAGUAUAAACAGAGAGUUAAGAAAGAACAGGAACAGGGGAAUUGACAACUACUUAGAGCCUCCAAAGUAUAUUGUUGGAAGAAAACUGAGUUCUGAAUGAAUUAUACGCCUUAUUUAUGCUAAGACCAAAAAGAGUUUGACCCAAACACAAAUACCGGAAAGAAAACUAAUACUUAAAAAAACAUUCCGAAAAUACCCCUUGUCCUAAUUUUACUGAAUUAACCCAAAAAGAUACAAAUAUUCUAACUUAGGGGUGUUGUUUGGGUUUUCUUUUUUAGGUUUCAGGGUUUAAAAUUGCCCACACCAAAUUACAAAUAAAAAUUAAUAAAAUAAAAUAUCUGAUAAUAAGUUUAUACUAAUUGUUACUGGUAUUAAAAAAUGUUACGAGAGAAUCUUUUUUUUUUUUGUUUUUCUUCAAUAUAGUUUAAACUCCCCAAAUAUGGCUGUAAUUGGGAUUUGUCUUUGUUCCCAACAACAGCCAUUUGUCAUGGUUGAGACCCUCACCUACCACAAAACUUAUUGAACCAAGUGAUCUGAUUCCUUUUGUUUUUUAGUGUGUGUGUGUGUGUGUGUGUUCAGUUGGAGUUCGGACAGACUGAAUAAGUGACUUUUAAGGUGUACAAUCCAGAACCAGGUGAGAGUAGUUCAUUCAAAAUAUCUACUUUUUCUAAGCAUACGACUACCCUGCAUCUAGUCUAGGAAAAAUAUAAAUAGGAAAGUGAAAGAACAUUGUUGAUCGUUGACUUUAACAUCGAUCUCUAGCUGAUCUAUUAGGGCUAGAUCUGAUUUCCAUUGGGAUGGACCCAUCAUUAGAUAAUCAUUCCUCCAUAACGAACGUUGUUAAAUAUUCAAACCAGUCAGACUGAAAACGGAAUGUCGAUUCAUUACAACAUUUCAGUUGAUUUUAACUAAACAGCAUACACCCACAAUCAGCAGCAAAGCAAACGUGAUUUCCAGAUCCAUAGAUUUAAAAAGAAAAACAACAAAAACUUUGGAUAGAUUCGUAUACAUAGAGAAAAAAAAAAAGUUAAUAAAAACGUACCAGGCUCUGCUCUGUAGCUGCUGCUGCUUUGUUUUGACUUUUGAUCAAAUGAUUCAGUGUGAACUGCCAAAGACCAUAAUGAAGCGUUUAUAUAGUUACACAGUACACUUGUAUAAUAACUUCGUUUCAUUUACAUUAAAAAAAAAAUAGAUCUGUUUCCGUCUAUUUUUUUAACUUUUAUUUUAUAUCUUUAACAAUUAUGAUAUUUUUCAUUUGUAUCUAUUAAUUAAAUAAUAAUGUUUAAUCAAAUUUUUAAAAAAAAAUAAAUCUAUUUCUAUCUUUCUUUAAUUUUCAUUUUAUAUCUUUACCAAUUAUGAUAUUUUUCAUUGUAUCUAUUAAUAAAUAAUAACGUUUACUCAGACUUUAAAAUAAAUAAAUAAAUUAAUAAUAAUAAUAAUAAUAAUAAUAAUAAUAAUAGAUCCAUUUAUAUCUUUUUAUUAACAUAAAAAAAAUUAAACCGACAAAAAAGUAGGUGGAAAACAACAAAACAAUAUGAAAAUACUUUUGGUUUUUAAACAAACACAAUUAGCAAGUCACUGGAAAACACAAUGUAACACUCGGUUUCGUAUUUCCUUCAUUAUUCGGGGUUGCGUCCUAAUCAUUUGUUGUUAUGAGGCUUAGGGCCUUGGGGAAGAUAGAAUUUGGCUCUUUUCGGAUGUGGGUGUUCAAUGGUGCCUUCAGAGGACAAAGGUAUGAUUGUAAAUUGUUCACUCGGUCUUUUAUGGAUUUUGGGUUUUGAUCAGGAAGUUUUAAGGCUUGGGUGUAUUGUUAGAAGCAUAGGGCUUCUCGCCACCUUUAUGUGGAUAUAAGAUUUGUUGGAAACGGACCUAAGAUGAGGAAGUUACGACAUUUUGAAGAUAUUGGCAGUAUUGGGCCCUAAUGGAAAUAGUUGGCAAAUCGGUCCCAUACAUGCAAGGAUAGCAUGCGCGUGUCUAGCUGGGUAAACCCAACGUAAGUUGUGGUACGCCCAGUGUAACAAACAGAGUGCUAAACCCUAAAUUUUAGGGUUUGGGCAGUAUUUAAACAUUUUAUGAGCUUAGGGUUCAUUCAUUUCUCAGCCUACAUGGUCUUCUAGCCUCAUUUCAGAAACCCUAAUCCCAUUUUGAGGGUUUGAGUGAUCUAAGUGAACAUUUUGGUAUGUUGUUGCUCAUUUUCAAGAAAAGGGUGUUUGGUGCUAGCUUGUGGUUCAAAGGAAGGUUUUUAGAUCCAAACUUUUGGCUUCAUUUCCAACUCAUUCAAGGUACAAAGUUCUUAUAUUGACCUCUUCCUAUGCUAGUUUGAGUUUAGGGCAAGAUUAUGGCUUUUUAUGGUGUAUUAAGUUCUCCUUGUGAGUUCGAGACAUUCUAGGAGCUUGGAGUGAUAGAUCUUGCCUCUUAUGAUGUUUCUAGUUCAUAAAAAUGCUUGUUUGACGAUUAAAAAUGGUCCAUGCAUGUUCUAGUUGGAUUAGAAUGGGUCUUAAUGGAUUAAGUUGGUUGUUGGGUCCCAUUGGGUCAUGUAAAUGCAUAUGCCGACUUUAUGCAUUAAGAGCUUCAUUUUAAGGUUCCCUGAAGUGUCACACCCCCGAACCAGACGGCGGAAACAUCCGGGGGUUGUUGUGACUCAAUUGAAUACCAUCACAAUGAAUAUACAUGAAACAUAACAUCAUUCAUCACCAACAUUUGAAUAUUACAACUGAUAGUGUUUACAUUCAUUACAUUGUCUCAAAACAUUACAUUCUCGAAAGUAAUUGUUCGAUACUAGAUAAACAACAGCAAAACGUCAUAGAGUACAAUUCAUCCUUCACUUUAUCUGUUACCUGAGAAUACAAGUAUUUUGAAAAACGUCAACAUAUGAAAUGUUGGUGAGUUCAUAAGUAGUGUUUGAAAUCCAAUGUUUUGUAUUGUUUGAAACCACCAGAAAAUCCGAUAUUUUCUGAAAAUAGUAUAGUCAAAAGGUGUGAAGAUCCAUAGGUAUGCUUGUUUGUUUCUAUACUUGUAAAAAUUGUUCAUUAAAGUUGUAUGUAUUUCGAAUCUGUAUGUAUUGAAAAACCCUAGGAAAACCCGAUGUUUUCCUAAUUCUUUGAAUUCCAUAAAUUUACAUUGAAACCAUUGCAACGCGUGAAGUUAUCAAUACCAGGCGACGUUGGAUUAUUUUUGAGCAUGAUUAUUUGCUACAAACACGCGUUACACAAACGACUAGUCUAUAGCUAUACUAACGAUCCCGUAGGCGUCGUCCGUACUAAUCACGUUAUCCAACCGCCCUGACUACGUGUAGUCCCACAUCCGAAGAGAAAGAGGACACGAAGACCUCGAUGACUCCAUUAACCGGUUGGGGAUAAAAAAAUGUACGAGGGGUCCCAGACCCGCCUCGCAUGAAAUGUAGACUUUACUAGCAAUACCAAAGGACCCUUGGGGACCAGUAGUAUACAAGCCAUUGAAAGUCCUUUUACGUUGUGUUAGAUCGGUAAAACCCAACACUUCGUAAGAUAGAGGUCUUCGGGCCUUAAGAUCAGGUCAUUGGGCUAGCUAGGCCCAACAAACAAGAUUUUACACUUUUGGGGCCCAAAGAUGGUGCGUAGACGUCUGUGCACACUCGCAUGUAUAUUGAAUUCCCAAACGCUACUUGUAUGAAUCGUAGUGUCGUAGUGUCGUCGUGUUAGUAGUUUCGGAUUUUUAUUGGUUCGAGACCGAACCAAUUCGUUUAACAACGACUUUUGGUAUUGUAAUGUAUUGUAUUUCGUCGAUAGUCGCGGUGCCAUCAUUUGAUCAAAUUGCAUGUAUUGAAUUAGCCUUGAAAGUUUUCUGUUUUCAGCCCCUCAUUGUUUGUAAAAUUUACUUUUUCAACCCUUUAUUUAAAUACUUUCCGGUUUGGUCCUUAAAUCAAUUUUCUUGACAUUUUAACACCAAAAAUUAUUGAAAUUAAUAUUUUUCAGCAUAUUUUUCAUAGAAAACAGUUUAAGUCCCUGAAAUUUCAGUUUUCUCGGUUAUAACCCUUCUUUUUCGCAAUUUUGACAAUUUUGGCCCAAAUUGUAAAAUUUUUUGCAACUUUGAAUGAGAGAUAUUUGAAUGAGAGUGAAGCAUGAUAUUCCUUUAGAGUAGAAGUUAUUACACUAGGUGAAUGAUUGCAUGAGAGUAGAAUUUCUUCGCAAAAAUGCUAGUUGUGACAUGAAGUUUGGGUGCAAAGGCUUAAGUGGUUAAGUCAGAAAUCGGAUUUUUGGAUUAAGCCAGUUUACGCCUCGUGUAGCUGGCCGUACGCCCAACGUACUGAUUUUAGGUCGCAACGUGGACUCCUCGAGUAUGCACAGCGUAGCUGAGCGUACGCCCCCGUUUGGCGUGGAGUAUGCUUGGUAUGUUUUUGGGCUUCACACCUUUGGGCCACCUUAUUGGACUUGUUGAUGGGUUUUAGCCAAAAGACAUCCUAUGUGCUCAUGCAAACCCUAAAGCUUGGAUCUAGGUUUCUCUAUUGUACAUGCUUUUCAUCCAAGACUUAAAACCCUAAUUCUAGCAUACAAGUAAUCAUAUUAACAUAAUAAUGAGUUUAAGAUAUUACCUUGAUUGUUAUGUAGCAAUAACAAUCUCAAAUCCUCCUUGUAUUGACUUUAGAAAGCUUAGAGUCACAAAUGUCACUCCUCUAAUGGCUCACAAACACCAAGAGCAAGAGGAUGAAGAGGAGAAGAGAAGGAGGCUGCCCAAAAUGUGUGGAAACCCUAACUAAUUAGUUCACCACGUUUUUGAGGCUUAAAGGUACUAUUUAUACAUGUAGGCUAUUAGGGUUUUAAACUAGGAAACCCUAAUUUGGAUGCUUAGGCCCUAAGCAACCCAUGGACUCCUUUCUUAAAGGCCUUGGACGAUUUCUAAUGGGUUUCCCCAUAGAAUUCGUCCAACCUUAUAUUAUAAGGUAAUCCAUAGCCCAAUUGCAAUUAUCUUAUAAUUACAAUUCUAGUCCCUUAAGUUUAAUUAAUCUCUUUUAGCUACAAACUUAAUUCUUAUUAAUUCUUGACUAAUAUUAAUUAAACAAUAUGAUUUCUCCUUUAAUAUAUUAUUCUCAUAAUAUAUUAAUAAAUCAUAUUUAAUCCUUUCUCUCCAUAAUUCAUCCUAUCAAGUUGCUUUGGUGAAGGCAACCCAAAAGGACCAUGCACCAUCGGGUCAAGUACAUACCAAAAUAGUUAUGGACUUAGACACUAAUCCAACAGUCUCCCACUUGGAUAAGUCUAAUAACUAUUAUGCGUAUGACUUCAGAUCCUGAUCUGCAAUCGUAGCUUUCCAAAGCCGCUGUCAACUCUGAUCCUAUCAGAUACGCGUGGCCUUUAGAUAAGGGAUCAUAUAUUCCUCCAUUCUAGAUAUCAUAUGAGAUAUGAUUUCAAAUCAUUCUCUUUGUACUAUAUCUCGAUUCCCGAUUUAUGACGACUGACUAAUUGAACAAAUCAAAUUAGCCCUAGCCCGGCCGAGCAUUUACGUUUGCCAUCACUAAAUCAUUGAGGGGCCCAAAGAUAUCGCUUUUAUCCUACUUUGGAUAAAAGGAACGGAUAAACUUUGAUUCAAUGCUUGCUUGCACUCACUCACCGAAUCACACACAACAAUAUGUUUUAUAACACCAAGUUACUGGUGCGUUUACAUAUUAUCAAUGUGUAACCGACUCGCAAGAUACAACUCACACAUCUCGGUUUCAAGAAUAUAAGAUAUUAUCGUCUCACCAAUCACUCGUGAUAAAAUCCAUGAAGUGAUCCAAGUGAGCGUGGGUUUAAUCCAAUGCUCAAAUCAUAUUCAUAAGCACUCAUGAACGUUGCAGCAAACAUUUGCUUAUGUCUAAUACACUUUAGACAAUCCACACACCAAUUCACGACAGUCUUCAUUCAUACCUACUUCCAACAUAUGAACGACUGUGGUCCGUUCGAAUAAUUUGAUUGUUCUGAACCAAUUUAAUUAUUCAGGAAGUCAAAACAUGCAAAGUGAAACACAAGAAUAAUACUAAUCCCAUAUGGCCCCAAACUCUGGGUAUAAAUAAAACAUUUUAUUUAAUCACCAUAUUGAUUACUCAUUAUUUGUUGUUUCGGGUAAUCAACUUCUUACUUGAAUUAUUACUACACUUGUCCCAUGCUCUUAGCAUGCACACAAUGUUUACCUAUGGUCCUUACUUUGUGAAAUAGAUCAAAUGAACACAUUUCCAAUCAUACUCAUUUCACAACUCCCAAUCCUUAUCACAAGUGUAAGAAUAUCAAAUUCUUGCCACUUAUAGAAUAUGCUAGAUUCUAACAUUUUAUGCAAUGAUUCUUUCGUAAAGUCAUAGCUCAAAAUCAUCAAGACUUGGCCAAUCUCUAUCAGAAACAAUUCUAUAGAUAUGAUGUCUCUCACUCAAAGUACAUUCCUUUGAACAUCCUUCUUGCAUAAAAGUUUCUAAUCUAGACAUAGAUUCUCAAUAUCCAACUCCCAAUAUGGAAACAUUUCCAUAUUUGCCAUAUGACAACUCAUUCUUAAUAGAAUCUUAUCUAUUCAUAAUAAUGUCGAUAUGGUCCAUCCAAUACUAUACUUCCAACUACUCACAAGCGACCAAUCCUCGGCGAACUUUGGAUUGUCCUUUGAUAGUUGUUUAAUUAUCUUAGUCAAAACCGAUUCUUGUCCUUUUUCCCUCUAAAUGCGCUAGACAUUUGGAAAAUUUUAGAAUGGUCAAAUAUUAUAGCAUUUGCAAUCAAUCCUAUACCCGAAGCGUAUGGGACACGAUGCAUAAUGUCUUACAUAAAGAUAUGAUACUUUAUCAAUCUUCUGCCAUAAUAUUUUAUGUGUCACGUUCUCACAAUUCGAACUAUGAAGAGGGAUGCCGUAAUCAUAAUCGAAAUUUAAGAACGCACUAUGUAUCCUUUGACUAAAUUUAUUAAAAUUUCUCAAUCUAAGCUUUAGAUUUUGAAACGAAGUACAAUAUUCUCUCCCUUAAUUAUAGCAAAACAACUAUUCAACCCUUACGACUUUGUAAAGUAUAACUCUUGUUUUCUAUAAUUAAUAUUGCUAACUUGCAAUACUUGCCUUAAUAAUCAUACCAGCACAACUUUUAUGCUCCCACUAUCACGAUGAUUAUUAUCAUAUAAGCAUAACACUUAUGCUCCCACUAGCUUUGACAUGUAUUUAGAAAACAGCUUAACUUACACAAAAAAAUACCUAUUGAAUUUCUUAAGUUCAUAUUUCUAAUACUUAAUGCUUUGAUAAUCUUUUAUCAAGGCUUCUUAAUCUCAUACACCUUUAUCCAAGAUAGCUCAUAUGUGUCUUAAACAAUUAAGACUAAUUGCCAAAUUUCACAAUUCGAAUCAUGGAGAGGGAUACCGUAACCAUAAUCAAAUUUGAGAAUGCAAUUUUACAAUUCCUAUCUUCUUAAAAUCUCUCUUAGUGAAAGCAUUUUCUCACAGUCAUUUUCAUGAAGGAGAAAAUCUUAUGACACUUAGAUUUUAAUGGUGUAUGUGUUCCUAUCCAUGUGAAUUUGUCAAAGUUCACGACAAAUUCAAACUCAUAUGGACCAAACUUUCUUAAUCUUGAUUUCUUACCUUAUGGUAACACAUAUGCCCACCAUGUCUUCCAAGUAGUUAAGCAACUCACCCUUUCCCAUCAAUGUACUUUUCAUUGAUUAAGGUCCUUGCCUUUUACGCAUUCAAAUGAGAACUCAUAGGGCUCAUAUGCAUAAUUAACUCAUUUGGAAUGGCACGGAAACAAGAUAAUGUCAACACGAUAGGUUGUAAACCUCAAGUCGUGUGCUAGUGAUGUUCAAUAAGGUUUAUUCUUGGUAAGUUCUUGAACCUUUUCAAAACCAUUAAGACUCCCACUGACUCCUUGACAUAUAAGAUUCUCUUAUCAAUAAAACAUUUCUUGACAAACAAAUAUUCAAGAGUUAGUGUAGCUUUUAUCAAAACACUUCAUAAAAUUUGGUCCUAGUUGGUCUUCGUCUUAUCAAGACACCACAACUUUCCAUAUUUGAUGAAUGUUAUAAAUCUUCUUAAAACUUGUCACUUAAUGUCACAAUCUUAACUUUAAGACUUGUUUUGGAACGAAGUAUGAUUGACUUCUUGAAUUAACCAUUUCUUCAAUUCUUGAUUUCUCUUCUUAGACAUACAAUUGCACUAAGACUCACUUAGAGGAUCAAUUGAGAUAUGGUUCUUAAUCAUUCAGACCUAUCAUAAAACAUAAUAAAAGGUACUCUCCCUUCUUCUUAGAAUGGAGAAACUUUUAUCUUUCUGCCUACUUGAUUCUUCUUAUUCGUUCUGCUAUUGAUUUAAACUCUUUUAAAUCAACUAAGAAUUACACUUAAUCUUAUAAGUAUAAUCAUAUUUACUUAACCUUAGUAAAUCAUGACGAAUAUCUUUGUUACUUUUGUGGUGGACUUGAUCAACACACAACCUUGUAUACUUGAUCUCUUAGUCCUUUACUUGACACUUUGUCAACGAAUUAGUCCAAUUUUCUCAAAUGUGAAAAUUUUUCAUUCAUCAUACAAUACUUGUUGCAUGAUUCCAAGUUUCUGUCCAAUUGAAACUUGGAUGAUGAGAAACUCUCCCUAUUUGGUAAAUUCUUGAUAUUUCCACAAUUAACCUAAUUAAGAAUCACAUCCAUUCUUUGUAGAAAUAUGCAAACAUCAAUUUUUUUUAUAACGAUUUCAUUGCAAGGAAAUAAAUAAAUGAGUCAAACAAAAAUUUAUUUUAUUCAUAAAGGCAGCGGAAAACAUUUGUCCUUACAAUGCAAAAUCAACUGAAAAACUAUGUAAUUAAAUAUUCCUAACAACUUUAUCAUAACUUUCUAAGCUCAAAAUCUAAUCUUCGAAUCCAUGCGAUCGAGAUCCAUUUCUUCGUGAUUAGGCUCAUCUUGCUCUUUUAUCAAGAUUCCUCUCUUUUCAUUGAUCCUGCAAAACAUUCAAGUGCAAUCUUAUCACAUUAUGUAUUAAGAAUCAAUGAAUAGGAACUUAAUGGAGUUAGAUAGUGGAUUUUACCUGAAGUACAGCCAUACUCUUUGACUCUCCCAUCUUCUGGACUCUUCAGGGUCUUAGGGCAGACUUGUAUCCAACGCCCUUUCUCUUAGCAGCAAACGCAGGUCGGUUCUCCUAGAACGUCCUGGGAAGCAUGGUUGGUUGACUUUCCCAACAAAUAUGCUCGAUUGCUUUGCCAAACCAUUUAUGAUUCAGCAGCAAUGAGCAUGUAAGUUAGGUCAAUGAGGUUUACGUCAUGAUCCAUCGUAUAAUACUUUCUUUUGAACUCAUUAUAUGAUUCAAGGAGUGACUGUAGAACCCAGCCUAUAGCCAACUCAUCAGGGAAUGACGCACCCAACAUAAUCAACCUAUCAAUGUGUGACUUCAUUCCUAGAACGUGGACACACACGGGUUUACCAUCUUCAUGUUUCAUUUCCAAUAGGACUUUAGUGACAUUGAACCUUUCAAUUCUUCGAUCUUGUGGGUUAGGGAGAACAACGGGAGGAGGAGGAGGAAGUGAAGCAUGAUUUCUUGUUCCUCGAUCGAAUCGUGGAAUAUCAUCUUCAUGUGGAAUGCUUGUUCCACGGGAUUUGGGAAGACCAUAGUUGUCGUACUUUGACAUCUACAAAACGGGAGAAAACAAAUUCAAGUUAGUUGAUUGAUUGAGUCCUUAAUAAAUCACCCAAAUGAGAUAUUAAGGCUAGGACCCAACACAAUACGCUACAACCUAGAAAAGGGAUGCCGUAAUCUAGUUGCAGAAUAUUUGAAGGUAAGUNNNNNNNNNNNNNNNNNNNNNNNNNNNNNNNNNNNNNNNNNNNNNNNNNNNNNNNNNNNNNNNNNNNNNNNNNNNNNNNNNNNNNNNAAAUCACCCAAAUGAGAUACUAAGGCUAGGACCCAACACAAUAUUCUACAACUCGGGAGAGGGAUGCCGUAACCCUAAUUGCAGAACAUUUGAAGGUAAGUGAAUGACGAUUCACUAAUUUCCCACCAUGAAAAACGAAAAAAAGAAGAUUAAGUUUUAAAUGUAUUGAAAAACACCUAGAUCCUAUGAGAUUCAUUGAACAUUUCAAUGGCAUGUUUGAAUCUCGAUAUGCCCCUCUAGUUGUGACUGGGAUGCCGAGGAUCACAAAGCAGGUGUGAAUAACCAUGCAAACUUACAUGGUGCCCUCACAUGUUACGUUCACCUAUUCGAUGUGCCGGUAAACCACACACGCUCCACCGAACUAUGACAAACAUUGAGUCACCCUUUGUUACCUUUGCUUAGAAGCAUUUAGAGUGCCGGUUAACCACACGCGCUCCACUAACGUCUUCGCAAGGGCACAAAGUGUAAUUUCAUGGAAUUGCAUCAAUUCACUUUUGCCUAAAGUAACUAAGAUUGGGAAUUUGUAAAAGCAUUUAGUUACUUUUGUAUUUCAUUAUACUUAUAAUGGAAGGUUUCGUCCUAUCCUACCCGUUCGGCUAACGACCCUCCACUAGUCAAGAGUGCGGUGGGUAAGAGUGGAUACUCAUUCAAUCGCCAUUUUAUAGGCAAUUUCCUUAAACACCCCUUAUAGACCAGCUUCGUGAAUGAGGCCUACUAACGGUAAGACUGACUUUUACUCAUACAUAUAUAUAGUCUUAGACUUUUAAUGUUAUAUAUAGUAUAGGGUGUAUUUCACACUUUUAAAAUACUAGGUGUUCUAAUAUAAUAAUUAUACUUUUAAUUUAAUUAAAUUGUUCACCAAAACUAUAUGGAUUUAUUAAAUCUCUUUUAAUUAUACACCUUAAUUAAUUAAUAAAACCAUAAGGGUGUGAUUUGAACUUUUCAAAACUAUACUAGGGUUUUAGAAUUUAACAUUUCUAAAUUAAACUUUUAAUCAACUUUUAAAUUCCAAAACUUGAGGGCAAGUUUUGAAACAUUUCAAAACAUUAGGGUUUAGAGUUUAAAUAUUUCAAAAUCAAACUUUUUAAUCAAAAUUUAAAUUCCAAAACUUGAGGGCAAGUUUUGAAACUAUUCAAAACAUUAGGGUUUUAACUAUUUAAAUUUCAAAACAAAACUAUUAAGUUCAAAUUUAAACUAUAAAACCUAAAAGGGAAAAAUUGAAACUUUUCAUAACACAAGGAUCAAAUAACAAAUAAUAUAAAUUAAACAAUUAAUUUCAUCAUUUAUCUAUAUUUGACCUAAUUUCAAUUUCUUGCAAAAUAAGUUACCCAAUUAAUACAAAUAAUCAAACUUUAUCAUAUAAGGAAGUAAUUAUCUAAUUAAUUGGUAAAUAUCUUUUGUUUAAUCAAGGAUGUAUCCAAAAUAUGAUUAAAAUUCGAAUUUUAAUGAUCCAUAACAGUGAAGGCAAGUAUCCAAGACCAAAAUAGCAAGAAAUCCCGAACACGCCUCAUUUUGACGCUCGAACUCGCCGAGUAGCACACUGUACUCGCCGAGUUGAGUCCUACUCGCCAAGUACACUAUGGUACUCACCGAGUUCAUCAGGCAGGGAGGCCAAAAAUCGAUUUUACAACUUGAAUAAGCAUACAAGGCAUCAAUACAAUAGAAACCAAUCAAGGCUCUGAUACCACUGAUGGGUUUUAGCCAAAAGACAUCCUAUGUGCUCAUGCAAACCCUAAAGCUUGGAUCUAGGUUUCUCUAUUGUACAUGCUUUUCAUCCAAGACUUAAAACCCUAAUUCUAGCAUACAAGUAAUCAUAUUAACAUAAUAAUGAGUUUAAUAUAUUACCUUAAUUGUUAUGUAGCAAUAACAAUCUCAAAUCCUCCUUGUAUUGACUUUAGAAAGCUUAGAGUCACAAAUGUCACUCCUCUAAUGGCUCACAAACACCAAGAGCAAGAGGAUGAAGAGGAGAAGAGAAGGAGGCUGCCCAAAACGUGUGGAAACCCUAACUAAUUAGUUCACCACGUUUUUGAGGCUUAAGGGUACUAUUUAUACAUGUAGGCUAUUAGGGUUUUAAACUAGGAAACCCUAAUUUGGAUGCUUAGGCCCUAAGCAACCCAUGGACUCCUUUCUUAAAGGCCUUGGACGAUUUCUAAUGGGUUUCCCCAUAGAAUUCGUCCAACCUUAUAUUAUAAGGUAAUCCAUAGCCCAAUUGCAAUUAUCUUAUAAUUACAAUUCUAGUCCCUUAAGUUUAAUUAAUCUCUUUUAGCUACAAACUUAAUUCUUAUUAAUUCUUGACUAAUAUUAAUUAAACAAUAUGAUUUCUCCUUUAAUAUAUUAUUCUCAUAAUAUAUUAAUAAAUCAUAAUUAAUCCUUUCUCUCCAUAAUUCAUCCUAUCAGGUUGCUUUGGUGAUGACAACCCAAAAGGACCAUGCACCAUCGAGUCAAGUACAUACCAAAAUAGUUAUGGACUUAGAAACUAAUCCAACACUUGUUGCUUGGGCCUUUUGGGCCAUCCAAGACCAGCUAUUGGACUAACGGAAGAUUUGGGCUUUAGGAUAAGGCUCAUAUGGGGGUUGGGCCCAAUUUGGAAAAUUGGGCCAUUAGUGGGACUUUAUAUAUCUUGUAGUUUUGGCUUGUUUGGUUUUUGGCUUGGGUCUUAGUUUUGAUUCUUGAUGGACCAGGGGUAAAAUAGUCAUUUUACCCCAUGUAUGGAUUAUGGAUCAUAUUUUGGAACCCAAUUGCCAAUUGGGAGUUAUUUUGGUAUUGAUAGUUCGGAGGAGUCGUCAGGGCAGCAGCUCGGGAUUUCUUUUAGUGAUCUUCUGUAUUCGAGGUAAGUCUCCUCACUUUUAUAUGGGUCGAAGGCACCAAUGCAGGCCCAUUUGGUUUAUGUUUUGUAGGAAUACCUAGGGGUAACCCCCUGACAGUCUGUAUGAAAGGCCAAGAGGCGGCUCCUGGCAAACUGUAUGCAAGACCAGAGUCUGAACUUUGGCAUUUAAAUAGUUAAGUAGUGCAUAUUGUAUGCUAGUUGGCUUUAUGAAGCUUGCAUGGAAGACCUGGAGGUGGCUCCUGACACUUUUCCGUAAGACCCGGGGUUUCGGCCCCCGGCCUGGCAAGGAAGACCACGAGGCAGCUCGUGGCAUAAUGGCAAGACUAUGGUUGACACAUAGCACUUUAUUGAUUGAUUGGUUACGUAUGAUUUGUAUGGAUCAUUUGAUAUGUUUGGUAUGUGGUAUUUGGAAAACUCACUAAGCUUUGUGCUUAUAGUUUAUGGUUUAUGGUUUCAGGUACUUCCGGUUCGAAAGGGAAUGGUCUGACUUGAUCGCAUCUCAUACACCCGUGUUUUCCACAAUAUGUGAUUUUAGGAAUGAACUCUGAUAAUUAUUUUAAUUUGUAAUGCUUUUAAUUUUCAGAUGAAGUUACAUUAGUGUUUUGAUUAUAACUAAAAUGAAAAAAAUUACCCUAUGAAUUCAGGACGUUACUGAUGGGUUUUGAGCAUUCUAACACUUCCUAAGUGUACAUGCAACCCUAAUAAACUUUGGAUAUAUGUUUGUCUAAGAUACAUGCAAAUAAUUAUUUUUCCAAGGUUCAUAUCCUAACUAGCAUGGAAUGGGGAACAUGAAUCAAAUAAAGCUAGUAGAAAUACUUACCUUGUAGUAGUAGUUGAUUGCUUGGAGUUUUAGAGCCUAGCACCAAUAGUGUGGAUGCCUCAAAUGGAAAUCACAAAUCACCACAAACUUGGAACUUUGAGAGAAUAGUCACUACUAUCUUGAAAUCGGCCCUCUUGCUUUACUCACUUCAACUAGUGUCAACUAGUGUGAAUUCAAGAACCAAAUCCUCCUUUAUAUAGUGUGGUGGAUUAGGGUUACAUCCAUGUAAACCCUAAUACCCAUGUCUCUUCAUUUCCAUGAGAUCCAUGGGUUAAAGCUCCAUGGAGUAUCCAUGGACUUUCCAUGCAAGCCUAGCCCAUUCCAAAUAAGCAUUAGCCCACACUAUAUAAAUAUAGAAGCCCAUAUUUAAUUAGUAAUAUCCUUGAUCUCUAAAUUAAUCCUAGAUUAAUUAUAGAUCAAUACUAAAUAAAUAAUAUGAUCUUAUAUUAAUAUAUUAGAACUUAUAAUAUAUUAAUAAAUCAUAACUUGUACUAUUCUCAAAAGAUUAUCCAUAAAUUGUUCGGGUGAAGUGCAACCCAAAUGGACCAUGCCGGGUCGGGUCAAGUACAUACCAAAUAUAGUUAUAGACUUAGACACUAUAUCCAACAGUUACAAGUUGGUAUUAGAGCCUUGGUUUGAGGGAUUCAAGUAUACUCUCGGGUGUGCCUGAACUUAAACUGAGGGUUUGGUGAAAUUUUUUUAUAAAAUGAACAUUUAAUUAAAAAGUAAUUUCUAAUCAAACAAAGGGGUGCGAUGCGUGCAAUCGGCUGAGCUCAAGUAAGUGGUUCCCAAAAUACCAAUACAUGUAUAUUAUGUUAUAUGAUAUGAUUAUAUGAAUUGCAUUCUAAAUUAGGGCUAAGGAUCUGCACAAUAUUAUAUCAUAGGAGAGAUGCCUUUAUAUGCCUGAUUGUAUGAGCUUUAGAAUUACAUGCUAGUAUGGGUACCAGAUAAGUGGAUCGAAUGGCUUGAAUAGUGUGUGUUGGUUAGAUUUUUCAUUGCCUAAAUGCUGCUUGAUUUGUGCUUUCUGGGAUUAUUAGUGAUGUGAAUUGGCUGCUAAGUGGGUAGGCUAAGUCACAUGAGACACAAGUUGAUUAAUCUUAGAGUGAUGGAUUUGAACCUAUUGCGUAGCUCUUGUUUGAGUCUAACCGUUCUUGGGUUAAGUCUUUUACUCGAAGGAUUAUCUGAUCUCUGUUACAUGUAGCUAUAUUCAUGAGGAAGUCGGUUGACAUUGGUGGGAGUCUUUCAGCAACUGAGGGUUGGUUGAGGUCGGGAGUUCAUCUCAUCAGAGAUUUCUCGUUGGUCUUGGAUAAGCACUUAGGUGCGUUCCGUGCUGAGAUUAUGGCUAUCAUCAGAUCUCACACUCUUUCUUUCCGUGAGUUUCGUGCAUGCGGAGCUCCUGCGUUACAUGGGGAGAGGGACCUCAUUGCUAGUUAGAGGUGGUUAGCAGAUUGAUGGGUUUUAGCUAUAAGAACAUCCUAUGUGCUCAUACAAAACUUAAUGCUUGGAUCUAGGUUUCUCUAUUGUACAUGCAAUUCAUCCAAGACUUUAAACCCUAGAUCUAGCAUAUGAUAAUCGAUAUUAACAUAACAAUGGGUUUAAGAUAUUACCUUGAUUGUUAUGUAGCAAUAACAAUUUCAAAUCCUCCUUGUAAUGAAUUUAGAAAGCUUAGAGUCACAAAUGUCACUCAUCUAAUGGUUCACAAACACCAAGAGCAAGAGGAUGAAGAAUGAGAAGAGAAGAGACACCCAAAAACGUGUAGAAACCCUAAGGAUUCAGUUGCCCACGUUUUUGGUGCCCAAGGGGUCCUUAAAUAGUGAGGGUAUCAGGGUUAUCUAACAAGGAAAACCUAAUUUGGAUGCUUAGGCCCUAAGCAACCCAUGGACUCCCUCCUUAGAGGCCUUGGACGAUUUCUAAUGGGUUUCCCCCAUAGAAUUUGUCCACUCCAUCCUCUAUGGAGUCCAUUAGCCUAAUACUCAACUAUCACAUAAUUGACAGUUCUAGUCCCCUUCAUUUAAUUAAUGUCUUUUAGCCAGAAAAUUAAUUAUUAUUAAUUCUUGACUAAUAUUAAUUAAACAAUAUAAUUUCUCCUUUAAUAUAUUAUUCUAAUAAUAUAUUAAUAAAUCAUAAUUAAUCCUUUCUCUCCAUAAUUCAUCCUAUCAAGUUGCUUUGGUGAAGGCAACCCAAAAGGACCAUGCACCAUCGGGUCAAGUACAUACCAAAAUAGUUAUGGACUUAGACACUAAUCCAACAGUCUCCCACUUGGAUAAGUCUAAAAACUAUUCUGCGUGUGACUUCAGAUCCUGAUCUGCAAUCGUAGCUUUCUAAAGCCGCUGUCAACUUUGAUCUUAUCAGAUACGCGUGUCCUUUAGAUAAGGGAUCAUAUAUUCCUCCAUUCUAGAUAUCAUAUAGACUAAGACAUGGAUUUAACUCAUUCUCUCUGUCUAUGUGUUGUUUCCCGAUUUUUGAUUUAUGACGACUGACAACAGACUACAAUUGAACACAUCAAUCUAGUCCCGACUUGGCCAAGCGCUUAGGUGCCAUCACUAAAUCAUCGAGGGGCCCACAGAUAUUAAUUUCAUCCUACUUUGGAUAAAAGGACCGGAUAAACUUUAAUUUAAUGUUCGCCUGCACUCACUCACCCAAUCACACACAAUAAUAAGUUUUAUGACACCAAGUUACUAGUGCGUUUACAUAUUAUCAAUGUGCAACUGAUUUGCAAGAUACAACUCACACAUCUCAUUUUCAAGAAUAUAAGAUGUUAUCGUCUCACUAAUCACUCAUGAUAAAAAUGUUGGAUUAGUGUCUAAGGCUGUAACUAUAUUUGGUAAGUACUUCACCCGAUUAUGCAUGGUCCUUUUGGGUUGCCUUCACCAUAGCAACUUGACAGGGUGAUUUAUAUAGAGAGAAGAGAUAUUAUUAUUAAUGUAUUAUAAGAAUAAUAUGUUAAAGGAAUAAUAAUAUUAAUUUGAUUAAUAUACAUCAUAAAUUAAUUAGGAAUUAAUUUGGUGACUUAAAGAGAUUAAUUAAAGGAAGGGGUAUAAACCGUCAAAUGUGUGAUAGUUGUAUUUUGAGCUAAGAAACCUUAUGGAUAUGGGUUGGACGAUUUUAGGGAUGUGGAUCACCUAGAAAUCAUCCAAGGCUUAUCUAGGAGGGAUAUUGGAUUGCUUUAAGGCUAAGUUAUGCAAUUAGGGUUUUAGGGUGAAACCCUAGGAGCUCACAGUAUAAAUAGACCCUAGGAGUUGUUGAAAUCGACACCUUUGUUAUUGGAGUAAUCCUAGGGCCGAUUUCUCUCUUGCUUACCUCUCUCAAAUCAUCUUCUUGCUAGUUGGUGUUUGUAAGCCAUUAGAGGAGUGACAAUUGUGACUCUAAGCUCCAAGGAGAAGAAGGUUUCAAGCAAGUAAUUCAAGGUAUGAUUCUAGAUCUAUUUUCAUAUGUUUUGAUUGUUAGUUUACAUUAGAUCUAUCCAUGAAAGUCUUGGAUAUAUUGCAUGUUCAUUUAGAGAAACCAAGAUCCAAGCAAUUAAGGUUUGCAUGUGCACAUAGGAAAGUUCUUAUGGCUCAAACCCAUCAGUGGUAUUAGAGCUUUGAUUGAUUUUUAUUGAAUUGAUGCAUUGGUUAAUUGCUUGUUGCUUGAAGAAUUCGAUUUUUAGUCAUCUGCCUGAUGAACUCGGCGAGUUCCACUGUGAACUCGGCGAGUAGCUUCAACUCGGCGAGUCCAAAGCUUGACUCUGCGAGUUCCAGCGUCAGACAAAGGGAAAUUCGGAAUUUUGUUGCUGUUUUUGUCUUGGAUUGAUACCUAAAUCGUUUUAUUAAGUAUAAAUCCGAAUUUUAACCUAAUUUAAUGAUUAUCCUUGACAUAAUAAUAGAUAAUUUCAUAUCUUAUGAAUAUCAAUUAUUUAUAUGAUAAAUAUGGACUAUUUAAGAUUAUUUGGUAAUUAUCUAAUAACUAAAAUUGGAUUAGGUCAAAUAUAGAAAAUUAUGAAAUUAAUUGUUUAAUUUGAAUUAUUUGUUAUUUGAUCCAUAUUGUUUUGAAAAGUUCAAUAUUUAUCCCGAUAGUUUUUGAAAUUUGAAUUUGGUAAUUAACAGUUUAAUUUAGAAGAAUUUAAAUUUCAACCCCUAGAAUUUUACAAGUUUAAAAUUCAACCCUAUACUAUUAUAUUAUUAAAAGCUUAGUAAAUAUAUAAGUAGAAUUAAAAUGCUAGUCUUACCGUUAGUAGGCCUCAUUCACGAAGCCGGUCUAUAAGGUGGGUAUAAGGUUGUUGCCUAAAAAAUGGCGCUUAAUGGGUGUACACUCACACCCACCGCUUGCUUGACUGGUGGAGGGUCGUUAGCCGAACGGGUAGGGUAGGGCAACUCUCUCUCCUCAUUAAUAAGUAUAAUGAAUCUAUAAAGUAACUAAACUAUUUUAUAAAAUUCCCAAUCUUAGCUACUUUAGGAUAAGUGAAUUGAUGCAAUCCCAUGAAAUUGCACUUUACACCCUUGCUAAGAAGUUAGUGGAGCGUGUGCGGUUUACCGGCACACUAAUUGGUUCUAAGCAAAGGUGACAAAGGGUGAUUCAUUGUUUAUCAUAGUUCGAUGGAGCGUGUGUGGUUUACCGGCACAUCGAAUAGGUGAUUGUAACAAUGAAGGCACCAUGUAGAUUUGUAUGGUUAUUCACACCAGCUUUGUGAUCCUCGGCAUCCCAGUCACAAACUAGAGGAGCAUAUCGAGAUUUAAACAUGCCAUUGAAAAGUUCAAUGAAUCUUAAAAUCUAGGAAUUCUCAAUAAAACUUAAGGUUAUGUUUUCAAGGUGAAGAAUUAGUGAAUCGUCAUUCACUUACCUCUAAAUUAUUUGUGUGUUGGAUUACAGCAUCCCUUUUUCUAAUAUGUAAAUAAUGUUGUUGGAUCCUAGCCCUAAUUUUUCAUUUUGGGUGUUUAAUUAGGGAUCCAAUUCUAAUCAAACUUUGUCCUUUCUAAUUGUAGAUGUCGAACGCAAACAACGCUGCUGCUAACUCAUUCACGUUAAUGAGUCUUUGCCAAAAGGUGACCUUCGAUGGUACGAACUUUAGCGAAUGGAUAAGAUACAUUCACACCAUUGCACGCUACGAGGACAAAGAGUAUGUCCUCGACGAAAAGCUCGAGAAGGUCAACCCGGAAAUCGCUACUCCCGAAGAGAUGGCUGUCUUUGAGACACACGAACGUAAUGCAACGAAGGUCCAUUGCAUUAUGAUAGGCACUAUGAACCAAGAAUUCCAAAAGUCCUAUGAGGACAUGUAUCCCUAUGAAAUGCAUCAAGACUUGAUGGAGAGGUACCACCAAAGCGCAAGGCAAGAGAGCUACGAGAUCAUCACCAACAUCAUCACUGCCAAGAUGGGAAGUGGAGAAUCGUUAACCGUGAACUUGCAAAAGAUGCAAAGAUAUGUUGAUCGUCUUCGCAAGUUAAAUGUUAACUUUGGGGACGAUUUGGCCAUCGACAUUGUUCUUCACUCCUUGCCUUCAUGCUACAACCAAUUUAGGAUGACCUACCAUAUGAACAAGGAAGAGGUCACCCUAAGCAAACUCCAAGGACUCCUAAGGACUGCUGAGAGCAACCUUGAGGACAAGUCUGUUGCACCAACUCCCGCACCAACCGUUGUUCCUGUUUUGGCUGUAGGACAAUGAAGGGGCAAGAAGAGGAAGGCUCCGUCAAAGAGCCACCGCAAGGGAAAGUCCCAAGAUGGUUCCUCUUCUAGUGGGACCAAGGUUGAUCCUGCUAAGCCAAACCCUAACUCGAAGGAGGCAGAGUGCCAUCAUUGCCACAAAAUAGGGCAUUGGUGUAACAACCGAAAAAUUCCAACCUAUUUAAACUUUUCAAAAACAAUCUGAUUUCAUUAAAUUAUUACAAAAGGGUUUUCAAUACAGUUUAUUUAGAGUAUUCCUAGAAUCACAUCACAUAUAAACAUGAGGAGCGGUACGAUCACGCCUUCGCCUUGCCACGGUCUCCUGAAGAACCUGAAAAACAUUAAACCACAACUGUAAGCCCGAAAGCUUAGUGAGAUAUCCCCAAAAUACCAACCACAUAUACCAUACACGCAUAACAUGCCAUAACAUAUCUGAUCACAGAACAGCCAUACACUUCGGGUCUACUGUGUGACUGGUCUGCCACACCGGCCAACAGUCCACUUGGUCCACCCUCUGAGUCUAGCCGUAUACAUCGAAUCUGUAGUGUGAUUGGUCCGCCCGCACCGGGCCUUCAAUCCACCUGGUCCACUCUCUGAGUCUACAGUAUGACUGGUCCGCCCGCACCGGGCCUUCAGUCGGCCUGGUCCACUCUUCGAGCCUCGGCACGUCUGGUCCGCCCUCUUGGGGCCUACAGCCUAUCCGGACCGCUCGCUGGGCCUUCGGGACAACCAGUCCGCCCUGGGUAUCUUGGCCUACAGCACAAAGCAGGACCCACCUCAACCCAACUCCAGUCCAAACAACCAUGUGCACAUAAACAUACAAUCAUAUAACAAUUUCACAGUGAACAAACCGAUCAAACAGAUCACAUGGCAUAUCAUCAUCCUAACCAGGAUACCGACCUAACCGGUCACUAGCAUAACAUCACCCUACAUAACAGAAUACCGACCUCAACCAGGUCUCUAACACAUACCAUCCUAACUACCAGGAUGCAAACAUAUCAAAGCAAUAACAUAACAAUAAUACUCGGAUCUCAAUCCGAUAAAGGGCCGGCCUUGGUGCCUUAGACCCUGUUGAUAUAGUGAGGAUAACUCACCUUGCAACUGUCGACUGAAUAGAUAAACCUGAGCUGCUCCGACCACUGAUAAGAUCUCCACCACUCGCCAACCACCGAAACACUAAACUCAAACAAUAACCAAAAUUACCAAAAUGCCCCUGGAAACAACUAGUCAACCCUUGGUCAAAGUCAAAGUCAACCCCUAACUGACUCUACUCGCCGAGUCAACCCGAUGACUCGCCGAGUCCCCAUGCACAACACUUCCUCAAUCCGCGACUCAAUUCGCCGAGUCACCACGAGACUCGCCGAGUCCACAACUCUGAGUCCUUCACACUCAACUCACCGACUCAUCCCUCGACUCACCGAUUCACAGCUCAACCAGAAGAAAGGUUAGGACCUCACGACUAGACUCGCCGAGUCCAAGAACAAACUCGCCGAGUCCAAGGCUAUCUGCAACCAACUCGUCGAGUUGUUCUUCCAACUCGUCGAGUUCCAGCCUAUCUUCAAGCUACUCGCCGAGUACACCCUUGUAACUCGCCGAGUACCCCUAGAUCUGAAUCCAUACAGAGGCUUUCCAAGCCACGCAGAAGCUCUAAACCAUAGAUCUACUCUUUUACAAGCCAACCAUCACGUAAAGUGGAAAACUUUACGUGGAUCCAAAGAGAUAUAGGCAUUUUACACUCUAGGUCUUGGGUUUGAGACAAGGUAGCUUCACCAAUCACUUAUCAAUAGGGACUUUAUGUGAUUUUGGAUCAUCACUACUCCAGAUCCGAGGUAGCAUCCUCAUAUCCAUCUUCCAAUCCCGAAAUGACUCAUGAAAUCCUCCAAAAACCCCAAAACAACCACCAUGGAUGACAAUAAGGGAAAAAGGGGUUCAAGACAGAGGAUUCUUACCCCAAAGAUGAGCCUAAACUGAUGAAGACUUCAGAUCCACAAGCCCUCUAGAUGCUAUCCUCGAAUUCCUCCAACUUCUCGUCAUAAAUCCCUUAUUCCAAGCUUCAAUCCUCUCAAUAAUGGAAUUUAUCACGAUUAGGGUUUUCUAUGGAACUCUCAGGGUAAAUAGAGGCUGAAGAGAAGGCAUAACAUCCUUUAAAUAGGGGGCAAACCCCGAAGAUUAGGGUUUUCUCCACCCAACACCAACUCGCCGAGUCCAGCCGCCGACUCGUCGAGUUGGCCACUUAACACGUGACCGGAGUCGCGACUCUACUCGCCGAGUCCACCCAUGGACUCACCCACUUGCCCUUAUACAUUUUCACUUUGAGCCCUUCAACUCUACUCUUGAUUUACCGGGAUGUUACAAUUGGAAGAGAAGCUGUCCGGAAUAUCUACAAGCCAUCAAGGAUGGAAAGAUCAAGCCAUCUUUUGCAGGUAUAUACACAAUUAAAUCUAAUGAUUCAUCUCAUACUAUUUCUUGGGUUCUUGAUACAAGAUGUGGUCACCACAUUUGUUCUGAUUUGCAGGGACUAAGAAGAGAUAGAGAUGUGGAGCGAGGAAGAAUAAAUCUAAUCAUGGGAAACAGAAGAUCGUCGCCUGUCACCAAGAUUGGAGUGUAUUCUUUAGCGCUUAGUAAUGGAUUAGGUUUAGAUUUAAAUAAUUGUUGCUACUCGCCAGAUAUGGCAAGAAACAUCAUUUCAUUUCAUGGUUUGUUUAGACAAGGAUUUAGAUAUUCGUUUAAUAAUAUGAAUGGUUCUAUUUAUGCUUAUCUAAAUGGUGUUUUAUACUUUGAAGCAAUGCCUUGUAAUGGAAUUUAUGAAACUGUUAUGGUUGUAGAUAACCUAGGAAAUGAUGUGUUGUGUAUGGAUUCUUCCAAUAGUAUGGAUAAAGCAUCUUUGUGGCAUUGUCGUCUUGGACAUGUCAACAAGAAGCGCAUAGCCCAACUCCAAAAGGAUGGAGUGUUGGAGCCAUUCGACCUUAGGGAAGAUGACACGUGUGAAUCUUGUUUACUUGGAAAGAUGACCAAGUCACCCUUCUCUGGCACUUGUGAGAGGGGUGAAGGUUUAUUGGAUCUCAUACAUACCGAUCUGUGUGGACCCUUUAGAUCUACCACAAAGGAUGGGAACCGCUUCUAUGUGACUUUUACCGAUAAUUAUAAUAGAUAUGGGUAUAUCUACUUAAUCCAGCAUAAGUCAGAAACGUUUGAAAAGUUCAAAGAAUUCAAACAUGAAGUGGAGAAUCAAUUGGGCAGGAAAAUCAAGAUGCUUCGAUCUGAUCGAGGAGGAGAGUACCUAAGUCUUGAAUUCCAUGACUAUCUCAAGGAAUGCAAUAUAGUUUCGCAAUUGACGCUACCUAGGACACCGUAGUUGAAUGGUGUGGCAGAAAGGCGCAAUCGAACCUUGUUAGACAUGGUUCGUUCUAUGAUGAGUCGUGCUUCACUACCUAUAUCAUUUUGGGGGUAUGCCUUAGAGACUGCCGCCCAUAUCCUUAACCGAUUCCCUACAAAGAAGGUUGCCAAAACACCUCACGAGAUGUGGACAGGGAAAGCUCCCUCGUUAGCACACAUCAAGGUUUGGGGUUGUGAAGUUUUCGUAAGAUGAGAGACUCAAGACAAGCUUGAACCUCGUAGUGAGCGAUGUAUUUUCAUCGGCUACCUACAGAAAUCCUUUGGAUAUAUCUUCUAUAGACCGAGUGACAAUGUAGUCUUCGUUGCGAGGAGAGGGGUUUUCCGAGAAAGAGAACUCAUAAACCAAGGAGACAGUGGGAGGCAGAUCGAUCUUGAAGAGAUUCAAGAGUCGAGUGAUGAAGGAACCUCUACCGCUGGCGCUCAACUCGAGGAGGAAACUUCGGUUGAACCUAUUGACCAAUCCUUACCUCUUAGACGUUCCGAAAGAGUUAGAGUUCAACCCCAGUUAUAUGGAUUUCAUAUUACUACCGAAGGGGACACGUAUAUUAGUAACAGUACACUAGUAAACCUAGAUGAACCUAAUAGCUAUAAGGAAGCCAUGGCAGGCCCGGAGUCUGCUAAAUGGAAAGAGGCAAUGGAUAGCGAUAUUCAGCCCAUGUAUGACAACCAAGUUUAGAAUUUGGUUGACAAUGUGCCCGGACGUAAGACGGUUAGGUGCAAAUGGAUCUUCAAGAAGAAGACCGACGUGGAUGGGAAUGCGCACACGUAUAAGGCACGACUAGUGGCGAAGGGCUUUACUCAAACUCCCAGAGUUGACUAUGAUGAGACCUUCUCACCAGUUGCUAAGAUAAAAUCUAUUAGGGUGAUGCUAGCCAUUGCCGCAUUUCAGGAUUAUGAGAUAUGGCAAAUGGAUGUUAAAAUCGCUUUCCUUAAUAGGAAGUUGGCUGAGGAUGUUUACAUGGCUCAGCCAGAGGGUUUUGUUGAUCCGAAGCAUCCCAAUAGAGUGUGCAAGCUUGAGAAGUCCAUUUAUGGACUUAAGCAAGCAUCUCGCAGAUGGAAUCUUUGCUUUGAUGAGAAAGUCAAAGAGUUUGGAUUUGUACGAAGCGAAGAUGAAUCAUGUGUAUAUGUCAAAGCCAGUGGGAGUGUAGUUAGCUUUCUCGUUUUGUAUGUCGAUGACAUACUGCUCAUAGGAAACGACAUCCCGACUCUGCAGGAGGUAAAGUCCUGGCUCGGGAAGUGCUUCGCUAUGAAGGACCUCGGAGAGGCUUCUUACAUUUUGGGAAUAAGGAUAGUAAGAGAAAGAAGUAAGAGACUAAUUGGACUUAGUCAGAAUACUUACUUAGAGAAGGUACUAAAACGUUUUAGUAUGGAAAACUCAAAGAAGGGAGAAUUACCGAUACAAAGUAAUACCAAGUUGAGUAAGACUCAAAGUCCGAGUACCGAAGCCGAGAUAGCUAAGAUGAGCCGAGUACCUUACGCUUCCGUAGUUGGCUCAAUCAUGUAUGCUAUGACUUGUACUCGCCCUGAUGUGGCCUUUGGUUUGAGCAUGGUUAGUAGAUAUCAAGGGAAUCCUGGAAGAGCGCAUUGGAUUGCGGUCAAGAACAUCCUUAAGUACCUUCGGAGGACCAAGGAAUGGUUUCUAGUCCUCAGAGGGAGUGAUGACUUAAAGGUGCAAGUAUAUAGUGACGCCAGUUUCCAGACCGACAGGGACAACUAUCAUUUGCAGUCAGGAUGGGUAUUUACCCUUAAUGGAGGAGUGAUAACUUGGAAAAGUUCCAAACAAGAAACUGUAGCGGAUUCAACGUGCGAAUUAGAGUACAUUGUAGCGAGCGAAGCGUCAAAAGAGGCAAUAUGGCUGAAGAACUUCAUUGGCGAUCUUGGAGUUGUGCCUGUUAUAAAGGAGUCCAUGGAAAUUUUCUGUGAUAAUGAAGGAGCGGUUGCCUUGACCAAGGAACCGAGGGAUCGUGGUAGAUCUCGGCAUAUCGACAGAAAAUAUCACUUUAUUAGACAUUGAGUAGAAGAAGGAAACCUCGUAGUUAAGAGGAUAUCAUCAGAAGAUAACCCAGCGGAUCCGCUUACGAAGGGACUGAGUAGGGUUAAGCACUUGCAGCAUGCUAGGAGUAUUGGGUUGAAGGAUGAUAUUAGUUUAGAUUAGAUAGUUUUAGAAACAUGUAAUAGGUAAAUGUAAUUGACACUUGAUGAUUAAAUAAAGGAGUAUUGUUUAUAAGUAAAGUUACUAUCUUAUGUUAAUUGUUUAGCUAUUGUUUCGCUUUGCAUGUUUUGACUUCCUGAAUAAUUAAGUUAUUAAGAAUAAUCGAGUUAUUCGAAUGGUCCACAAUCGUUCAUAUGAUGGAAGUAGGUAUGAAUGAAGAUUGUCAUGAAUUGGUGUGUAGAUUGUCUAAAUGGUAUUAGACAUAGCAAAGGUUUGCUGCAACGUUCAUGAGUGCUUAUGAACAAGUUUUGAGCAUUGGAAUAAACCCGCUCUUGCUGGAAUCACUUUGGGGUGAUCGCAAGACGAUAAUAUCAUAUGGUAUUAAAACUUAGAUAUAUGGUUUAUUAUUUACUAAUUUGUUGUACAUUGAUAAUGCGAAACCGCAUCAGUAAAUUGAUGUCAUAAAACGCAUUGUUGUGUAUAGUUGAUUAGUCGAUAAGUAGAUGCAUAUAAGUCGAAGUUUAUAUGUUACUUUUAUCCUAAGAGGUUAAAAGCGAUAUCACGGCCGCUCGAUGAUUUGAUUUGACUUAUGUGCCGGGCCUGGUCAGGACUAAAUUGAUGUGUUCAAUUAAGUUCUAUGUCAAAUAAAUCUAAGAUCGAGAAAAUAGUUGUUGGACAUAAGUAUGACAAUGUUUCAUGAAAUCGUCUGCACGAUAUCAAAACAGAGGAUUGUACGAUCCCUUAUCUAAAGGACAGGUUACUAAUAAGAUCAGAGUUGACGGCGUCUUUGAGAGCUACGAUUGCUGAUCGGAUUGUGUUUGCAUUUAUAGUUACUAGACUUAUCCAAGUGGGAGACAAUUGGAUUAGUGUCUAAGGCUGUAACUAUAUUUGGUAAGUACUUGACCUGAUUAUGCAUGGUCCUUUUGGGUUGCCUUCACCAUAGCAACUUGACAGGGUGAUUUAUAUAGAGAGAAGAGAUAUUAUUAUUAAUGUAUUAUAAGAAUAAUAUGUUAAAGGAAUAAUAAUAUUAAUUUGAUUAAUAUACGUCAUAAAUUAAUUAGGAAUUAAUUUGGUGACUUAAAGAGAUUAAUUAAAGGAAGGGGUAUAAACUGUCAAAUGUGUGAUAGUUGUAUUCUGAGCUAAGAAUCCUUAUGGAUAUGGGUUGGACGAUUUUAGGGAUUUGGAUCACCUAGAAAUCGUCCAAGGCUUAUCUAGGAGGGAUAUUGGAUUGCUUUAAGGCUAAGUUAUCCAAUUAGGGUUUUAGGGUGAAACCCUAGGAGCUCACAGUAUAAAUAGACCCUAGGGGGUUGUGGAAAUCGACACCUUUGUUAUUGGAGUAACCCUAGGGCCGAUUUCUCUCUUGCUUACCUCUCUCAAAUCAUCUUCUUGCUAGUUGGUGUUUGUAAGCCAUUAGAGGAGUGACAAUUGUGACUCUAAGCUCCAAGGAGAAGAAGGUUUCAAGCAAGUAAUUCAAUGUAUGAUACUAGAUCUGUUUUCAUAUGUUUUGAUUGUUAGUUUACAUUAGAUCUAGCCAUGAAAGUCUUGGAUAUAUUGCAUGUUCAAUUAGAGAAACCUAGAUCCAAGCAAUUAGGGUUUGCAUGUGCACAUAGGAAAGUUCUUAUGGCUCAAACCCAUCAAAAAUUCAUGAAGUGAUCCAAGUGAGCGUGGGUUUAAUCCAAUGCUCAAAUCAUAUUCAUAAGCACUCAUGAACGUUGCAGCAAACAUUUGCUUAUGUCUAAUACUCUUUAGACAAUCCACACACCAAUUCACGACAGUCUUCAUUCAUACCUACUUCCAACAUAUGAACGACUGUGGCCCGUUCGAAUAAUUUGACUGUUCUGAACCAAUUAAAUUAUUCAGGAAGUCAAAACAUGCAAAGCGAAAUACAAGAAUAAUACUAAUCCCAUAUGGCGCCAAACCUUUGAGUAUAAAUAAAACACCUUUUACUUAUCACCAUAUCGAUUAUUCAUUAUUUGUUGUUUCAGGUAAUCGACUUCUAAUUUGAAUUAUAACUACACAUGCUCUUAUCAUGCACACAAUGCUAACGUAUGGUCCUUACUUUGUGAAAUAGAUCAAAUGAACACAUUUCCAAUCAUACUCAUUUCACAACUCCCAAUCCUUAUCACAAGUGUAAGAAUAUCAAAUUCUUGCCACUUAUAGAAUAUGUUAGAUUCUAACAUUUUAUGCAAUGAUCCUUUUGUAAUGUCACUGCACUAAGGUCACAAUGACUAUUGCCAAUGAAUUACAAAGCUCUCUAUCGGAAAUUGUUACAAGACAAUUCCAUAGAUGUGAUGUCUCUCACUCAAAGUACAUUCCUUUGAACAUCCUUUUGCAUAAAAGUUUCUAAUCUAGACAUAGAUUCUCAAUAUCCAAUUCCCAAUAUGGAAACCUUUCCAUACUUACCAUAUGACAACUCAUUCUUAAUAGAAUCUUAUCUAUUCAUAAUAAUGUCGAUAUGCUCCAUCCAAUAUCAUACUUCCAACUACUCACAAGCGACCAAUCCUUAGCAUGCUUUGGAUCGUCCUUUGAUAGUUGUUUAACUAUCUUAGUCAAAAAAUUGAUUCUUGUCCUUUUUCCCUCUUAAUGCGCUAGACAUUUGGAAAAUUUUAGAAUGGUCAAAUAUAAUAGCACUUGCAAUCGAUCCUAUAUCUGAAGCAUAUGGGUCACGAUGCAUAAUAUCUUACAUAAAGAUUUGAUACUUUAUCAAUCUUCUGCCAUAAUAUUUUAUGUGUUAUGUUCUUACAAUUCGAACUAUGAGAGGAAAGCUGUAAUCAUAAUCAAAAUUUAAGAACACACUAUGUAUCCUUGACUAAGUUUAUUAACAUUCCACAACCCAAGCCUUUAGUUUUGAAAUGAAGCAUAAUAUUCUCUCCCUUAAUUAUAGCAAAACAACUAUUCAACCCUUACGACUUUGCAAAGUAUAACUCUUGUUUUCUAUAAUUAAUAUUGCUAACUUGCAAUACUUGUUUUAAUAAUCAUACAAGCACAACAUUUAUGCUCCCACUAUCAUGAUGAUUAUUAUCAAAUAAGCAUAACACUUAUGCUCCCACUAGCUUUGACAUGAUAAUCCUUUAUCUAAGCUUCUUAAACUUAUACACCUUUGCCUUAGAUAGCUCAUAUGUGUGUCUAAACAAUUCAGACUAAUUGCCAAAUCUCACAAUUCGAAUCAUGGAAAGGGAUACCGUGACCAUAAUCGAAUUCGAGAAUACAAUUUCACAAUCACUAUCUUCUUAAAAUCUCUCUUAGUGAAAGCAUUUCCUCACAGUCAUUUUCAUGAAGGAGGGAAUCUUAUGACACUUAGAUUUUAAUGGUGUAUGUGUUCCUAUCCAUGUGAAUUUGUCAAAACCAAAGUUUACGACAAAUUCAAACUCAUAUGGACCGAACUUUCUUAAUCUUGAUUUCUUGCCUUAUGGUAACACGAGUGCCCACCAUGUCUUCCAAGUAGUUAAGCAGCUCACCCUUUCCUAUCAAUGUACUUUCCAUUGAUCAAGGUGCCUGCCUUUUAUGCGUUCAAAUGAGAACUCAUAGAACUCACAUGCAUAAUUAACUCAAUUGGAAUGGCACAGAAACAAAAUAGUGUCAACACGAUAGGUUGUAAACCUCAACUCGUGUGCUAGUGAUGAUCGAUAAGGUUUAUUUUGAUUUGUUCUUGAAACCUUUCAAGACCAUUAAGACUCCCACUGACUCCUUGACAUAUAAGAUUCUCUUGUCAAUAAACAUUUCUUGACAAACAAAUAUUCAAGAGUUAGUGUAGCCUUUACCAAGAUAAAACACUUUACAAAAUUGGUCCUAGUUGGUCUUUGUCUUAUCCCAGACAUCACAACUUACCAAUUCCAAAUGUGCAAGAAUAAGAGAAACCUUUUUCUAAAUUCUACAUUUGAUGAAUGUUAUAAACCUUCUUAAGACUUGUCACUCAAUGUCAUAAUCUAAGACUUGUUUUGGAAUGAAGUAUGAUUGACUUUUUGAUUUAACCAUUUCUUCAAUUCUUGAUUCCUCUUCUUAGACAUGAAAUUGCACUAAGACUCACUUAGAGGAUAAAUUGAGAUAUGGUUCUUAAUCAUUAAGACAUGUCAUAAAACAUAAUAAAAGGAACUCUCACUUCUUCUUAGAAUAGAGAAACUUUUAUCUUUCUGCCUACUUGAUUCUUCUUAUUCGUUCUGCUAUUGAUUUAAACUUUUUCAAUCAAUUCAGAAUUACACUUAAUCUUAUAAGUAUAAUCAUAUUUACUAAACCUUUAGUAAAUCAUGAUGAAUAUCUUUAUCACUCUUGUGGUGGACUUGAACAACACACAACUCUGUGUACUCGAUCUCCUAGUCCUUCACUCGACACUUUGUCAACAAAUUAGUCUAAAUUUCCCAAAUGUUAAAGUUUUCAUUCAUCAUACAAUACUUGUUGCAUGAUUCCAAGUUCCUGUCCACUUGAAACUUGGAUGAUGCGAAACUCUCCUUAUUUGGUAAAUUCUUGACUUCCACAAUUAACAUAAUUUAGAAUCACAUCCAUUCGUUGUAGAAAUAUGCAAACAUCAAUUUUUCAUAACGAUUUCAUUGCAGGGAACUAAAUAAAUAAAUACGUCAAACAAAAAUUUAUUUUAUUCAUAAAAACAGCGGAAAACAUUUGUCCUUACAAUGCAAAAUCAACUGAAAAACUAUGUAAUCAAAUAUUCCUAACAACUCUAUCAUAACUUUCUAAGCUCAAAAUCUAAUCUUCGAAUCCAUGUGAUCGAGAUCCAUCUCUUCGUGAUCAGACUCAUCUUGCUUUUCCAUCAGGCUUCCUCUCUUUUCACUGAUCCUGGAAAACAUUCAAAUGCAAUCUUAUCACAUUAUGUAUUAAGAAUCAAUGAAUAGGAACUUAAUGGAGUUAGAUAGUGGAUUUUACCUGAAGCACAUCCAUACUCCUUGACUCUCCCAUCUUCUGGAUUCUUCAGGCUCUUAGGGCAGACUUGUAUCCAACGCCCUUUCACUUGGCAGCAAACGCAGGUCAGUUCUCCUAGAACGUCCUCGGAAGCAUGGUUGGUUGACUUUCCCAACAAAUACGCUCCAUUGCUUUGCCAAAUCAUUUCUGAUUCAGCAGCAAUGAGCAUGUAAGUUUGGUCAAUGAGGUUUUCGUCAUGAUCCAUCAUAUAAUACUUUCUCUUGAACUCAUUAUAUGAUUCAGGGAGUGACUGUAGAUCCCAUUCUACAACCAACUUAUCAGGGAAUGACACACCCAACAUAAUCAACCUAUCGAUGUGUGAUUUCAUUCCUAGAACGUGGGCACACACGGGCUUACCAUCUUCAUGUUUCAUUGCCAGUAGGGCUUUAGUGACAUUUAACCUUUCAAUUCUUCGAUCUUGUGGGUUAGGGAGAACAACGGGAGGAGGAGGAGGAAGUGAAAUCAAACUAGUCCACCUUGAUUCUUCACUUGAAUAGCGGAACAACUUAUUUUUAGCAAGAACACCUUUUCCUUGAAAUUUGGGAAGACCAUGAUUGUCAUACUUUGACAUCUACAAAACGGGAGAAAACGAAUUCAAGUUAGUUGAUUUAUUGAGUCCUUAGUAAAUCACCCAAAUGAUAUACUAAGGCUAGGACCCAACACAAUAUUCCACAACUCGGGAGAGGGAUGUCGUAACCCAAAUUGCAGAACAUUUGAAGGUAAGUGAAUGACGAUUCACUAAUUUUCCACCAUGAAAAACGAAAAACAGAUUAAGUUUUAAAUGUAUUGAAAACUCCUAGAUCCUUUGAGAUUCAUUGAACUUUUCAAUGGCAUGUUUAAAUCUCGAUAUGCCCCUCUAGUUUGUGACUGGGAUGCCGAGGAUCACAAAGCGGGUGUGAAUAACCAUGCAAAUCUACAUGGUGCCCCCACAUGUUACAGUCACCUAUUCGAUGUGCCGGUUAACCACACACGCUCCACCGAACUAUGACAAACAUUGAGUCACCCUUUGCUACCUUUNNNNNNNNNNNNNNNNNNNNNNNNNNNNNNNNNNNNNNNNNNNNNNNNNNNNNNNNNNNNNNNNNNNNNNNNNNNNNNNNNNNNNNNNNNNNNNNNNNNNNNNNNNNNNNNNNNNNNNNNNNNNNNNNNNNNNNNNNNNNNNNNNNNNNNNNNNNNNNNNNNNNNNNNNNNNNNNNNNNNNNNNNNNNNNNNNNNNNNNNNNNNNNNNNNNNNNNNNNNNNNNNNNNNNNNNNNNNNNNNNNNNNNNNNNNNNNNNNNNNNNNNNNNNNNNNNNNNNNNNNNNNNNNNNNNNNNNNNNNNNNNNNNNNNNNNNNNNNNNNNNNNNNNNNNNNNNNNNNNNNNNNNNNNNNNNNNNNNNNNNNNNNNNNNNNNNNNNNNNNNNNNNNNNNNNNNNNNNNNNNNNNNNNNNNNNNNNNNNNNNNNNNNNNNNNNNNNNNNNNNNNNNNNNNNNNNNNNNNNNNNNNNNNNNNNNNNNNNNNNNNNNNNNNNNNNNNNNNNNNNNNNNNNNNNNNNNNNNNNNNNNNNNNNNNNNNNNNNNNNNNNNNNNNNNNNNNNNNNNNNNNNNNNNNNNNNNNNNNNNNNNNNNNNNNNNNNNNNNNNNNNNNNNNNNNNNNNNNNNNNNNNNNNNNNNNNNNNNNNNNNNNNNNNNNNNNNNNNNNNNNNNNNNNNNNNNNNNNNNNNNNNNNNNNNNNNNNNNNNNNNNNNNNNNNNNNNNNNNNNNNNNNNNNNNNNNNNNNNNNNNNNNNNNNNNNNNNNNNNNNNNNNNNNNNNNNNNNNNNNNNNNNNNNNNNNNNNNNNNNNNNNNNNNNNNNNNNNNNNNNNNNNNNNNNNNNNNNNNNNNNNNNNNNNNNNNNNNNNNNNNNNNNNNNNNNNNNNNNNNNNNNNNNNNNNNNNNNNNNNNNNNNNNNNNNNNNNNNNNNNNNNNNNNNNNNNNNNNNNNNNNNNNNNNNNNNNNNNNNNNNNNNNNNNNNNNNNNNNNNNNNNNNNNNNNNNNNNNNNNNNNNNNNNNNNNNNNNNNNNNNNNNNNNNNNNNNNNNNNNNNNNNNNNNNNNNNNNNNNNNNNNNNNNNNNNNNNNNNNNNNNNNNNNNNNNNNNNNNNNNNNNNNNNNNNNNNNNNNNNNNNNNNNNNNNNNNNNNNNNNNNNNNNNNNNNNNNNNNNNNNNNNNNNNNNNNNNNNNNNNNNNNNNNNNNNNNNNNNNNNNNNNNNNNNNNNNNNNNNNNNNNNNNNNNNNNNNNNNNNNNNNNNNNNNNNNNNNNNNNNNNNNNNNNNNNNNNNNNNNNNNNNNNNNNNNNNNNNNNNNNNNNNNNNNNNNNNNNNNNNNNNNNNNNNNNNNNNNNNNNNNNNNNNNNNNNNNNNNNNNNNNNNNNNNNNNNNNNNNNNNNNNNNNNNNNNNNNNNNNNNNNNNNNNNNNNNNNNNNNNNNNNNNNNNNNNNNNNNNNNNNNNNNNNNNNNNNNNNNNNNNNNNNNNNNNNNNNNNNNNNNNNNNNNNNNNNNNNNNNNNNNNNNNNNNNNNNNNNNNNNNNNNNNNNNNNNNNNNNNNNNNNNNNNNNNNNNNNNNNNNNNNNNNNNNNNNNNNNNNNNNNNNNNNNNNNNNNNNNNNNNNNNNNNNNNNNNNNNNNNNNNNNNNNNNNNNNNNNNNNNNNNNNNNNNNNNNNNNNNNNNNNNNNNNNNNNNNNNNNNNNNNNNNNNNNNNNNNNNNNNNNNNNNNNNNNNNNNNNNNNNNNNNNNNNNNNNNNNNNNNNNNNNNNNNNNNNNNNNNNNNNNNNNNNNNNNNNNNNNNNNNNNNNNNNNNNNNNNNNNNNNNNNNNNNNNNNNNNNNNNNNNNNNNNNNNNNNNNNNNNNNNNNNNNNNNNNNNNNNNNNNNNNNNNNNNNNNNNNNNNNNNNNNNNNNNNNNNNNNNNNNNNNNNNNNNNNNNNNNNNNNNNNNNNNNNNNNNNNNNNNNNNNNNNNNNNNNNNNNNNNNNNNNNNNNNNNNNNNNNNNNNNNNNNNNNNNNNNNNNNNNNNNNNNNNNNNNNNNNNNNNNNNNNNNNNNNNNNNNNNNNNNNNNNNNNNNNNNNNNNNNNNNNNNNNNNNNNNNNNNNNNNNNNNNNNNNNNNNNNNNNNNNNNNNNNNNNNNNNNNNNNNNNNNNNNNNNNNNNNNNNNNNNNNNNNNNNNNNNNNNNNNNNNNNNNNNNNNNNNNNNNNNNNNNNNNNNNNNNNNNNNNNNNNNNNNNNNNNNNNNNNNNNNNNNNNNNNNNNNNNNNNNNNNNNNNNNNNNNNNNNNNNNNNNNNNNNNNNNNNNNNNNNNNNNNNNNNNNNNNNNNNNNNNNNNNNNNNNNNNNNNNNNNNNNNNNNNNNNNNNNNNNNNNNNNNNNNNNNNNNNNNNNNNNNNNNNNNNNNNNNNNNNNNNNNNNNNNNNNNNNNNNNNNNNNNNNNNNNNNNNNNNNNNNNNNNNNNNNNNNNNNNNNNNNNNNNNNNNNNNNNNNNNNNNNNNNNNNNNNNNNNNNNNNNNNNNNNNNNNNNNNNNNNNNNNNNNNNNNNNNNNNNNNNNNNNNNNNNNNNNNNNNNNNNNNNNNNNNNNNNNNNNNNNNNNNNNNNNNNNNNNNNNNNNNNNNNNNNNNNNNNNNNNNNNNNNNNNNNNNNNNNNNNNNNNNNNNNNNNNNNNNNNNNNNNNNNNNNNNNNNNNNNNNNNNNNNNNNNNNNNNNNNNNNNNNNNNNNNNNNNNNNNNNNNNNNNNNNNNNNNNNNNNNNNNNNNNNNNNNNNNNNNNNNNNNNNNNNNNNNNNNNNNNNNNNNNNNNNNNNNNNNNNNNNNNNNNNNNNNNNNNNNNNNNNNNNNNNNNNNNNNNNNNNNNNNNNNNNNNNNNNNNNNNNNNNNNNNNNNNNNNNNNNNNNNNNNNNNNNNNNNNNNNNNNNNNNNNNNNNNNNNNNNNNNNNNNNNNNNNNNNNNNNNNNNNNNNNNNNNNNNNNNNNNNNNNNNNNNNNNNNNNNNNNNNNNNNNNNNNNNNNNNNNNNNNNNNNNNNNNNNNNNNNNNNNNNNNNNNNNNNNNNNNNNNNNNNNNNNNNNNNNNNNNNNNNNNNNNNNNNNNNNNNNNNNNNNNNNNNNNNNNNNNNNNNNNNNNNNNNNNNNNNNNNNNNNNNNNNNNNNNNNNNNNNNNNNNNNNNNNNNNNNNNNNNNNNNNNNNNNNNNNNNNNNNNNNNNNNNNNNNNNNNNNNNNNNNNNNNNNNNNNNNNNNNNNNNNNNNNNNNNNNNNNNNNNNNNNNNNNNNNNNNNNNNNNNNNNNNNNNNNNNNNNNNNNNNNNNNNNNNNNNNNNNNNNNNNNNNNNNNNNNNNNNNNNNNNNNNNNNNNNNNNNNNNNNNNNNNNNNNNNNNNNNNNNNNNNNNNNNNNNNNNNNNNNNNNNNNNNNNNNNNNNNNNNNNNNNNNNNNNNNNNNNNNNNNNNNNNNNNNNNNNNNNNNNNNNNNNNNNNNNNNNNNNNNNNNNNNNNNNNNNNNNNNNNNNNNNNNNNNNNNNNNNNNNNNNNNNNNNNNNNNNNNNNNNNNNNNNNNNNNNNGGGAUCAUUCAGGUAUGCUGGAUGAACAAUGUAUACAUGUUUUACUUGAUUUAAACUAUAUAUGUAUUUUAUACCUAUGAUUAUGAUGGGUAAAGAUGGGUAGAUGAUAUAGAUGAUGAAAUAAAAUAAUGAGAGACCUCGAUGUUUAAGCUAAUUCAAUCAUCUAGCGCAGUAUAGAUGACAACCACGGGCUAUUCUAGACAGUCUAGUAUAACUCUAGUAGGCUCGCAACCUAUAGGUGUUUUUGAACUACGUAUUCACCAGGAGUACUCCAUCCCCCUCAUGGUUGCCUUUUUGACAUAAAUUGUUGAGGAAUCCCCUAAGCAUUGUUUUUGAUCAUGAUGAUAAUCCUUAGGCUAGGUCCCUUUAAUUAGAUGCUUUAGGGACAAAAAGUGAGGAUAACGGGAAUGUGUAAUUGGGUUGAAUGAUUUGACGAAAUUAAUAAACUUAAUUAUUGUGGGUUGAAAACCCUAUAUGCUUACCAGGCUCCCAAGCCUGACCCACUCAGUUUUUUGUAUUACAUGUAGUGGAAAUAGAGCACAUGAGUGAUGAUCUGAUGAGAGAUCAAUGGAUUAUAGGCCUUUAGAAUAAUAGAUGUUGUAAGGCCUGUAUUAUUUCUAUUUAUGUUUAUGUAAUGUAUUGACAAUGACAUCCUAAUGUUUUUAAUUAAUUGAAAAUACAUUUCUUUGGAAAUGCUUUGAUAAAUUACUUAUCAUAUUUUUGGGAACAAAUUCCGCAACAUAUUUCUUCAAAAGGAUAAUCUGGUUUUUAAAUAAAGCAUAAACAAAUCGGUCUUUUCUGGCCGUGAAAUUAGGGAUGUCACGAUUUUCAUUAUACAUGUGAGGGCACAUGAUGUAUGAUUGUUAUAAAUAUAGUAAUAAUACAAUAUAUUAAAUUUAAAUAUUUUUAUGUUAUAUCUUUAUUUCUUUAAUAUUCAAAUUUAAUUCUCUAUUAAAUAAUACUUAAAGUUAAAUAUUCAAUUUUAAACUCUUAUUCAAAUAAUAUUUACUUCAAGAGGUAACCUUGUCAACCAAGAAACAGAUACGAAAAAUAAAACGCAGAAACGCCAAAAACGCACCACAUCGGAUUAGGACGCGUCGUGUCCCUCUAGCUUUUAGAUUUUUCAAUUUUCGAUCUUAAUAGCAGUGUAUAUAAUCUAAAAGCUAAACGCUAUGAUAUGCUUUUCAGUUUUUAUAGCAUCAAUACACUCUAUAAAGGCAGCGGAAACAAACAAAUUUUACCUAAAUAUACAUGCACCCUAGGAUCUAGGUUUUGCUAAUAUUAGCAACCUGCUUUGAGAUCGAACAAAAUAAAGGUAAGAACACUAACAUUUUGAACUUAUGAUUAAGACCAUGUGAUUGACAACUCUUUCAAAAGGAUGAAGGACACAAGUAGAAUCCCUCUAAUGUAGUCAGACCCAAGACUCCAAGAAGUAGAACAAGGAAACCCUAUGAAGGAAUAAGUCGAAAAUUCCAUAACCCUAGAGAGGGGUUAUAAUUUUUAGCCCGAUGGAGAUAUAGGAGAAAGGGUGAGUGAAAACUGAGAGUUAGGAAGCCCUUGGAUUUAAUCCCAUGUCUCCUGUAUAUAAGCUCCAACCAAAAUAUUUAAGUCAAUCAGAUUCCUAAGAAUAAUCUGUAUCCUUAGCGGAGCGUACCUUAUCCUAGGAUAGAUCCUAGAUUUCAUUCAUACAUAUCUUCAAAAAGGCUUCUGGAAUAUUCCAAUAAAUCUGUAGGGAUUAAUUAAUAUUCGAGCCUUUUAAUUAAUUAAAACUAUUUAACUAGUUACCAGAACAAUUUCCAAUUAAUUUAUUAAUUCAUAACAAAUUAACAACUUAUUUUUCUCCAUUUCCUUAUUUCUAAUUGUGUCAUGACACCAACUCAAAAGGACAUUGUUAUUAUUUAGAAAUAUUACAAAUAGUUAAUGACCUUGGACACUAUCUCUAACAAUAAAUAAAUUAAAUAGACAAUCGAACAUAUGAUUCUACCCAAAAGCAAUAUAUCAAACAAGAACCAUGUAAUAUGUAAGAUCUGUGCUAGUCAAUUUAGAGACGAUAAGCAUCAAAAAUGAAUUUUGAAUAGAAGAUUAUUUAGAAUGAAUAAUCUUAACCAAGUCAUAGUAUAUGUUACAAUGGUUCCGUACAUAUAAAGAACGCCGAAAUCCGAGUUAUAACGAAGAAGUUAUGGCCCAUCGAAGUUCUACGGCAAAACCGGCACGACACCAGGAGACGUAAAUAGUGAAUUUACAAUAGAAGACUUUUUAGCCUUAGAUAUCUAAAUUAAAGUUGUAAUAUACGUUAAACCGAGAGUGUGCAUAAAAAGAACGUCAAAAUAUGACUUCGUAUGAGGAAGUUAUGAUUUUUCUAAGAUUUGGCAUAGCAGUGCACAACCCGAAAUUCGAAUUUUAGAUCGGUCGAUUUUUGGCCGACGCAACCUAAACAAGAAUCGAAUAUCUCAUUAAUAGUAGUGCAACGGCAAAAAAAGACAUAUGAAAACGGACGUUAGAUGAAGAAGUUAUGAAUUUUUAACGGACUUUUCCUGUCCCGGCCUGUUAAAAAUAUAACUUUAAAAAUAAAGUCAAAAUUAGCUGAUGGAGUCUAAAUGAAAGUUGUAGAGUACGUCUCUACCUACGCGUGGAUAGAAACAGCGUAAAAAACGGAGUUCAUAUGAGCAAAUUACAAAUUAUAAUAGCAUAUUUACGUAUUAAAAUAAAGUGUAUAUCAUAUAUAUAUAUAUAUAUANNNNNNNNNNNNNNNNNNNNNNNNNNNNNNNNNNNNNNNNNNNNNNNNNNNNNNNNNNNNNNNNNNNNNNNNNNNNNNNNNNNNNNNNNNNNNNNNNNNNNNNNNNNNNNNNNNNNNNNNNNNNNNNNNNNNNNNNNNNNNNNNNNNNNNNNNNNNNNNNNNNNNNNNNNNNNNNNNNNNNNNNNNNNNNNNNNNNNNNNNNNNNNNNNNNNNNNNNNNNNNNNNNNNNNNNNNNNNNNNNNNNNNNNNNNNNNNNNNNNNNNNNNNNNNNNNNNNNNNNNNNNNNNNNNNNNNNNNNNNNNNNNNNNNNNNNNNNNNNNNNNNNNNNNNNNNNNNNNNNNNNNNNNNNNNNNNNNNNNNNNNNNNNNNNNNNNNNNNNNNNNNNNNNNNNNNNNNNNNNNNNNNNNNNNNNNNNNNNNNNNNNNNNNNNNNNNNNNNNNNNNNNNNNNNNNNNNNNNNNNNNNNNNNNNNNNNNNNNNNNNNNNNNNNNNNNNNNNNNNNUUAUAACAAAUAUUUGGGCUAUUAUUAUGACUUAUAUAAGUGUCGUUAUAAUAUCUUUUUAACUACUCGCGGUACGGGGAAUCUAGUUUAAAGGGUCGUAUAGGGUUGUUGGAUUUCAGAAGUGCUAUAUGCCAAAAUGGUCCCGCCCUCCGGUGUUUUAUGUCUUUCCCCUGUUUGUACAUAGUGGUUAGAAAAUAUUGUUUGAACGCUUAUAUAAUAAUAAUAAUAAUAAUAAUAAUAAUAAUAAUAAUAAUAAUUAGUCACGGUAAAUAUUAGACUAAAAUCUAGUGGUAAUAAUACUAGGUUUCGUCGAAGGAAAUUAUUUUUAAGAAGCGAAACGCUGUCUGAGUUCGGAAUCACCACCUUAACAAGUGAGUGCAUAGUUACUUUCAUCUUACACAUAGACAUGAAGUAUUUUAAUAUAAAUUGCGUGCUAUGUGUGCAUCUUGUCUGAGUACUUGUUGUCUAUGCUGAAUGGAAGAUUUUAUACAUGUUUUAAAUGAUUUAAAUUGUAUAUGUAUUUUAUAUUUACAAAAUAUGUUGGGUAAAACAUGGGUAGAUGAAAUAUAAAUUGAAUGUUGAGAUAAGAGGUGUUAUAGACCAUGAGAUAAGGGUGAGAGGUGAACAAUGAGAGAAGCCUUUACCCAAGCGUGGCCCCGUCAUCUAGUAGAGUAUGGAUGACAACGACGGACUAUUCUAGACAGUCUAGUGGAACACUAGCAGACUCGCAACCUAUAGGUGUUGUGAACGAUAUGUUCACCCGAUGUACUCUAAACCUUGGUGAUCAUGCAGACUUGGUGCCUAAACCUUGACGAUCAUGUAUACUUGGUGCCUAAACCCUGGCGACCAUGCAGACUUGGUGCCUAAACCCUGGCGACUACGCAGACUUAGUACUCGUUGUGUAAACUGUGGCAACGAUAGACUUCGUGUCAAUUCCUUAGGAUGAUCCUUAGGGAUGAAUGAAUGAGGAAUAGCUGAUUCUUAGGGUAGAUCCUUAAGAAUAAAGAAGAUAAUGGGGAUGAGUAAUUGGGUUGAUUGUUUGAUGUUUAAACAUAAUAAUUAUAUUAUUGUGGGUUGAAAACCCUAUGUACUCACCAGGUUUCCCAACUUGACCAACUCGGUUUAUUUGUAUCACAGGUGUCUAUAUAAAGUUACAUUGCACUGAGGUAUUAAGGAGAUAUAAUCACUAGUGAUAAUGAAUGUAAGUUCUGUUUAUGCUUAUGUUUCUGUAUUGACGAUAACAUCCCAAUGUUUUAAAAUGAAUAAAAAUACAUUUCUUCAAAAAUGAUUUGAUAACGUAUUUAUCAUGUUUUUCUAGGAACAAAUUCCACAACAUUUUUAUUAGAAGAGGUGCUCUGAUCUUUAUAAAGCAUAAACAAAACCGGUCUUUUCUGGCCAUAAAAAUGGGGAUGUCACAUAAUAAGCCUAGACCAGAGUUCUAAGGUUAUCCAAUUUAAACUACAUAUAAUCCUUACGGCAUUCACUUAACAAUAAACCAAUUAUACCAAUACUCAUCCAAUCAUGACACAUAACGGUAUCAUGCAAUCAACCAAUCACAUACAUAACAAAGACCAACCUAGUCUAUUAGAAUAUUCAUACCCUAAAAAUACAUAUAUUUUUAUCAUACAACAGAUAUACAAUGUCACAUGUGGUACAAUGAGAAAACUCACUUGAGCCAAAAAAAAAUCUCAAUAUCAGCCUUUAUAAAUGAAACUACUAAUGCGAAUUGUCUAAAUAAAAAAGAUAGAACUUAGUCUACAUCUUAAAUCCCUCAAAGUUUAACCAAAAGUCAAACUGGUCAAAAGUCAACGGUCAGCGGUCAAUAGACGAUGACCCAACUUCUUCCGGUUACAUUGUGAGCACAAGGCGACAAUUUUUUUUUUGAAUUACAUCUAACCUCCGCAUCACAACCCCUUAAUGGCCGCGUCACGAUUUCUAGUCUAAUGCACUUAUUCCAUUAAGUUCUUAAUCCUUUCCAAGAGAAGUUCCAACUUACAAAUUUGAAUAAUUUCAGUGACUUAAUAGAUAAAGUUUCCAACAUUAUCCAUUCUAAUGGCUAGAUCUUUCCCAAUCUAAAACCUUAACUUGAUUAAGCCAUUAAAAAUCCAUAACUUUGUGCAUGAUUGAAAAAGGAUACAUGCACACUCAUUUGUCUUCUUCCUAUAAGUCAGAAACAUGUCCAUUUGCAGAGUUCCUAAGUUGCUUAAAAUCCAAGAGCAUGAAGUCAAAAUGACCACAAGUGAUCAAAAACCCACAGGGAUCUAUAUCUAUGCGUAAACUCCAAUAAAGCAGGGAUCUUUGAUGCUUAAAAUUCUUAUACAAUGUCUAGAAGGUGGAGACUUCAGUUGGACAAAGCUUCUCCAAGCACCGACGGUCUUCUUCGACAAGGGACUCCAAACAUUCUCACAAGGCUCACCAAUACACAUAAAGGCUAGGGUUUUAAUUUCAGAUAGAAUGGAGGUUGAGAAUAGAGCAAACCCUAAACAUCAUAUUACUCAACUAUGGCUCAAGGCACAAGAUCUAUGGUUUUGGGCUGUGACGGCUUCACGUAUUGACAACCAUAAGGCUGUGUCGAUAUUUAAUAAUGUGCCAUACGCUUCACAACCAUUUAGUAGCCGCUUCGCGACCCACAAAACCUAAACUAACUCAACUUAAAGAAGGUCAAGAGACAACUCACAAACCAUAAACGGGUGUUACACAAAAGUAACAAGUUAACAUAUGUAUUUUGUAAAUAAUAAUAAUAAAGAGUAAAUAUAUACAAAAUAAAAAUAAUAUUACCUUUUUAAUUUAUUUUCCGUAAAAGUAUUAUUUAAAUGACUUUCGCUUAUUUUACAUUCUUAAUCGGUCAAAACAACCAUUUUAACCUCAAAGAGUAAACAAAAUCAUUUGUUGUAAAAAACGCCAAAUGCCCUUCACUGUUUGACACUCACCUCCCAUGAAGCCCAUCGAUAUUCACAAUUCUGGAACCUUUCAUAAUCCCCAUAGUCACCGACCUCCUCUUGUGCCACUGUAACUACAACCACCGCCCUCAGCAUUUUCCCAAGGCUUCAACCAUCGACAUCGAAACUCUCAAAGAGGAUUAUGAGAGUUAUUAUUUCGUCACAGGUAAACAAUAUCCGUGUAUAUUUGCAAUUCCUUUGAGAAGUUCAAAUUUGGUAUCGCAUUUGGUGUUAAGAAGCUAUAUCCCAUUUGAGGAUACUAGUUGGGUUCUGUGAGGAUGAUGGUCAUCUGGGAUUGUGUAUUUGGCAUAAAUUAGUUAGGAUUUAUGGGGAAUCUAGGGUUUUUCUCAUAUGGCGUCUAACGUCAUCUUGAAGUUGUAUGCUGAAGAAAGGCCGAUAGGUUUAUAAUAAUCCCUUGCUGAUCUCAUUUAUUGAAACAUGUAUAUAUACAAAUACAAGAACCGAAUCCUUAUAAUAAGGAAAGAAUCAAAUACAAUAAUCUAAAUAUAUACACUAUAUUAGUUUAUUGACUAAUAUGCCCCCUCAGUAUGAUCUGGAGCUUUGCGAACGUUCAGACUGGAUCGAAAGCUUUCAAAUAAGAUUUUGGGAAGGCCAUUCAUAAAAAUAUCGGCAUAUUGGUAUUCAGCUGGGAUAUGGAAAACCUUAACCUCGCCAAGUCUCACUUUUUCCCGAACAAAAUGUAUGUCUAAUUCGACAUGUUUGGUACGUUGGUGUUGAAUCGGGUUGGCGGAAAGAUAGACGGAAGAUACAUUGUCAUAAUAAAUCAAUGUGGCUUGUCGUAUAGGAACAUGAAGUUCUAAAAGAAGGUUCCUGACAUAGCUAGUUUCAGCAACAGCAUUAGCCAUGCCUCGAUAUUCUGCCUCUGCACUAGAUCUCGUGAUAGUUGCUUGGCGCUUCGCUGACCAUGAUAUCAAAUUAUCACCCAAAAACACACAGUAGCCUGAAGUGGAUCUGCGAGAGUCUGGACAUCCUCCCCAAUUGGCACUGUGUACGCCGUAAGCUUUAGUGAUCGGUUAGCUCGAAAAUAAAGGCCAUGAUGGAUGGUUCCUUUUAGGUAACGUAAUAUGCGUUUUAGGAACUGUAGAUGUGAUUCGCACGGCGCAUGCAUGAAUAGACAAACUUGUUGAAAUGCAUAAGUAAGAUCCGAGUGCGUGAAUAUACGGUAUUGAAGUGCACCGGCUAAGCUACGAUAAAGAGAUUCGUCAGUUAAGGGAGCCCCCAAGUCAGCACUUAGUUAGGAUCCGUUUUCUACCGGUGUGGAGGCGGGUUUGCAGUUUGACAUAUUUGCUCUUUCAAGAAUCUCGUUAGUGUACAUUUCCUGUGAUAGAAAAAGACCCGACGAAGUGCGUUUAGCGGUAACCCCAAGGAAGUGUUUUAACAUACCAAGAUCUGUCAUUGCAAAUUCCGUGGACAAAAGAUUGGUGAUUCUUUGCAAGAGUUUACCAUUAGAUUCAGUAAGAAUCAAGUCAUUGACGUAUAAGAGAAGAUAUGCAGUGGCAUUCCCUUUGUUGAAUAUGAAUAAUGAAUGGUCGGAAACGCUUCGUUUGAAACCCUUUGAUGUAACAAAAGUUGCAAAUCGGGUGUACCAAGUCCGAGGUGCUUGCUUUAGUCCAUAUAAUGAUUUUCGUAACCUGCACACAUAAGUUGGUUUUGACUGGUCCACAAAUCCUGGUGGUUGGUGCAUAAACACCGUCUCAUUAAGAUCCCCAUGUAAAAAAGCAUUUUUAACAUCUAAUUGUUUGACGGGCCAGUUAUGAGAGACGGCAAGGCUAAGAACUGUCUGAAUAGUUGUGGGUUUAACUACUGGACUGAAGGUGUCAUCACAAUCGAGGCCCACUUUUUGAGAUUUCCCAUUUACGACCAAACGCGCCUUGUAUUGUUCAAGAGAGCCAUCCGAGUGAUAUUUAUGGUGAUAUAGCCACAUGCAACAUAUUACAUUUGCGUUAGUUGGGCGUGGGAUAAGCUCCCACGUUUGAUUUUGUUGCAAGGCUUGGUAUUCAAUGGUCAUAGCGUUAUGCCAAUUUAGGUCGUUAAGAGCAAUGUGGGGAGAUUUUUGUAUAGGGGAUAUGGGUGGUUAAGAAUCAGUGUGAAGGUUUAAGGGUUUUCGUGGCUUAAAAAUAUCACUUUGGGAUCGGGUGGCCAUUGUGUGGCGAGAGACAUGUGGGGCGGCAGGUGGAGGAGGGGGGGUAGGAUGUUCGGAUGUCACAACUAGAAAUUUUUAUGCCUUGUAAACUACAACAACUAAGUCAAAUUGUGAAUCAAAGACAUGAGAACAUGUAUGAAGCAUACUCUAUAACAACAAAAUUUCAAUCAAACACCCCAUGCAAACAAUACGAAUAGUCGUUAAACAAUUGGAAACCCUAGAAGUUUUUGUUUAAGUCCAUUUUUGGACUAGGACUUCUUUAUUGGGCCCAAAGGACCAAUAAGCUUCCAAUUUGGCUACCUUGGGCUUAGAACUCUUAAAUGGGCUCUAAUUGGACCUACUCUCAUUCAUUUUAACAUUUUGGGCCAUAUUGGGCCUAGAAUGAAAUAAGACACCUUAAUGGACCUCAUUGGGCCAUAACUAACCUAAUUAGCCCUAAUGGGCCAUAAGAAUCAUAUUUAUAUUUAUUUGGGCCAUGAAUUACUCUAAAAGGGCCAAUGGGGCGAAAACCAUUAACUUGGACUCCAUAUUAUGGACUUAAACAAAAGGGCCCAAAUUUCCAUCUCUCUUCCUUAUCUCUCGGCCCAAACUACAAACCCAAGAGGAGAGGGUUGACUUUACUUGCCACCUCAUUUUUAUAUGGAGGAUAUCUAAGCUUUUGCACUUCAAACAUUCAUGCAAUCUCAUCUUCCCAUGCAAGCACUUCUUUUCUUCUCCCUCUCUCUCUUGCUCUCGGCUGACUUCAAGCACACACACACACAUUUCACUCAUUUUUCUCUCAAGAAACUCUCUCAUUUCUCCUCCAUAAUUUCGAUAUCUAAGGAGCUUUCAAGAAGAUAUCUCCACAAAUUCUUCACCUAAGGUAAGAUCAAGUUUGGAUCUAUGAUCUAGGUACUUUGUUUUAUCAAAAUCUCCUUCUAAUCUAUGUAAAAAUCUUGAUCACUCUCCUAGAAACCCUCUAAGUUCGAAAUCUUCCAAGGAGAGGUACUAAGGCCAAAUUUUCUUCUCACUUUCUUCUAAAAGCCGAAACCACACCCAAAGGUGAGNAACUCAAGGUGAGCUUCAUACCCCCUAUUUUUCGGUUUUUAUAAGUUUUGUGGGGGAGAAUACAAGCAAAUGUGUAGAUCUAUGAGUAUAUGUAUGCUUUGUGUGAUUUCUAUGCUUAUAUAUAUGAUCUUAUGUGAUUGUGGUGUUGGUACUAGUCAAAAAGAACUUAGAAACCGAGAUCUACAAUAUGUUGAAUGAAAUAAGUAUAACUUAUAUUAUUUCACACAAAUCAAGUCUAGAAAAAUAACCAAGUUGGUUACUAUGAACAUCUUUGGGCUUAAAACCCAUUUUUGGGCUCAAAAUGCUAAAAAUACAAAACUAAAGGGCCCAAAAUGACAAAAUACAAAUUCUGAAGGUUGAGAUGAGUCAAAACAGUUUCUAAUAUGUAUUUUCUGAAAAUUUACACUUUUGAAGGGUCAAAAUGUGAAUUUUUAAAGCCAAAAAUGGACUUUUCGGCCUAAUAUAGCCCCAAAUUGCGAGAUUUUUAAUUUGGAGGGGCUGAAACUGCACAUUUCUGUAAAACAGGGGACUACUAGUGUACCAAGUCCAUUUCAAGGGUUAAAAAUGCUUUUCAAAUUUAAAAGGGACCAAAGAUGCAAAAUUUUUCCAUUUUGGGUCAAAAUUGUAAAAAUUGCGAAAAUGGAGGUUGCAACCGAGAAAAUUUCAUUUUGUGGAACUAAAACUGUUUAUCAAGUAAAUUUGGGCUGAAAAAUAUCUUUUCAACAAGUUUUGAUACUAAAGUGUCAAGAAAAAUGGUUUAAGGACUAAAAUGGAAAUUCUUUUAUAUAAAGGGUUAAAAGUGUAAAUUUAUCCAAGAAGGGGUUUCAAAAGGAAAUAUUCUAAUGUUUAAAACAAUAAAUCCUUUAAGAUAAAAUACGAGUACCACGACUACCGGCGAAACGUAAUACACCUUUAAUACCAAAAUCGUUACCAAACGAAUUGAUUCGGUCUCGAAUCAAUAACGAAUCAAAAGAAAAUCAAUAAACAAUGAUACUUCAAUACACACGCGGAAAUUUACGAGAAGUCAAUACACACGUGGGAAUUCACAAGAAGUCAAUACACCAUCUUGGGGCCCGAAAGUUUCAAAUCGUGCUUGUUGGGCCUAGCUAACCCAAUGAUAUGAUCUUUAGGCCCGAAGGAAACACGCUUACAUGUUGUUGGGUCUUAUACGACCUAAUUCCGUGUAAAAGGACUUUCAAUAGCUUUUGUGCUGUUGGGCCCCAAGGGUCCUUUGGUACUGCUAGUGAAGUCAAAUGCGAGUCGGGCCAAGGGCCUUUCGCAUUCACGAUAGCCUUGAACGACUCAUGGAAAUAACGAGGGCUUCGCACCCUCUUUUCUCCUAGGUUGUGGGGCUAUGAGAAGUCAGGGUGGUUGGAUUAAGUGAGUAGUACGGACGACGCCUAAGGGAUCAUUUGUACAGUUGUAAGCUAGUCAUUUUCAUUAAUGCGUGAUUAUAACAACUCACAACCCAUAAUUAAUCCAAUGUCACCUGGAAUUAUCGAAUACAAACGUCGCAACGGCAUAACAAUGUAUAAAAUGCGUAAUUUAAAGUAUUAGGAAAACAUUGGGUUUUCCUAGGGAUUUCAACAGUUACACCUAUGUGAUGCAUACCAAGUCUAACAAUUAUUCACGCUUAUAGAAAUAAACAAGCAUACUUACGGAUCUUCACACUUUUUCUUACAUGCAAUAAUCUUUUCAGAAAAUAUCGGAUUUUCUGGUGGUUUUCAAAAUAAUAAAAAUCAUUACUUUUCAAACAUUACUUAUGAACUCACCAACAUUUCAUAUGUUGACGUUUUUCCAAAGUACUUGUAUUCUCAGGUAACAGGUAAAUCGAAGAAAAUGUACCCAGUGAUAUCAUGAUGUUUUGUUUAAUUAAUAUCGAACAGUUUAUGUUUUGGAAUUGUAAUGUGUAAAAACAAUGUACUGAAUGUAAACACUGAUGGUUGUAAUAUUUCAAUGCAUGGUGACGAAUGAUGUUAUGAUUCAUGUAUAUUCAUUGUGAUGGUAUUCAAUUGAGUCACAAUAGCCCUCGGACGUUUCCGCUGUCUGGUUUGGGGGUGUGACAUCGGGACUGGUGGAAGGGGAAGGAGUGGUUGUAGGUGGUAUAGAUGAAGGGGUAGGAGAUGUCGUAGGCGGUGGAGAUGGUGGCGUGGAGGAAGGGUGGCGGAAGGAGUGAUUGGUGUAGGUAGGAAAAUAUCGAAAAUGUGAGGAGAGGGAGAGAUGUUAGUGUUUGAUGGGUUGGAGUGGUGAGACUGAUACGACAAUGAUUUUUCAUUGAAGGUAACAUGCUGAGAAAGAAACACUCUACCCGUGGAGAGUUCAAGGCAUCGGUAACCUCGGUAGUUAGGUGGGUACCCGAGGAAGAUACAAAGAGUGGAGCGAGGGUCAAGUUUGUGUGUUCUAUUUGCGGAGCGGUUUGGAUAACAAGCACAUCCAAAGGUGCGCAAGUGAUCGUAGGUGGGGUGUCGGUGGUAAAGGGAGAAUGUAGGAGUGCGAAGGUGAAUAGUUUUGGUUGGAAGGAUGUUAUGGAGGUAAGCGCUGUGUGAAGUGCCUCGACCCAAAAGGAAGGAGGGAGAGACGCAUGAGUGAGCAACGCCAGGAUAAUUUCAUUGAGGUGUCGAAUCAUACGUUCGGCUUUUCCAUUUUGGGGAGAUGUUUGAGGACACGAGAAUCGGAAAUGUAAGUCGUGUGAUGAAGCAAAAGUGUGAAAUGGAGUGUUAUCAAAUUCGCCACCCAUGUAACAUUGAAAAGAUUUGAUUUUAGCAUUAAAUUGGGUGAGUAUGUAAGAAUGAAAUUGUUUGAACUUGAUGAACAUUUCAGACUUAUAUUUUAAAGGAAAGACCCAUACGUAUUGUGUGAAACUAUCAAUAAGAACCAUGUAAUACUUGUAACCCAAGUUAUUAGGGACGGGUGAAGUCCAUAAAUCACAAUGGAUGAUGUCAAACGGUAGCAACGUAGUAAAUUUAGAAUCAAAAAAUGGUAGGCGUUUGUGCUUAGAAAUUUGACAAGAACUGCAAACAUUAUUCAAACGACUAGUCUUAUUACAUGGAAUGGAAGUAUUAAAAAGAAGAAGAUCUAAAAUAUUAUCGCCAGGGUGUCCAAGGUGAUUGUGCCAUAAGUCCAAACUGGAAGUUGAAAUCAAAAUUGUUGCUGACUGUGCAAUUGAUGUGACAGGGUAUAGUUCGCCACAACUAUUGUGCCGAGAAAGGAUCCUCCCAGUCGUCAAAUCCUUCACAGAAAAACCGUAUGGAUCAAACUCAACAGAAACAUAAUUAUCAGAUGUGAAUUUUCUAACAGAGAUGAGGUUUUUAAUGAUUUGAGGUGCUAACAGGACAUUUUUCAAAAUGGUCGAGUGAUUAGGAAGAGAAAGAGUGGCAUUAUCGGACCCUUUGAUAGGGAUGCUAUGACCAUGAAUAUGACAUGUUUGUAAUGGAUUGGAAAUUAUACCUUUGUUACUAGUGACGUGCGAAGUUGCCUCGGUGUCCAUGAACCAUUGUGAUUGAUCUGGAGUGUUUAAGGUCAUCGUGUGCAGAGCUUCUCCAAGAGUUGUGGGGUCCAGCGAGUUUGUUUCAGCCAGAUGGGCUGAUUGUUGUUUGGCUUGGCUUGGCUGAUGAGCUGAAUGAUCAGGUCUAUACUGCUGCUGAUAUGGGUGUCUGUAAUUCCAUGGGUAGGCCCAACCUUGUUGAGCAGGAAAAGGACAUGGUGGUGGAGCGUAUGCAGCCCAAUACGGGUAUGGAGCAUUACCCAGAGGUACACCUGGAUUCUUGAUGUUGUGAUUACUAGAAUGAGCACCGCAACCACGAGUGUUAUUUCUGCCACGACCACGAUUACCUGUGUUGAUAGGGCGGCGAUUCUGGUUUGAUCGGGGUCGACGAUUCUGGUGUGGAGGAGUUGGUUCAUCAGCUAUGUCGAUGUGUGUAGCAACAAGGGCUCCACCGAAAGAGUUUCCGGUUGUGUUAUUGCUCUCAGGACUGGAUUGGCGAUGUUGUUCAAGUUGAAGCAUGCUACAUGUUGUGUCCCAUGUUGGGAGGCUUUGGUUGAUAAAAGAAGCCACAUUAUCAAAUUCAGAGGGUAAGCCAUGUACCAGUUGAAGUACAAGACAAUUUUCUGUUACCGGGCUUUCAACAUCGUCGAGUUGUGUAGCCAAAUCCUUGAGGCGUUGACAUUAUUCUUCCAAUGAUGACAUGGCUGAGAGUUUGAGGUUGUUGAACUCAUGUUCCACAGUUGCUUGAAACAUCCCGAAAAUACAACCCAAAAAAAUUGUUUUAAACAUUACUAAAACCAUGAAAUUAAUCACCAUAUAAUAAAAACCACAAUCGCAUGUCUCAAAUGUAAAAGCGAAUGUAUCAAAUCACUGAUGCCAAAACAUAUCAAAACAUCCGAAUAAAAACUCCCAGGAUAAACUGAAGUUGUGGUGCGUGCCAUGCCAUCAUCCCGAGCUCUUCCCCUUACUUGCGGAAGUACCUGAAACCAAAAAUUUAAAGUGUAAGCACAAAGCGUAGUGAGCUUCCCCCAACUACCACAUACCAUACAAUAAUACAAAUAACACAUAUUGGGCCCCGCCCACUGCAUUAGGCCCCGCCCGGCAUCAGACCAUAGUCUGGAAUAGCUUUGGCCCCGCCCGGCAUCGAACCGAAGUCCGGAAUAACUUGGGCCCCGCCCACUGCAUCGAGCCCCGCCCGACAUCGGACCGAAGUCCAGAAUAACUUAGGUAUAACAUAUCAUAAACAUAUAGCAUAAUCACAUACUGUAUCGGGCUUGCCCGACAAAACAUGCAUGAGUCACGAAGACAUCAAGCAUACAUUCUACUGCUAUCUAAACCGGCCGGCAUCGUGGCCAUAGAUCCGUUCCUACUGGAAGAGAACUCACCUCGUAACGCUAGCUGCUGAGAUGCUAAAUUUGAAACUGCCUGACUGCUGCUCCGAAACUCCCCAGCUACAAAUUCCAUAGACACUAAAUCAGAUACUGAUAACUGUUCUCAUGGUAAAAUGACUAAUUUACCCCUGGUCAAAGUCAACCUUCUGGUCAAAGUCAACAGUUGACUGGACUCGCCGAGUUGGGCUGCCAACUCGCCGAGUCCCUAACACCUUUUCUAAUCCUCUACUUGCUUCAACUCGACGGGUUCUUCUUCCAAAUUAACGUCGAAUCUAACUUCAUCCAACUUGCCGAGUUGUAUGAACAACUCGUCGAGUUCUUCUUCAUCAUAUGAACACGUCCAGACUAUGACUCGUCGGGUUGUAUGAACAACUCAUCAAGUCUGUUCUUAAGGCAAUAAGAUUGCCUUGGACUCGCCGAGUCACGGCGUGGACUCACCGAGUCUCCUGCAUGUCACUUCUAUACAGUCGAUUCUAGUCGGUCUCAGUGCAUCCAAUUCAUAGAUCUGGGCUUCUAGGGCUGGUUUUGCAUGUAAAGUUUCCAACUUUACAUGCAUGCACACGAGAAUGGGGCUAAGACACCAAAAUCAUCCGACACUAAGCACUUAGGGUUUGGAACAAGGCUAUAUUUGCAUAAAGUUAGUUAUAUUGAGUUCCUAGAGCUCAAUAACAUCCAGAUCUAUGGUCUCCAUCCUAAGGAGAGCUCAAAUCUCGAGUUUGAAUCAUAUAAAGCUCCAAAAGAGACAUGAACAAGCAUAAGAGAGGGUUUAAUGGAAUAAUAAGCAAGGUAAUAACUUUAUUACCAGAAUAUGAAGCAGAUGGAAGUUAUAUUCUGGAUCUCCUUUCUCUUCUAUUGAUCUUCUUUUCCUUUCUUCUCUUCUACAACUCCCAAGCUAUCACAAAACACUCAAGCUUAACAAUGGGGUUUAGGGUUUUCCAAAGAAAUGCUCUAAAGGUGUUGGGAGGCUGGGGUGGGAGGCUAUAAUGACAUUUAAAUAGGGUACAAACCUAAAUCCAGACUAGAGGACUCACCGAGUUCGGGAUACAAACUCUUCGAGUCGCCUACUAAAGACGCGUGAAAUUCCCGUCUCUACUCGACGAGUCGGGAUACUAACUCGUCGAGUUCCUCUUAAGGAAGGAAAAAUACUAUAUUUAAAUUACAUACUAGAAAUGGGGCGUUACACUGCUGCACGAGAUCCCUUAUUGUUAAGGAAGAUUGAUGAUAGUUUCUUCCAUGCUUCAUAUGAUGUGGUGCCAGGUUCAAUAUACGAACUAGAAGAUUAUCAGAAAGUGUACUGUAUAUCCACUGGAGAACUAUAGCAUCGAUUUCAGACCAUGAUUUGUAUGUUGCAUCAUUGACUUUAGGAGCUGCAGUUCCAUCAAUGUGAUGCAGAACUUUGUAUCCUUUUGCAUGAAGCUUGAAUAACUUCACCCAACAAGAAUAGGUAACCUUGAUGCCAUCAAGUAUACGGACCUUAUGUUGGAUAUUGGUGACAAUGUACACCGGGUGAAGUGUUGGCUUUGUGCUGCUUUCUGGUUGUUUAGUGUUUGGCAUAUCUGUCGUGACAGAGGAUGCGGCUGGUAGUGAUUUUUAGAGUUUUGAGCCUUAGCUCUGAUACCAUAAAGGUUUAUAAUAAUCCCAUGCUGAACUCGUUUAUUGAAACAUGUAUAUAUACAAAUACAAGAACUGAAUCCUUAUAAUAAGGAAAGAAUCAAAUACAAUAAUCUAAAUAUAUACACUAUAUUAUUUUAUUGACUAAUAGAAUGCACUCUACGUGUACGAUGAAAUGUUUAGUUUGGGAUGUAUUUUCAAGCUCUAUUGAACAAUUUUCUGAUUUUUAAUUAUUUCUUUAGAAGAUGAUGAACUUGAGCAUAAUUGGAUUUUUAGUGUUGAUCAGUUUGGACCUGUUAUGAGGGGUAGGUAUAAACACUUUUUACUUAUGCUAUUUAGUAAUUAGUUUAUAGUUUAUACUAUCUAGUAUCAUUAAUUUUCAUCUUAUGUAUAGACGGAGUUGAUCGGGUAUAUCGUUACAUUUGGACUUUUACACUACACCACAACUUUUCCAAUACAACUUAAUUUGCUUUCCAUGUACUAUAACUAUAUUCUGGAGAAGUAUUGUUUUGAUGCCUAGGAAUAUGAUUUUUUUCAUUUGUCUAUUAGGAUUCCAUUUGGCAUAGGAACCAUAUGUUUAUAAGAAAAGAGAGUGAAUAACAUUUUUAACCAUAUGGUUUAACAUGUUUAAGUCACAUACAUUGAUUGCACAUGUAAGUCAAUUUAUGCAACAAAGUAGUUUUUUAGACAGAAUAUGCAUUAUUCAACUAUGUUCCAUUUUUUUAUCAAUUCCUACAACAAUGUUUCGCUUUCAUUACAAAUUUAUGCAACUGACAUAAAGUAUGCAACAUUGAUCAUUACGCAACUUCAAAUAAAUGACCAAAGGUUUGAAGAUGCUGAAGAAAUGGAAAGCAACAACAACAAUUGUGGUUGACAAUGAUCAUAUUCAUGUUACGUACUUAAAAUCAACUUGACAGGUAAUGUCUUUUAAUCCAACUAAGCCAGCCACCACAAAUUCCAUGUCAUCAUAUGGUACAACAGUAUGUCAACAAAAACAUGCACAAAGUGAUCAAUUAAACAAUGAAUGAAUAUAUAAUGUUUCUUUUCGUCAAAUAAUUUCUACUUUCGUGGCUUUUUCAAAAUUGAUGCAUCAAAAAUCAGAUGAUAUGCAUACAUGUUCUGUUUCUCAAAUAGGUUUCGAAUAAUCAAUAGAUGGCACAUAGUCAUGGGCAUAAUUGUCACUUAUUUGGGUUUUGUGAACAAUUGUUAACUCAAAAUUAUCAUGAGAUAGAUUCAUUGAAGGUGGCAAUCACUACUACAAAAAAGAGCCUUAUCGACGGCCAAAACCGUCGGUAAUCCGUCGCUAAUGCUCUUUACCGCCGGAAUUGUAACACACCAAAAUCCGUCGGUAUAUUCUUGUCGCUAAUUGUUUGUAACGGAUUUCCGACGGCUAUGGCUAAUUUUUAGUGACGGAUUUUUCCGUCGGAAAUAGUAACGAAUCACCAACAGAAUAUAUUUUGCAACGACGGAACUUGUUUGCAACGGAUUACUGACGAAAAAAUUUAUUAACGGAUUGCCAACAGAAUCUAAAAUAACUUACUAACAGGUUACGACGAAAUUUGGAAUAACUUUCCAACAGAUUACCGACGGAAUCUCGAAAUGACUACAAUUUUUUUUGUAACAGAUUAGCGACGGAUUUUGGCAUUAUAAAAAAAUUUACAAAUUAAUGAAGAAAUUAAAAACUAAAAAUAAUUACAUAUUCAACACAAAGUUUUUAAACAUAUAUUAUAUCUACAUUUUAAAACCAACAAAUAUAAAAGUAAAUCCAUAAAUUUCAAUCAUUUGACAUGCAUAAAAUCUAUUAAUUUCAAUCCAUAUUGUCAAAUAUUGUCAAAAACCAACAGAGCAUUCCUUCUUGAUUAGCUUAUGGAUUCCACACUUAUCAUUAAGAGUUGUUAGCUAGUGAGAUAUUUAUAUAUUGUCAAAUACAAUAAAUGCCCUCAAAUAUUACCUUUUAUCUUCCGGUGAAUUGCUUCAUAAGAUCAUUCAUUUUUCCAAGAAGACGGCUUUCCAUGUCCUCUCGUAAUUUCACCUCACUAUCAAAAUUGGCUUCUAUUUCCUCCCGUUUCUUCACUUCUCGUUCCAACAUGCUCUCUAAUUCAUUUAUCUGUAAUAUGGUCCAACACACAUAUAAUUAGUAUAAAAUAGAGAAGGAAAUAGCAACAUACUUUACUAUUUUUAUCAUAAUAUAGACACAUACCUUCUUUUGAGAUAAGGCAUAAUCAUGGGAUGAUGAGUCACACUUGUAAGGUGACCUCAGCAUUCUCAUGGUUCAUCAGCUUCAUCACUCUCUCUUUUGCUUUCAGAUCAGUCACAAUCCCACAUCCAGCUGGAUGGUACUGAAUAAAUUGCGACAGGUCAUAGCACGCAACCGCAAGCGGCCGUGGGUCCCCGGAAGUUUCCAGAAUAGCCAGCAGCACAUAAAGUGUCUAUAUAGUAGAUAAAAAAACGAUACGUUAAUUAAAUUAUCCAAAAAUAAUAAUUGAAAAAGAUUAAAUAAAUAAAAAACUUGGAAAUCAUUUUCUUCAAAGUUUGUGAUAUUGUCAUGCCAGAAAAUAGGAUCUUUGUUUGUGCAUUGGAGACCAGUCAAGGAGACCCAGAAGGACUUCUUGUUUGUACUUAUCAAAAGAACUUAAUUUCUUUAUGUUGUCUUUCAGACCUUCUUCCAGAUUAUUUAAAGCCUCCAACAGAUCCUACGAUUAUAAUAAUCAUUCAAAAGUAGUUAUUAUUCCACCGUUUUGGUUCUUCAAGUUUCAAUGUUAUGAAUUUUUAGUUAUAUCAAUUAAAUUUCUGACCUCAUCACUCCAUGCUUGAGCUUUCAAGCUUUGAACAAUUUGUGGAAGUCCAAGAUCCACCAUUUGAGCUCCAAAGCUUCCUUUUCACAGCAAGUUCUUGAAAGUCAACACUAUCAACCUCACAACCUGAGAAUUUAAUAAUUAAUUAAUUAAUUAGGAUUCCAAAUAAAAUAUAUAUGGAAGGGUAAAGUUAAGGGGUAGUAGAACCUUUUCUUUGGUUGAACCUUUGACCAAUUCCAACAAUCUUGGAAGGGCUCUAGAUGUAGCCAAGUAUUCAAUUGUAGGCUCAUAGUAUGACAGAAGCCAAACACACAGGCAUGUUUCAUACAGAAGCUGUUUGUUUAAUCACAAAACACAAGUCAGUAAUUGGAAUUCAUGAUUCCAUUCCAUUCUUUUUUAUUAAUAAUACCCAAUGGAAUUGGAAUUCAAGAUUCCAUUCUAUAUGGACCCAAUUGCAUGGUUAUUAAAUUUCGCUAUUAUGAAGAAUGGUGGAAGGAGUUCGAUUUCGUUCUUUGUUUUUUAUUAAAAGACCAAAAUACCCUUGUAGGUUACCCGAAUUGACUGUUGAGUGGAUGCUGGAGAAAUUAGUGGCACAAGAAGUUUGACUCCAUCUGCUUGAACAAAUGAAGACCUAACAACAGGCUCCUUCAACAAAGUUGCUAAGCAGUUGACUGAAGCUGGAAUUCUACGUGUAGGAUGUGAAGGCUUCUUCAGAUGUAAAAGUAAUCCAGAACUAUUUCAAUUUGUUUUAAGUGUUUUUCUACUUAUAGACAUUAUAAUAUAGUUCAUAACAAACCUCAAUACAAAGCCAUUCCUCCAAUCCUUUCAAAACAUCAUCACUUGCAGUGAUUUUCUUCUUUGAGUCCAUGGCUUUUCCAUUUGAAAAUAGAAAUUAAUAUGAAUUAAAAGAAUAACAUUUAAUAAAAGAAACCCUUUUGUAAUUUGUAUUGUGAGUGUUUGUUUAGAUACCUCACUAUAGAAGUGAGUAUCUUGGAGCUCUUCUCUUGUAUAAACCAGCUACCUUUCCAUAACAAUCUGUAGUGCAGACAUAGCUAAAGUGACCAUGAAAAAGCUAACUCAAGGAAUGGCUCAGCAAAACAAGACAAUGGCGACUGCCAUAUCUGAUGAGGAAAAGGCUAUUGUUGUGAGUUUAUUUUAUUUUAUUUUAAAUAUUAUUAUUAUUAUUACUUUCUUGUCUGAAUUUCAAGCCUUAUUUUGAUCUGUAGAAAACCCAAAAGCAGAGUGCCACAACAGGUUUACGUACAUGCAACAACAUUUUGGCAAUGACACAGGUAACUUGAUAAAAAUACCUAAUUAUAGCAUUGUACUUUUGAUUUUUCUUCUAUUAAAAAGCACAAUGCUGGAAUUGGAACAAAAAUCAGUAAAAGUUAGUAUUUUGACUCUCUAUUAUUUUUUAAUAAUAUAUUAUAAACAUAUCUUGUGAUAUUUUUAAUAAUAUUUUGGUUUUGUAACUCCAGCCACUCCAUGCAAAGUCACCAUCAUUUAUUGGAGAUAAAAGAAUUAACUUAUCCUGGAAAGAAGCUGUCAAAACUGCAGCACCAUCAAAUAAUGCAACUGGGUAUGUUUCUUAAUAACUCUUCAUUUUAAAAUUACCUAUUUCUCCUUUCUUGACAGAAUUGUAAUUUGAGAUUCCGUUCCAUUGUUUUGUUUGAUUGCCAAAUGGAUGGAAUUCAAUUCCGUCAAAAUCCUUCCAUUCCUAAUGGAGGAUGGAAGGAAUUCAAUUUUACCUUCUAUUUCUCUAUUAAAAGACCAAAUUACCCUCAUUAUAUAUAUAUAUAUAUAUAUACUAAAAGACUAAAUUACCCUCAGAGUGAAAUGCCCUGCUAAUAGGACAAACGGUUCCCGAAACUAUACAAACAAACGGGGUCGUGGAGGUGGUGGCGGAGGUGGCGGAAACCAGCUAGUUAACAGGGCAUUUGACGGUAUUUCUUACGGUGGAAGAGGUGGUUGUGGUGGUAGGGGCGGCCAUGAGCAGGGAUGGGGUAGACGUGGUGGUGGUGGUCGGGGAAGAGGAAGGGGGUAUUAUUAGCUUUUUUUUACUGGAAUUCAACUGCUAGCUAACUCCAGGAAGGAAACAGAUGAAAAAGAAAAACAAACAAAAGGUGCUCGGAAAUGUAUACAACAUAUGCCCCAAUAGCAGAAUACCAGUAGUUAUUACUUAUUAGUUAAUCUUAAUAUUUUACAUUUCUUUUCUUUUGUAUCAACUCUCCUAGUUAUAUUUUCUUUUAAUGGAGGGUGAUGAUGCACUCUUAGCAGACAUGGAUGUAAAAGUCGAACGAACAAGAGAUGAAUGGAUGAUAACACUACCUCCCGAAAGAAAAGUAACCCUUCUUUUUAUUAUUAUUAAUUAAUAACCGCUUUCUUUAUAUUUUUUUCUACUUAUUGUUUUUUUUCUGUUUUAUCCUCCUCAGACUGGUGUGGCAACACAGCAAUCAACAAAACAGCAGGACUUCUAAAGAGGGACGUGGUGACACAAGUGCAUGGACAGAUACCCCUUCAGACAGAGCCCAGAAAGCAAAAAUGAAGUAUGUUUCUUGAUUGUUGCAGAUGCUUUACUUUCCAAUAUUUCUUUCAAAAAAAGAUUCUAAAGUCAUGAGCAUACCCUCUUAAUUUGGAGGAAAUCAUGAGUGGUGUAGAGGGUAAUUUUGGAAAAACAAAUAUAAGAUUGUCAUUUAAUGUUAAGGACAUCUAUUUUCCAACUUAAUUUCUUAAGAUAACAUGAAGGAAAAAAGAAACAAUCUUAUCUUAUCUUAUCUAAUAAAAGAAUAAAAGAGUAAUUUCUGGGUGUCGAUGUUCUUGAGGGCAUUGCUAAGGUAAUUUUUGUUGCUAUAAUUGAGUAGAUAUUUCAAAGUAGAAAAGCAAUUGAAAGUACAUAUACUUAUACAUUUCAUUAAAAUUUAAAAAAAAAAAAAAAAAAAAAAAAGUUGAGAAUUUAAUAAGUUAUGGAGAGAAAGUUUGAGCCAAAGAAACAGAGACUAUCUUUAUAUAAACAACACUUUAUCCAGACAGACAUCUUUACUCGUUCCACCUGUAUAGAACUUAAUGGGGGAAAAAGAAAUAGACCCUAAUACUUGAAUUCAAUAAUUCGCAAACAGAUCCUAUCAUAUCUGGUAGUGGUGGCUCACUCGGGCUUUCUGAAGGUAUGCAGGGGUAUUUUGGGAACCCUGGUUCGAUUCCAGCUAUGGACAUUGCCAAAUUGAUGCAGCUUGAAAGGCAAAAAUCUAUGUCUAGUCCUAUAUUGUAUUGUUAAUAUGUUAAGUAAAAAAUGGUUGCUUUAAGAGUUCAAACAUCCUAUAUUCUAACAACACUAUGAUUAAGUAACUAUUAUGUGGUAAUAUUAAGAUCAGAUAAACAGUGAUUAAUUAUAACAAGCUUUAAAUAAACAGUUUUAUGAAGAGUAUAAGACUAUUUAUCAACAAAAUCUGAUUGAUAGGUUACCUAAUGCUAAUCGGAGAUAUGAUAAUCCAAUGAAGAAAAAAUAUAAACCUAAAAAUUAAUCGAAGUAAUAGAAAAAAUAAGUUAGGUUUUUUUUUACCAAAACUUGGAGAGACAAAAAGCUGAAAUCGGAUCCAAUUGUAAGGUCCACCAGGUGCAGCUACAACUUCGAUGGUGGUGGUGGCGGCAAUUUUACUCCGUUAAAAGGCGGUGGGUUGCAGGUCAGACCAACAGCUGGAGGGAGAAGGUAUGUUGUGUCGCAGACUUGGAGGAGCCGGACGGCUUUGCUGCCGGCGGUGAUGGCAGAUGCAGUGGCCGUAUGGUUGAAGAUCGGAGAUGAGUGGGAGGAGUUUUUUUGUUCAUGUGAACUGGAAGCAGAAAUGGGGAAGUGAGAGUAGGGCAGCACGUCAUGUUUCAAGUCGGGUCGUACAUCGGUGGAUUUAAGUUGUAUUUUAGGAGUAUGGUUAGAUUUGUUGUUUAAAAAAAAAAAUGACCGAAUAUUCUUCCAGUUUCACAAGUAAAUCACUGAUGCCGUGGAUUAAUGUAGUCCACAUGGCUUUUUUAUUAGUUUUUUAUUUCUUUUUCCCACAACAAAUAAAAAUAAAAUGAUACUUUGUAUUUUAUUAGAUAAAGCAUCUAAUGGUUUCGAGCCAAUGUUUUAAAAACCGGUUUUUUAGUUGAACUCGUAUGGUGGGCGGUUCAUAGUUCAACCGUCGGGUCAACCGGUUUCUAUAAUUUUCAUAUUUUUUUCCUAUUUUCCUAUACUUGCAUAUAUAUACAAAUUAUGAAUUUGACGUUUACAAGUUCAAACAUUAAAAAAAUAUAUAUAAAAUUAUAAAUAAGUUGUAGAUCACUCAUAAUACAUUAAAAUAACACAUAACCAUAAGUUUUAGUACUUUACAUUAAUUCAUAUACGUUAAAAAGAAAAUAAAAUAUAAUAUCGAAACAAAAUAUAGUUUUAGAUUAAUACAAACACAUCAAAAAAGUUAUAUAACAUUUACCCUACGUUUUUAUUUAGAGAAAACUAUAUAGAUUUGAAAAAAUUCACAAAAUUUUAUUAUGCAGAUGAUUCUUUUCUAUGUGUUUUUAUUUGGUUUCACCGGUCCAACCGGAUUUUUUUAAAAACCGGCCGAUUCAAUCCGGUUCGGAAAUCGACGUAAAACCGGUGAUAAUUGAAUCGCUCCCUCCCCCGAAUCCCAGUCCAACCCGUUCGACCGGCCGGUUUAAACCGGUUUUUAAACAGCUCUCAUCAGCAAAGGGCUCUAAUUCCAAAAGAAAUAAAAUUGGGGUUCAAGCUUCCAGAGGCAAGAAUGUUCUUCAUUUAUUCCUGGAGGUGGGAUCAUCAAAGGCGAUUGGAAGCUUCUGGGAACAAACAAUAACGGUCUGGACAUUUGGUAGUUAGUGGCUAAUUUGAAGACCAAAAUGGUGGAUUUGAAGCUGCUGGACAAAAACUAGAAUCAAUUUGAAUAGAAUAUUGUAUGUUCUUUUCUAGGUUAAUGUUCUUAAUGUUAGAUGUGCUUGAAUCAAGUAAAUGAUUGUGGGAUCGAGCCAUAAAUCGAUUUCAAAUGUUAUUCAAUAGUUCAUGUUUUUAAUUUCUUUUUAUAACCAAAUGUUCUUCGAUGUGUUCCAGAUCUGAAAAUGAUAAUGUAUGGUACCUUCAUCUUCAUCAUUCUUUUCCUCCCUUCAUAUAUGGAAACGAUAAUGAACUAGGAAUUAAACACAUCUUCACCAAUACCCAAACAACAAAUCUAAGAAUAAAAAAAAUGAAUCUUGAAAUCUAGAUCUUUAUGUCUGUGAGUUUAUUAUUAUUUUUUCUGGGUUUCUAAGAUGACGAAACACACGAACAUUAUUUCGAUUUUCUGGAUUUGUUAUCAUUUCGAUUUUCCACUUUUGUUUUCGAUAUCGAUUUUUCCAUAUUUAUUUUUGCGUAUUUGGGGUUCAAUUUCAAAUUUCAAGAUUUACUUUUUAGUAGUUGGGGUUCAAUUAAGAUUCUCCUGAUGUGUUUUUUUGAGUGUUUGGGGUCCCAUUUUGAUUUUCUAGAUCCGUGUUUGUGUUCCAGAUUUUGGCUAGAUUUUUGUUUGACUUUCAUCUUUAUAAGGAACACAUAUUUGAUAGUUCCAAUUCUUGAUUUUUUUUCUUGGUGGUUUACUUGGUGAUUGUUAGUGAUUUGUGGUCGAUGUUGAAGGAUGAUGGUGAUAAUUGAGUGUGCUUCAAAGAACAAGAAGACGUCUACAAUAUAAUAUGAAAAAUUGUUAAAUUUAUAAAAAAUUGUAUUAAUGGUGUUUUUCAAAUCUUGGUUGUUCAUAGUGGUUGUUGAUGGGUGGGUGAUGGAUGGUGUUGGUGGCUGAUGGUGGUGCAUGAUGGGAGUUGAUCAUGCUGUUAGGUGGUGUUGUUGAAUGUGCUUCAUUCGAUUAAGAACUGGUUAGACGUUCUUCAAAUCUUUCAUAACUUUUAUGUUUAAUAAAAUCCAAUAAUAAUAAUAAUAAUACUAAAAAUAUGUAAUAAUCAAAAAAGGCGACGUGGACGCCAUGUUGUAACAUCCGAAAAAUACACCCAAUUUAAAUUUUUUCAAAACAACCCGAUUUUCAUUAAAAUGUUUACAAAAAGGUUUUCAAUACAAAUCAUUAGAGUAUUCCCAGAAUCACAUUGCUACAAAAUCAUGAGGAGCGGUACGAUCGCGCCUUCGCCUUGUCACAGUCUCCUGAAGAACCUGAAAAACAUUAAACCACAACUGUAAGCCCGAAAGCUUAGUGAGAUACCCCCAAAAUACCAACCACGUAUACGCCCUUCCAGGCUGUGACCUUCCGGUCCAAAACAUAUAAAACAUACAUAACAGAACAGAACAUAGAACAUCCAUGCAUAUCGGGUCCACUGCGUGACUGGUCCGCCGUAUCGGGCCUUCAGUCCAUCGGAUCCAUCCUCUAGGUCUAGUCAUAUCCUUCGAGUCUACUGUGGGGUUGGUCCGCCCGCAUCGGGCCUUCAACCCACCUGGUCCACUCUCUGAGUCUACAGUGUGACUGGUCCGCCCGCAUCGGGCCUUCAGUCGGCCUGGUCCACUCUCCGAGCCUCGGCACGUCUGGUCCGCCCUCGUGGGGCCUACAGCCUAUCCGGACCGCUCGCUGGGCCUUCGGAACAACCGGUCCGCCCUGGGUAUCUUGGCCUACAGCACAAAGCAGGACCCGCCUCAACCCAUCUCCAGUCCAAACAACCAUGUGCACAAAACAUACAUUCAUAUAACAGUCAUAGUCAACAAACCGAGCAAGCAGAUCACAUAGCAUAUCAUUACCCUAACCGGGUUACCGACCUAACCGGUCACUAGCAUAGCAUCACUCUGUUUAUCGGGAAAACUGACCUUAGCAAGGCCUCCAAGCAUGUACCAUCCUAGCUACCAGGAUGCAGACACAUCAAACAAUAACAUAAUAACCAUAACCGAAUCUCAAUACAAUAAAGGGCCGGCCUUGGUGCCUUAGACCCUGUUGAUAUAGUGAGGAUAACUCACCUCGAAACUGUCGACUGAAAAGAUAAGAUCCCGCUGCUCCGAACUCUGACACGAACUCCUCCACUGAACAUCAAAACAUACAACUCAAUAAAUACCCUUAAUUACCAAAAUACCCCUGGAAGACAACUGGUCAACCUUGGACAAGUCAAAGUGAACCCCUGACUGACCCUACUCGCCGAGUCAACCCGAUGACUCGCCGAGUCCAUAUGCUCAGAACUUCCUUCAAUCAGCGACCCAACUCGCCGAGUCACCCCAAGACUCGUCGAGUCCAACAACUCUGAGUCCACUCGCACCCAACUCACCGAGUCAUCCCUUGACUCACCGAUUCAUCGACUCAACCAGAAAUAUUGGGACUUCCUCGACAAGACUCGUCGAGUCCAAAUGGACUCGUCGAGUCCAAGGCCAUCUUCAACCUACUCGCCGAGUUGUUCUUCCAACCCGUCGAGUUCCAGGCCAUCUUCAAGCAACUCGUCGAGUCCACCCAUGUGACUCGUCGAGUACCACCGGUCUGAAUCCAUACAGAAGCAUCUCAGGCCAUGCAAUUGAUCCAAAACAUAGAUCCAACCUCCUACAAUCCAUCCAUCACGUAAAGUGGCAAACUUUACGUGAAUCUAACGAGAUCUAAGCCAUAUUCACCUUAAAACUAAGGUUUGGGACAUGGUAGCUUCAUUAACAACACAAGAACAGGGGCUUAAUGCUCUUAAGGUCUUCUCUACUCCAGAUCUGAGGUAGCAACCUCAGAUCCAUCCUCCAACAUCAAAAUGUCACACAACCAAGCACCCCACACAACCCUAAAAUGAGAAACUAGGAAGAUACAGCCCAAGAACGAAAAUGUUACCUCCAAAAGGUGCCUCAAUAGCAACCAAACUCGAAUCCAAGCAAAGCCCUUUGAUCCAAGCCACUUCUCCUUCAAGAUCUCUUCAAACAACACCUCUCCAAGCUCUAAUUUGCUCCACAAAUGAACUCUCUACGAAUUUAGGGUUUCUGGAACUCAAGGGGGGAAUAAGGGAGGCUGUGGAGGGGUAGAAUGCUCUUUAUAUAGGGCUCAACCCCGAAAAUUAGGGUUUUCUCCAUACAGCACCUACUCGCCGAGUCCAUCCUUGGGACUCGCCGAGUAGGCCACUUGACACGCGACCAUGACCACGACCUGACUCGCCGAGUCUAUCCAUGGACUCGCCGAGUCAUCCUCUAAAACUUACACUUUUAGCCCUUCAACUCUACUCUUGCGAUUCUGGGAUGUUACACAUGUCGUCCACGUCAAAGCCAUGUGGGUGACUUAUCCAAAUAAAAUUGUCAUAUGACAUGUCAUGUAAGUCUUGCAACCGGUUCUUCCCUUACCCCUUCCAAUAGUGGCUUAUUUGAUAUGAAAAAUGACACUUUAUGCCUCUAGACUACCAAAAAAUAAUAUUAAGGACCUUUUAAACUAAAAACCAAAAGUUGGUAAGACAAGAGUGACAUUAACCCCUUUUAGUUGCAGUCACAUAUUUACUAAAUUGCCCUCAAUAUUUAAAAAAGAAAAAAAGAAAAUCGAAUUUCACUAUCAGACGGAAUUUCAAAUUUGUUGAUUUCCGUCGGCAUACUGUAACGGAUUACCGACCAAUUUUAUUCCAUUGCUAAACCGUCGUAAAAACAUCGCUAAUAUCCAAAUAAUUUGUUUGUCGUCUCUUUUUCCGACGAAUUUUUUCCGUCGCUAUUGCUCUGUUUUCUAGUAGUGGAUGAAAACCUGCACUGAACAUAAGAUAUCGGUAACCAAAUUUUAUUCUUUUUAUUUCAGAGAUACAAAAACAAAGCUUUUAUAUGGGUGACACCAACACACUCAACUUACAAGAGAGAAAUGGAGUCGAUUUCAAUACUUGAUAUGCAUCAAUAAGGCUUUGGCCAAAAUGGCACAUAAGACAUACAAUUUCUGAUUAACAUUUUGGUAGAUUUCAGGCUUAUAACUCUGUCUAACCUUCUGCCAAUGCCAUAGAAUAGAAGUCAUUCUCAUACAAGAUGUACUCUACAUGGCCAAAGGCUACCUACCAGCCUUAUCUAACCUUCUGCUAAUGCCAUAUAAUAGAAGUCAUUCUCUUACGAGACAUGCUCUACAUGGCCAAAUGCUACAUACCAGUACCAUCGUGAAUCUAAGGCCUUUCACUGAUCACAUGGUCAAAGGUACAACUUUGCUACAAAUAUAACAUGAAAUAACAACACGAGAUAAUAGCAUGGAAAAAGUACAUAGCAUACAAUUGUUCCUAUAUAUUGAACUCACCUUGAAAUAACCGGGGGUUAAAAUAGUAAUUUUGUGCAGCACUUCAUUACUAUAAAUAAUUUUGUUCUAUAAAAAGCUUUCUUGAAAACCGGGUCUUGCGAAGGUAGAGCUUCAAACUGAAAAGAUAAAUUUCUCGGGGUCUCCGGGUACUUCGGGAUGUGUUUUGGGUGCUGAAAUUGAUUCCGGGGCUUCAGGGGAUGUCAAAAUAGCUAAAAUAUUGAUUUAGGGGUUAAAAAUGGAAAUUUCUCUAAACUACCUGGGAAGGCUCGCAGCCUUCCUAUUUAUAGGGCGAGAUAGCGAGGGUCGGCCGAAGAGGACACGUGGCUGCUGGAGCGAAGGCCACAAAGCGAGAGGAGCUGGCGCGCAUGCGAGACUCGGACGCGACAUGGGGAGAGGCGCGUCGGAUGGGAUAGGCUUCGGCUUCGGUCCAAUGAGAAAGCCACACACAUCGAACAUUCGGACACACAUCGCAUCGGGUGACUAAGAUGCUUCGGACACGGGGCGCGAUCCGGGUGAGGCGGUUACUAUUCACGCGGGAUUUCCCAAUAUUAUCCACUAUUUCUCCGUUUUUGAGCCCCAAACUUCUAAAAUCCAUAACUUUCGCAUACGAGCUCUGUUUUUGACGUUCUUUUAUUCACGCGUAGGUAAAAUUAGGCUCUACAACUUUCGUUUAGACUUCGUCGGCUAAUUUUGAAGUUAUUUAUAAUAUUAUUGUUUUUAACAGACGGGGACAGGAAAAUCCGUUAAAAAUUGUUAACUUCUUCAUCCGACGUCCGUUUUUGUCAAAAAAUUUACCGUCGUCCUACUAUUGACGAGACCUUCAAUUCUCGUUUAGGUUGUGUCGGCUAAAUAUCAUUCGAUCUCUAUUUCGAGUUUUUAGCUGUCUAUUGUUAUUCUGAAACUUAGAAAAAUAAUAACUUCCUUAUACGAAGUCAGAUUUAAAAUUUCUUUAUAUGAAAGUUCAUUAUUUUAACGAGUUCUACAACUUUCAUUUAGAUCACUAAGGCUAAAAAGUAGUUUAUUGGAAACUCACUUUUUACGCGACAUAAUGUUGGUUGGUUUUAUCACGGAUCUUCGAUUGGUCAUAACUUCUUCGUUAUAACUCGGAUUUCGACGAGGUUUUCGCAUAAACUUUUCUAACGAGAUUCUCUACAACUUUAAAUAAUGAAAUUUUACUUAUUUCAAAUUUUAUAUUUUCGCUAAAUUUCAUUAUUUGGCUUUUAAUUGGAAUCUCAUAAGACUUCCAAAACUUUCUAAAUGAUUCUAAGCGUAAUUUUACUUCAUUUGUAGUAAAAACCAUCUGUUAGAACUCAACAUUCAAUUUCACAUAAUAUUUCGUAAUAUUAUUCACUUUUAAUAAUUACAUAACAUGAUUUCAAAGCAUGUAUGUUACAUUGACUUUUUCAAAAUAACUUGUAUUCUCAGGGACUCGUUAAACAGAAGAAUCAACAAGAAUAGGGGAUUUUGUUUUGUGUACUGUUAAACAUCAUACAUUGAAUGUUUUGGUCAUGUUAUCUAAAAGAUUGUACUUGAUAUAAACAAUGACAGUUGUAUUAUAUUAUGCAUGGUAAUGAUGAUGUUAUGUUUCAUUUAUAUUCACUGUCAUGAUAUUUCAAGAUGAAGUCACGCACAAGCCCCCGGACGUUUCCGUUGUCUGUUCGGGGGUGUGACAGAUUGGUAUCACAGCAUUGUUUAUAGUGAACUAGCAUAUCUAACCAUACAAUAUAUGCAACUAUAAAUACAAUGAGACUAAACUACUCUAAACAUAAUAAUUAAAAUACAUACUUAUGUGUUCAUUUUAGAGUAAUAACAAAACAAGAACAGUAAAAGUCUUUGGAGGAUUUGAACAUCGCUAUUAAACUCGGGCAGUUAUGUAGUCGUAUUGGGGGUAAAUGUAGCCUGAUCAACUACAUUCAUUCAAAAUACGACCAACAUGUGUUCGGGAGUAAUUGUGAUGGACAAUGAAUAAAAAACUUACCAUCUAAUUAUCCCAAAAGCUCAUAGAACCAAACCUAAACAAAAUUAAAAUACUAUAGGAGUAUUUGGUGUGCUAUUUGUUUCUAGUAUUUAUACCCCCCCCCCCUUUGUGAAAUACACUAUAGACGGACAUCAUUAGCCAAGAGACCCCUAUUUCCCUAGUAAGGGGAAUGCAGGGUGGCUUGACCCAGAAGAAGACUCAAAGGAAGAACCAGAGGAGGAACAUGAAGUAGAACUUACAGAUGAACCCGCCGAGCCAGUAGUUAACCUCGAAGAGGAAGAGCUCGAGGGCGAUGAUGAUGAUGACUCAGAUGCAGAGUCUGAGGUCAUCAAUCCUCCAUAUAGGGCCAGAGUACCGGCUUAUCAUAUGGGCCCCAAUGGCCUCACGCCCCAUGGGCACAUAAUAUUAGAGAUAGAUUCGCCAGCAGGGGAUACGACCGCCCUACGGUAUGACACGAGAUCUUUUCGAUCUUAGUCAUGGAGGACCAGCUGACCGGGCCUCCCAAUCAUGGUCCGGCGCACCCGAGAUAUUGAUAACCAAGCUUAGGACACUUCAGAACAAACGAAACAAAUGCAGACUGCUGUUGAGGGAGAUGAGAGAUAAACACAGAAAGCAAUCGGAGACCUCCAAGCGAGAUAGUCAGUUUGGGAGGCACGACUACGAGACACCGAGUGACAAGUAGCUCGUCUCUGAGGUGUAUCUAUUUCAUCAGCACCACCAUUAGAAUCUUUCCACCACAAUUAGGAUUAGCCUUUUCUUUUCUCCCCCUACUAUCCGAUGACUCUUUUUCAUGUACUAAGAUGGUACUUACCAAUGAAACAAUUAUGUGCUAUCUUUAUUUCAUGUUAUUGCAUAAACUCAAUUAUAUGCGCAACUGAACCCUCGAAACCGCUAGAUACUUAAGGAUCUCGAAACCAAAACAACCCAUAUACUCUAAGGAUAGACGUAACGAUCAUGCCAAAUCUGUGAUUACCUAAUACCGUAAAUACAUCAUAGGGAUGUAGAUGGAAAUAAUGAGAAUCAUACGACAAGACGCGAAAUUUAUAGAGUACAACCAGGAAUGAAGAUCAUUACUUACGAUCUGGCUUAUCAACAUGCAGCAGGAAAAUGUCAUCCCACAAAAAUAACAAGCGCACCCGCGAGACACAGCUCCUUCAAAUGGACUCUGCUACAUUCUAAGUUGUUGUAACAGCAGCAGUAACUGCUGCUAUGGCACAAAUCAACGCAAACAACACCAAUGGAGGUAGAAAUAGCAUCGACAACUCCAGCCGAUGGAACGAGCAUCGAAACCAACAAGUGACAGCUUAUCAAGGCACUCCAAACCCCAAGCUUAAGAGCAGGAAGCAGAAGUCUAGAAGUAAGAGAAAGGGACAGCCCACUCAAGGGUUCUCGAAAAAGCAACAUGUUGUUGCUGUCUAUGCGACCAUGACCCCUACUACAUCAACACCAGCAAGAUCAUAUGAUGGAAGCCUUCCAAAAUGCAACCAGUGCAAUUUCCAUCAUAAGGGAGCCUGCCGGGAGCCACAUUGUAAGAGAUGCAGAAAUCACACCACCAAAUAUUGUAGAACUUAUCUACGACAUAAUCAACAGCCAAACAAAAACAACAACAAUCACAACAGCCUUAACAACAACACCAAUGUUGGGACCAGUCACACCUGCUAUGGGUGUGGGGGAACUGAUCACUUUAGGUGCAAUUACCCCAAGGCUAACAAUCAAGGAGCAGAAGGAUCAGGAAGGGUCCUGACCUUGGUUCAAGACAAAGCAAUCCAAGACCCGACGGUUGUUACCGGUACGUUCCCACUUAACAACCUUUUCUCUUGCAUCUUACUCGAUAGUGGAGCUGAGCGAAGUUUCGUUAGUAACAAAUUCGAGAAAUUACUAAAACAACAACCCCAGAAGCUAAACGAAGCCUUCACGGUGGAGACGACUAAUGGGAAAAACCAAAUCAACCAAGGAUGUUUAUGUAGGUAUACCUUAAUACUAAACAACCAUUCAUUUCAAAUAGAUUUAAUUCCAGUAAAUAUUAGGAGUUUUGAUGUGAUAAUCGGCAUGCUUGGGUUAAGCCCCCACCAUGUUGAUACUAUGUGUCGCGAGAAGGUCGUUUGCCUUCACCUUCCCAAUCACGAAACUCUAAUAAUCUAUGGUGAUAAACAUGGCGCCAAUCCUCGUCUUAUCUCGUGCAUUAAGGCACAUAAGUUCCUGCACAAGAAGAACUAUGUUUUCCCCGCUCACAUUGUGGACAAGGCCAAGGAAGAAAUAAGCAUACAAGAUAUUGCUGUAGCAUGCGAUUUUCCAGAUGUAUUUCCCGAAGAACUUCCGGGAAUACCCGAGAGAGACAGGUCGAAUUUCGAAUCGACCUCAUACCGGGAACCACAUCAAUUGCCAAUUCACCCUACAGGUUAGCUCUCACCGAAAUUCAGAAGUUAUCUAAUCAAACUAAAAGAAUGGUUGAGGAAAGGAUUCAUCGGACCAAGCUUCUCACCCUGGGAAGCUCCGGUCUUGUUCAUCAAGAAGACGGAUCCUUCAGAUUAUGCAUCGAUUUUAGGGAAUUGAAUAAGCUCACUAUCAAAAACCGCCCUCGGAUUGAUGACCUAUUUGGCCAGCUCCAAGGAGCUAGUUAUUUCUCUAAAAUAGAUCUAAGAACCGGUUAUCAUCAACUUCGAGUCCGAGAAGAGGACAUUCCAAAAACUGUUUUUUGAACUCGAUACGACCCUUUCAAAUUUGUUGUGAUACCCUUCGGUCUAACGAAUGCCCCCACAGUAUUCACGGACCCUACGAACUGAGUUUUCCCAACCAUUCCUAGUCAGCCUUUUCAGUUUUUUUCAUUAAUAACAUACUCUUCUGCUCGCGAAGCAAGAACAAAACACUGUCAACACCUACGACUGGCCUUGGAAAGUAUCAAAGCCGGAGAAUAUCGCGGAGGAAGCACUUCGUGGAUCAAGAUAACUGAAUUACUUCAAGAUUUUGACAGUCACUUCAGAAGGCUGUGGGAAUACAACUAGACACGAGCAUUGCUUACCACCCUCAAACCAAUAGCCAAAGCGAACGGGCCAUUCAACCACUCAAAGUCAUGCUCCAAGUUUGGGUGUUUGAAUUCAACAAGUCAUGGGAUACUCAGUUGCCCUUGAUUGAAUUCUCACACCAUAACAGCUAUCGCACGAGCAUCAAGGUUGCUCCUUUCGAGACUCUUUAUGGUCAUAAAUGCAAAUCACUCGCCAGUACUCUUAUGGGACCAGAAAACCAUUCGCGAUACGACAGAGAAGAUAAUCCAAAAUCAGAGCUCGACUUCAAGCAUCACGCGACAGACAGAAGAGUUAUGCUGACAAAUGCCAAAAAACUUUGAAAUUCCAAGUCGGAGGUCGGGUACUAUUGAAAGUCUUUCCUUAGAAAGGAAUGAUUCGCUUUAUGAAAUGGAAAACUGAACCCGCAAUACAUUGGAUCGUUCAAGAUUCUUGCCCGGAUUGGUCCAAUGGCUUAUAGGUUGUAGCUGCUUGUAGAGCUCAGCAACGUACACCCCGUGUUCCAUGUCUUAAAUUUGAAAAAGCACCUAUCAGGCAAAACUCUUAUCAUUCCUUUAGAAGAGAAUCGAAAUAAAUAAGAAUCUCCUGUUCGUCGAAAAACCAGUCGAGGUAUUGGAUAUGGAAGUAAAGCGUACAAAACAAAGCGGCAUUCUGAUUGUGAAGGUUCGAUGGAACGCCAAGCGUAGAUCAGAAUUCACAUGUGAACGCGAAGACCAGAUGAAGCAGAAGUACCCUCACCUAUUCCCUCAUUCAUGAACCUACCUUUCGAAAGAAUUUCGGGACGAAAUUCCCUCUAACGGAGGGAUGAUGUCACAACUAGCAUUUUAACAAGGAAUUCUAUUCUCGUGUAAUCAUUCAACUAUUGUAAAUCAUAUAAUCUAAGUAAAUAUCAUUCAGUGCUCAUUUAAAUGCACCUCUCAUGUUCAUCAAAGAGUCUGAAACCCUAAGAACCUUGGUUUAAGUCCAUAUUGGACUUGGAUUCCCCUAUUGGGCCUAAUGGACCAAUAAACUUCCAAUUCGACUAUUUUGGGCCUAGGAUCCUUAAAUGGGCUCUAAUUGGACCCACUUCCAUAAAACUUAGCAUUUUGGUCCAUUUUGGGUCUAAAAUAAAUUAGUUUUCCUUUAAUGGGCCUUAUUGGGUCAUUAAUGAAUUAAUUUGCCCUAAUGGGCCAUAAACUCCCUUUUUCUUUCAAAAUGGGCCGUGAACCAUCUAAUGAGCCCAAUGGACCGAAAACUUCUCUAUGGGCCUCGUGAUCUCGAUUAAGGAUCAAGAUUGGGUCAAAAUAAUUCAUCUCCCCCUUCUUAAGUUAAUUCUCGGCCCAUGAGUAAAAAAAAGGCUAAUUAAUCCAAACCAUGACACUUCAUUUUUGUUUAAAGGUUAACAAGGCAAAAUGUUCAACAUGUAACUAGGACUUCUCAUGUUUCCAUGCACCCUCUCCUCUUUAUGCUUUGGCCGUGGGCAUGAAACAAACACACACACCUAAUUCAUUUUCAAACACCUCCAAAAAUCUCUUAAGAACUUAUCCUCCUUCCUCUAAAUUUUGAGAUUUUAGGUGUAUCUUCAUGGAGGUUUUCAUCUAGAUCAUCAUCUUUGGUAAGUUAUUGUCAUACUUAAGUCUUUGAUUUUCAUCCUUAAGCUAAGAACACUCCCUUAUAAUGCUUCAUUUCGUGAUCUAACACCCUAGAAGCCAUCUAAGUUCAAGAUCUACUUAAGAAAGUUUGAUAGGAUCAAAAAUCUUCUUCCCCUUCUUCAUCAAAACUGAUCCAUCACCCCAAGGUGAGUUUAUACCCCCUAUUUUUUAUUUUUACUUGGUUUUGGGGGAGAAUACAAGUUGCUUUAUGUAGAUCUAUGUGUAUAUGCAUGAAUAUGUGUGUUUUUCAUGACUUAAUUGUUGAUUAUGUGCUAUUUACUUCAUAAAUCUAAAAAUAUGUUAAGAAUAUUAAGUUUAUCACUUGUAUCUACAUGAAAACCCUGAGAAAAGUAUGUGCUAUCACAUAUAAUACAUGUAAACUAGUAGAUCUGGGAUUUAUACACUCAAAAUAGAAAAAAUGAGUGUUGUGUUCAAAGAUCUAUAAACUAAACUAAAAAAUCAGCCUUGACAGAAAAGUUUUGGUCCAAUCUUGAACUAUUUUGACUAACUUAAUGAUAAUAUUUUUCAAAACUGUUUUACAGGAAAAUUGUUCAGGUUUAUACCUUUAAAAUGACUACUCUCACGUUUUCAUACGAUUUUUCUACAAUUUUGGCGAAUUUUACAAAACUGCCUAUCAUAUUUGAAAUAAUUUCGGAAUAGCUUGUGAAGGUGAGCCAUUUCACACUUGUUAGAGGCCAUCAAAAAUUAUGAGAAAAAAUGUGAACAAAGUGGAUAAAAUUUCCAAACUUCCAGAAUUUAUGGAUCCAAAUUUUGACUUACCAGAAAAAUGUGUAUUUCCACAAAAAUCAAGCCAAAAAUGAUACUUUUGAUAAAAAUGGGUUUAAAAUAUUAUUUUUACCACAAACUAGUCAUAAACACAAGUUUUGAACAAAAUGGGGACUAAAGUGUUAUUUUCACAAAAAUUGGGCCUUAAUUGUGAACUUUUGGCUUAUUGGGCCAAGAACGUCAUUUUUCCAAAAAGUGGGCCUUUUAUGCUAUUUUAGUGAAUACUGGAACCAAAACCAACAAUAAACUAACAAACGGAUUAAUUUUGAUCAUUUUUAGGUUAUUUGGGCCUUAGUGGCUCAUUUAUAUGCUUGAUAGGUUUUGUAUACUAUUUGCGUGCUAUUUGGGACUAUAAAUACCUUACAUGUGAAAUGGGCGUUAGUUGAAGCUGCGUAGACAACUCUUGCAUCUCGGGUGGUGCCAACCGAUAUGGUGCCUUUGCUAUUGGGGCGGUACCCGACACCAAGUCAAUAUGAAACUCCACCUGCCUCUUCGGAGGCACCUCCAGUAGUUCUUCGGGGAAGAUGUCCCGAAAGUCCUGAACAACUGGCACAUUGCCCACAUCCGUCGCGGUCCUUACCCUUAUAUCCGCGUAUAAGCCAGAAAUCCCAUGCAACCUCGCUGAAGAAACCUCCUUGCCCUCGUAGCUGAACAGAGGAUCGGUGCAGCCCGCGCCUCCUCAGUAGUCAGCUGGAACGUAUAAGCCAGAAAUCCCAUGCAACCUCGCGGUCCUUACCCUUGUUCCCGAAUAACCAUGAUAUAAACAUAAGCCAUACAAUUACAAUAAGUAGUGAAGUAAUAGAUACAUACUAGCCACGACGUCUGGUGUAGCCCGCGCCUCCUCAGUAGUCAGCUGGAACGUACGGCUCUUCACUGCCGGGAUAUCCACCUUGGCAGGGCGGCCAUCAGUGAUCCUCAGGGUGGUGGGUGCGGGCGCCGCCACCGCUCCUCCUCCUCCCUGCAACCUAGGGCAUUCGUCCUUUUUAUGGUCUGUCUGAUUGUAGUGGAAACAUAUAAAGCCCUUCUUGGGGCAAUCCUUACUUAUGUGGCCCUAUUGGCCACAAGAGUAACAUCCUGUUGUCCCAGCCGUCCUACACGCCUCGCUAUGGAAUCUCCCACACUUGGCACACUGGCCCCGGCCUUGCUGGCCCUUACCCGAAGAAUCUGAGGUCUUAGGCUUCUUAGCCUGACCCCCCGCCGCCUGUGCCUGAUCAGUCUUCUGCUUCGUGCAGGUAUCCAAAUCUAUUUCCCUAUCGCGGGCCUUCUCCACCAUCUUGUUUAGGGUCUUGUACCCUAUAAAACUCACAAACUCCCAGAUACCGGGUCCGUCUCAUUUCUUCAUCGGUAGCAUACUACGGAAUCAAUAAGGCUCGCUCCCGAAACUUGGCGGUGAUUUCCGCCAUAGUCUCGGUGGUCUGCUGCAAAUCAUGAAACUCCCUUACUAGCCGUUGCACCUCAAUAAGCGGUGCAAACUCCAAAUCAAAUCGUCGAACAAACUCAGCCCAUGACAUCUCAGCCACUCCUGUUGGCCCCACCUGGCUAGUAACCUCGCCCCACCAGUCGUGAGCCCUGUCUCUCAACAUACACGAAGCAAACCCAACCUUUGCCACCUCCGGGCAUGAACUCGUGUGCUGGGCAUUCUCAAUAUCUACCACCCAGCGACGGCUGAAAAUGGGGUCCCUGACCCCAAAAAUUUUGGCGCUCUACACGCCUUGAACUCCCGGAAGGAGGGAGUUUGGGUCUCAAUCUGUCCCGUUGCCAACUCUGUCCUGAAGGAUAUGAGUCUCUCCUCCAUGGUCUCCAUAAUACCCUCUUGACCAUCCCAAAAAUGACCGGGGUUGCGUCAAGGAUGCCCCUGGUAACCUCAGCUGCAAUGAGUUCUCGCAGCCUCUCAUCAAUGACAUCAGUAGUGUCUCUCGAUCUUGCCUCAGAUCCCGAUCCCGAUCCUGACCCUCCUGCUCCAAAUCAUGUCACCACCAUGAUAACUAAAAUUUCAUAAAUAGCAAAGAUCAGGGUUUCCAUAUAAGGGAUAUUCCCACACUGGUCCCCCUUGGGGUUGUCGGAUCCAUCAGUGCUUAGGGUACAUAUCCUGUGCUUCCAGUAACACGGGCCCAAUACUACCUUCCACACCUACCUGUACCUUUCUCCACUGCUCGAUCUAAUAACUCCAAUUCAUCCCAUAAUUAAACCAUACCCCGCAUUUAUGACACAUCACCAUCUCAGACCAUCCUAAAGGUUCCUCUACCCAUAACAAUCACAUCAUCAUAACAGGUUGCUCUUAUGCAUGCAAAUGAUACACAGAUAAUGGAUCAAAUAGACUUUCGAAUAAAAGAUUCUACCCUAAGACCACAACCAAACAAGGAACAGGAAAUAAUGUGACAUCCCCAUUUUCACGGCCUGAAAAGACCGAUUUUGUUUAUGCUUUAUAAAAAUCAUAGUUCUUCUUUUAAAAAUAUUGCGGAAUUUGUUCCCAGAAAAACACGAUAAAUACGUUAUUAAAACAUUUUCGAAGAAACGUAUUUUAUUCAUUUCAAAACGUUUGGGAUGUCAUCGUUAAUACAAAAACAUAAGCAUAAAUAGAACUUGCAUUUAUUUACACUAGUGAUCUACAUCUCUUUAAAUCUCUCAGUGUAAUGUGACUUCAUAUCAACACCUGUGAUAUAAAUAAACUGAGUGGGUCAGGUUGGGAAACCUGGUGAGUACAUAGGGUUUUCAACCCACAAUAAUAUAAUUAUUAUGUUUAAACAAUCAAACAAUCAACCCAAUUACCCAUCCCCAUUAUCUUCUUUACUCAGGUCUCUUAGAGUUAAAUUCUAAAACAGACUAUGCCUUCCUUCAUGUUCUAAUGUGAUAUAAUCACACUUUAACAUGUAGCAUUUCUAGCUACCAACUUCUUUAGUGUCGAGUGCGAUAUUUCUAUUGGUCGCUUUGAUUUUAGUUCUUUGGUUAAAGUUGGACGCUACAUCAAACUUGGUUCUCUGAACCACACAACAUACUCAUCGUAGUCGGACUCGAUUCGAUAUGACCACUAGGGUCGGAAUAUCAACAAUCUUCUUAGUCAUUACCGAAACGAUGGUAACGACACACUUGAAUAAAACGAAAUCAAUUACUAGCUUCUUGGUAACCUUGUGACUUUCCCUGAUCCAAGUGUGAGUCCUGUGCUUCCGGUAGUAUAGGCCUCUACUACCAUUCACACCUACUCAUACUCGUUCCAAGUAUUGUCCCGCAGUUUUUCCAAGUUACCAUACAAGAAAACCACACAACAACUUAACACAUCAGAUAACAAAACAAAGGUUUUAUAUUAUUUCUUGAAACGAUUACAUAGGUGUUCAAGUUCACCCUAGACUAUGCCUCUAAUAGGCUACAUCAUAUGACACUAUCUAUAUGGCUUCUUCAUAACUUGAUCUCUAUAUAUCCAUCCUUACUCCUGAUUCCUUGCAUCGUCAGCUGCUUCGUCAAGGAUCAUUUGAAAUGCUCUUGCCUUUGGUUUUGGCGGCACAUUUGGCUUUGUAGCCCCUUCUCUCUUUGGGCAAUCUUGCUUGAAGUGCCCUUCCUCGUUACAUUCAUAACACACCCUUUUGUUGAAUUUACACUCGUUGGCAUAAUGCCCAUGCUUCCCACACUUGAAACAAGUCACCUCCUCACCGCAUUUUCCAAAGUGUUUCUCUUUGCACUUCUCGCACCAUCUUUCUUCACUCCCUCCUCCUCUAAACUUCCUUGUACUGGACUUGCUUUUCUCAUCGGGCUUCGCAGACCCCUCAAACUUUCUCUUUUCACCAACCUCGAUCUUGUUGGCGGCUCUUCCCUUGAUCAUCUCCUCAACCGACUUGACAGCCCAAAUAGCUGCCUCCAAAGUAGGUGCCUAACGCACUGGCACCACGUACUCCCACGGAAGUCCUUUUGCAUACUUGUCAACUUUCGUCAGCUCAUACGGAACAAGAUGUAAUGAGAACUCCAUCUUCUCUGUGAAGUUGUUGGUGUAUUCAUCAACAAACAUGCUUCCUUUCUUCAAGGUAAGGAAUUGGUUUUCUAGCUCGAGCAGAUUUUGGGACGAGCAGUACCUACGUUUGAAUUGCACCAGAAAUUCUGCCCAUGUCAGUUGCAGGGGCUCAUUGGGGCUCAGAGUCUUCCCCAAGGUAUUCCACCAACGUACAACGCCUCCUCGAAACUGACGCACUGCAAAUGUGGUCUGUUGUUUUCCCUUGCAACCGCACGUCAUGAAAGCUAAUUCCAUCUCCGAGAUCCAAUCCAUGACCCCGAUCGGAUCCUCCUUUCCAGUGAAAUUCGAUGGCUUGCAAGUCAGAAAAUCCUUGUACUUGCAUCCAUUCCUCUCGACUUCGUCAUCGUGGUUGUUUUGUCGAACUAUUAGUGGGUUGACUUGACCAACAGUCCCAUUGUAGUUCUCCUCCUCAGUCUGCCCUUCUUUCAACUCGGGCCGUUCGAUCUGAAUGGUCGCUUCCUCUCGAUUUUUAUGGAACAAACAUCUGGUUUCCUCCAUUUGACGAUCCAACAUCGCCUGGAUCAUUGCUUGCACUCCAGCCAUCGUUAUUGGCUCAGCAGCGCUACCACCACNAACCGGUAUUUGCUCAAUCACUGGGGGCUGGUUUCGGUUCCCAUUUGCAUUCAUGUUUCCGCUACGGGUUCUUACCAUCUUGAUCUAUACACCGAAUAAGGUGAAUCUAGACCUUUACUUAGGAUUGACGGUUAAAUCAUCCUUAUCACUCCAAAACGUUUAUAUGCUAGUUCUAAUAUCAUAGUUAAACGCUUAGAAUCCUAAACACAUAAGGUUUCUAGAUCCGGUCGGCAAUAGACCAUAGAUCCAAAUAAAUAACAGCAUAUCAGGCACAAGCAUUUAUGUGACAACUGUCAAUUCAGGUCAUUCUCGGACUCAUGCAUCUUUAUAAAAACCAUUCAUGCACAACAUGCCAUGACCUAGUAGUAUAAAUUAGGUCAAAAAUCUUGCAUAAACUAGGAUCCAACUAAGGUCUAGGACUAAUAUACUUGAUACUUACAAUUCUAGUAAGUUGCUUAGCUACAAUAGGAAAUGCCAAUACUAUAAUUAGAAUAAAGCUUCAAGCUUUGUUAUAAUUGAAAUGGGGUAUAAAACCCUAAAAAUAAAUUAAAACAUUCUAAUUAGACUUCAACAUGUUGUUGAAUAUCAAACAAUAUUUCAAAAAAAACCCCCUAAAGAGCCAAAAAUCCAAAAUUAUAAAUUUUAAAGCUUAAAAACUUUAUAAAAUUUGGCUAUAAACUUUCUAAUAUCAACUUUUUAUUAAUCAAAUGGUUAAUUAUAAUCAAUGAAAUAGAAAUUAAAUUAUCAAGCAUUAAUCAUAAUUUAUUAGUUAAAAACAAGAUUUUAAAUAAAUCCAAAUUUGCUUAAUAAACACUUUUAUAAAAUUAGGGUUUUUAUAAAAUAUAGGAGGGAAUUUUAUAAAAUUUGAAAAUUUGGAGAGAGGAGGCUUAAUGCAUGCAAAAACCGGCCAUCUCCUCUCCCAAUGCCCUCUCUCUUUCCAAAACACAAUCAUUAAGCUAAAACACUCACACUACCUCUUCCCUCUUCACUCUCUUACACUCCACUCUUCUCACACAAACUCUUCUCCUUUCUCUCUCUCUAACUCACAAAAUUCUCCCCAUUCCUCUGCCAAAUUUCGAGAUUUUGAAUACUUUGAAGUGUUCUUACUUCUCUCAAGGUCAAAACCAAGGUAAACAACAACAUCUUCUCCCAUAGUUUCAUGGUUAAACUUCUUCUUCUUCAUAGUUUUCUCUACUUUUUGGAUUCUAUGCCUUUCCAUGGCUAGAAAUCUUUAUUCUUCCCUUGUGGUUUGUAGAUUCUCACCAUAACACAAUGCAUGUGUUUGAGAUGGUGAAAAUCCGGGAUCAAACCCAUGCAAGGAGUGAAAAGAUGCACAUAUGAUCAUGUGACAUCAAAACCGAAUGUUUCAUCUUCUUCUCCAUUUCUUUUGUGUUCUUGCAUGACCAAAAGCAUUUAAACCAUUUCUAGUACAUCUUGGAUUCUCAUUCACUCCAUGCAUGUGUUAAAAAUCGGAUCUUACCAAAGGCAUGCAUGAUGUUCUUGUCAAAAUACCCUAAUAAUGCACAAAAACAAACAUGCAACCUGCCAGAUUACUUUGUUCGACUUUGAACGGCCAUAACUCGGUCAUUUAUUUACCAAAUCAUGAUAUUCUUUUUGUAUUGGAUAGUUCCAAGAGAUAAAUUUCAAACCCAACUGGUCUCACUGUAAAAUAUUAAAUAUCCGAUUUUGGCAAUUUUUACAAAAUGGUUGCGCAUACAGCUCUUUUUCUGUGAUCACUAUUUUUGUCUUGCAUGAUCAAUGGCCUUAAACCCAACCAUAAAUCUGAGGAAAAAUACCUUAGCAACUUAACAUAUCUAGUGAAUGAUGGCUGAAAUUUCGUGGCUUAAAACCUCACUGAAUGGGCUACACAAAUUCAUGAACUUCAGCCACAUCUACAUUUCAUGCAUCAUUGCAUGCAACCUUUCUUAAUUUGUUUAGAUUCAUUACCCUCAUUUCUCUUCUGAAUACAUUUUUAACAUUUUUUCUUUUGAAAGCCCUCAUAUGCAUGAGAUAAUCUGAAAAAUUUCAAGAACUUUUAUUAUUUUCUUGAUUUAUUAAAAUUAUUGCUAAAACCAAGGGCAUAAAUCACAUAAAAUACUUCCAGAGGUCAAUAAAUCUUGAAUAAAUUCAUGGAUGAUCCUUAUGGUGAAUAAUGACCCCUCACCAAAUUUCAUCAAUUUUUGUUACAGUUUAAUACGAUUUCCGAUUUUCUUUUUUUAGGGCAUAAUAAAUCACAAACCCACUUUAGAGAAUGUGAAAAUUGUAUCGAACAAUUUUCGCAUACCUUACCUGUGAAUGGUGACUCCAGAAAAUAAUUUCAAGGUUUUUCAUCAUGUCUAACUAUUUUUCCUAAUUUUUGGUAAUUAUAAUGGUCUAAAAAUAGGAAAAAUAGUUCUGAUUACCCAAAAUUCAUGAAAAAUUACCAGGAUAUCAUAUUGUACUUUAGGAGGUUACAUAAAAAUUUUGAGGAUUUUUCUCUACUGUAAACUAUUUUUCUCUUAUUUUCUAAAGUUAAUUGCACUAAAAUACACUUAAAUACACAUAAAAAACCCAAAACUAGUUUAUACAUUAUGAAAACCACUUUUGAUAUUUUUUCCAGGUUAUUUAUACUGUAAUUGAUGUUACAAAAAUUUAUGGUGAUUUAUUUUAACUUUUUAAUAUUAUUUCUUUAAUUAAUGACUAUUUAAAGGAAUAAAACAAAGAAAAAUAGAAAUACCCACUGAAAAAUAUCUUUUAUAUUUUUCCCAGCCUAGUUAUGUAUAAUAACAAUUAAAUAAAAAGUUUGGGUACUUUUGGAAACUGUUUUCUAUUUAUUUCAAUUUUUAUUGGAAUAAAUGCCCAUAAAUCAUAAAAUAUAAUUAAACAGCUUGGAAAUCCAUUUUUAUAUUUUCUCAGCUUAGUAUUGUGUAAUAACAGUUAAAUAAAAAGUUUGAGAAUUUUUAUCCCUCGAAUGCUAUUUUUCGUGAAUUUAUGUUGUUAUAGAGACUUAAAAUUUGGAAAAUUAACCUUCCAAGGUUGUAAUUAAUCGCACGACUUGUAAAAUUUCAAUAUGUCAGCAAAAGUGUAACCAAUUGAUAUAAAAUCCAAUACUAAAACAUAAAUUGGCAUUUCCCUAUAUGUAGAGUUUAGUAUAUUAGCAUUAGAUAUCGACUUGAAAACUCACUAGUGUGUGUGUUUGAUGUCGUAGGAUCCCGAUAGUAAGACAUUGGUGCAUCCCGAAGUACCGCUUGUGCCUACAUGAAACAUCGUGAGUAUUCACGCACUCCCUUAUUUUUGGUUUUUAUGUUUUGGGGUGGAAAAGCAUGUCCAGAAAAACUAAUGUUUGCAUGUUGUAUUUAAAUUGAAUUGUAUCAAACAUGAUUGGUAUUGUAUUGCUAUGUUUCUUUAUGUAUGUCUAUGCAACAUGGAACAUGAGAACUUAUCGUACUAAGGCCCUUCCCUUAUCUCUAACCAUUAACUCUUUGAGCCAAUGGUCAUUAUGGAUAGCGCUAUUAGGAAUUGACAACUCCUCACUCGCCCGAAUCGCUGGAGUGCAUGAUACCAUAUUCAUCUAUGGAACGAUAAGCAUAGAUCUCGAUAGGGCUUCAGUCAUAGGUUUGGUUGAGACUCAUUGUUUGCUCAUACACAUACAAACUCGUUUCUCGUUAUAGCAAUAAACUUGUAUUCAUUAAUAGCAAUCAACUUUGUUUAUCAUUAAAGCAAUGUACUUGUAUUUACGAAAAGCCUUAUUUCACGCUCGAUUUUAUAAACUUGUGAACUCACCAACUAUUUUCAUAGUUGACGCUCGUUUUACAUGCUUUUUCAGGAAAUAAUUAGUAAGUGGAUGUAAAGAUUCAUCAUCAUAGAGCAUGCUGCAUCGUGUUGAAGCUAUUAUGAAGUUAUAUUUUGAUCAAUGUUAUUUUGGAAAAACUUGUACUUUGUUUCUUUUAAGCUAUGGGUUGUAAACUUUUAAAUACUGCUAUGGUGAUGUAUCUUUAUCUUUUGCAAUGAAACCGUUAUCGCUGUCAUACCUUGCGUUUCCGCUUUAGCGGGGUGUGACAGAAGUGGUAUCAGAGCUAAAGUUAUAGAGAACAUCGGUUUUUCUUUAAGAAAACACAACUUAUAACUAAAACUUACAAAGAAAUUCUUUUUACAUCAAACAUAUUACUAGUAUAAUUAGGUCGGGAGUUGUAUCAUUGGACCUCGAUUAAACAUAGCCCGAUCACGUAUGUUUAAUUAAGGAAAGGUUUAUACAAAGCCUGAGUUAAUUAUAAUGGGAAUAUGUUUAACAAAAAAAUAUUUGAGAAAACUUUAUUUCAAAAAAAUUCAAAAGGUUAAUUUUGGGUGUGUGUAAGCAUUGCAUAUUAUAGGCAUGCAUUGUCAUUUAUUUCAUAUCUCAUUGAAACUAUGUCACAGUCCACUAUGUCAACAUCGUCAUCUUCCCGCGCUACCGCCUCAGCCGAUGAGUCCGGCUACGUCACUAUUAUCCCUCGACGUAAUCCCCCCGCCUUGGUAGAACAAGACCCAUCAGAGGAUACGGAAGAUACUGGGAACUCGGUGGAGAUCAGCAAUGACAACGCCCCGAGUCAACGACGCGAGGCAUCACCUACAUCGGUGUUGCCACAACCACCACUUUAUGGACUUCGCAUUCGGAGGACGGCAAGGAAGAGUGUUUCCAUUCCAGGAAGGAUACCCACCAGCACAGCAGGACAUGGCACGGCAGGACCUAGCGGAGCAAGACCCCACGUUGCAGGACCGAGAGCACCGCCACCACAGCGAGUCAUAGGAAUACCUGUCAGGCAGCCAGGUAUGACCCCGGAGGAGUCCCAGAGGAUGUGUUCGAUGGCAGCAGAUUUGCGCCACAGCCUCGCUAUAAUAGCCGGGCAACAGGAGGUAUUGAACGAAGUGAUGACAGGGAUGGAAAUCCUGUAUCAGCAUUCGAUGGAGACUGCUAACACUGCUAGUGCUACUAGACGAGAGGCAGGUCAUGCGAUGACAACAUAUUAUGUGUUUGGUGGGCUAUUACUGAUUGUGGUGUUGAUGCUUCUUGUUGGGAUAGCGAUUGGCUUUUGGUUCUGAUUUCCGUAUUUUAUUUUAUUUUGUCAUGAAAUGAAAACCCAUGUUGGGUGUCUUUUGGGAAAAACUUUUAAAACUUUAUUUUGGGAUUGAUGUAUUGGUUUGGUUUUAAGAUUAUUUCAAAUGGUAAUGAAGAAUUUUAUUUUAUGUUUGAAAACUUUUACUAUGAGGUCAAACCCUAGAAUUUAUUUAAUAAGUGGUUGAAUAAAAAGAUUUUUCUUUUCUUUUCUUUCUAAAAUCUAUAUGCCUAGUAUUAAUGCAAACCAAUGAUUUGACAACACUUACGGUUUUCAAAAUAGUAGUGAACUAAAUAUUAUACAUUAUUUUAUGUAUUUAUACGUAUUUCUUCUCCUGUGUCAUAGAACCAUGUCAGGAAGGCCUAGUCGCGGGCGCCCACAGAACGNACCUCACAAGCACAACAGCUCAUGGAAGCAAUCCCAAACAUUGUUACUCAAGUGACUGAAGGACUUAAUGCUAAUGCUCUGAUACCAACUGUGACAUCCCCAUUUUCACGGCCAGAAAAGACCGAUUUUGUUUAUGCUUUAUUAAAAAUCAGAGUACUUCUUUUCUUAAAAAUGUUGCGGAAUUUGUUCCCAAAAAAACACGAUAAAUAUGUUAUCAAAACAUUUUCGAAGAAACGUAUUNCGUUUGGGAUGUCAUCGUUAAUACAGAAACAUAAGCAUAAACAGAACUUACAUUUAUUUACACUAGUGAUCUACAUCUCUUUAAAUCUCUCAGUGUAAUGUGACUUCAUAUCAACACCUGUGAUAUAAAUAAACUGAGUGGGUCAGGUUGGGAAACCUGGUGAGUACAUAGGGUUUUCAACCCACAAUAAUAUAAUUAUUAUGUUUAAACAAUCAAACAAUCAACCCAAUUACCCAUCCCCAUUAUCUUCUUUAUUCUUAAGGAUCUACCCUAAGAAUUAGCUAUUUCUCAUUCAUUCAUUCCUAAGGAUCAUCCUAAGGAAAUAACAUGAAGUCCAUUGUUGCCAAUGACACAUUGGUCAAGCACAACUGCUAAUCUGGUCACUUAGGCGUAGCUGCCAGAAUUGGGACAUUUUCUAUGAGGCGCUUCUGCCGGUAUUGACCUUUAAACACUGCUAUCAUGGUCACAAGGCUCCCUAUUAGGCGCAACUGCCGAUACUAUCCUUAGAGCGCAGCUGCUAGGACGUUUACCGUAGAUCUAAAUCAUCUACGGGUUGUGGCGCAGCUGCCAGUGCUCAUCUAUAUGGUACUAGGUCCACUGCUGCCAAUGUAUACCUAUAGGGCACUAGGUCCGUACUACCUAAUGUUCCUCUAUUUCAGCUUUAUCCCUCAUCAUUCAUCUACCCAUGUUUUACCCAACAUAUUUUGUAGAUAUAAAAUACUUUAUACAAUUUACAUCAUUUAAAACAUGUAUAAAAAUCUUUCACCAGCAUAGACAGCAAGUAUUCAAACAAUAUGCACACAUAACACGUAAUUUAUAAUAAAAUACUUCAUAUCUAUGUGUACGAUGAAAGGGACCAUGCACUCAACUGAGUAGGUGGUGACUCAGCACUCGGACAGCGCUUCGAUACUCUCAAAAUGAUAUUCCUUCGAUAAAACCUAGUACCAAUACCACUAGGGUUUAGUCUAACGAUAACCGCGACAAAUUAAUUAGUCUGACAAUUAUUAUUAUUAUAUAAGCAUUAAUAACACUCAAUAUAACUCAUAAUAAUAGCCCAAAUAAUUAUUUUAAGGACCUAAUAACAUUCCUAUAAUUAUUUGAAAGCUAUAUUAAAAGUUGCGUAAGCGUAGCACACUUACAGCGAAUUUUAUCGAAAACCGGAACUUAAUUGGAGCAGCGUUUCGAAACCGAAAGACCCUUUUUCUCGGGACUCCGGAAGCCUCGGGGCUUCCUUAGGGUGCUAGGGGUCCACCUAGACUUUAGGGAGGGUUGAAAACCCUAGAGAGAGAAAGUUUAGAAAGAGAGAUAUGAGAAAGGUGUGAGAAAUUCGGAUGAAUUCGCAUGCUAUUUAUAGCCUCAGCAGCCUCGGACGUACGUUGGGUGUAGUCCUCGGCUAUGUUGGGCGUAGUUCGCAUCGGGCUACCAGAUUGCUUUGUAUGAGACACGUGUUGGACAUCGGUUGGAGCUACGCGGCUGCUUGUGGACCGAGGGUGGCAGCUGUACGCGGUGCGUACUGAGCUUCAGACGUUGGGCAUAAUGCAGGGGUGACGCGUCAGUCAUCGGAUGCGAGACCUUGGGGAGCAAGGGAAGGCUAGGAUCUUGCCACGUCAUCACCAGCUUCGCAAAUUGCACUCUCAUCUUCUAAAAAUCAUAACUUUCGCAUACGAGCUCCGUUUUCGACGUUCUUUAUAUCCAAGCGAAGGUGGGAACGUACUCUACAACUUUUGUUUAGACUUUGUUGGCUAAUUUUGACUCGAUUUUAAAUUUUAUAUUAUUAAUAGACCGAGACAAUAUUGGUCCAUUAAAUUCUCAUAACUUCUUCAUCCAACGUCCGUUUUCGCCCAUCUUUUUCUCGUUACGCUACUCUUAACGAGAUCUUCGAUUCUUGUUUAGGUCGUAUCGGCUAAAAUCGCUCGAUCUAAUAUUCGAAUUUUGGGUUGUGCACCACUAAUCCGAAACUUCGAAAAAUCAUAACUUCUUCAUACGAAGUCAGAUUUGGGCAUUCUUUUUAUCGAUGUUCUUAGUUUAACAUAUUCUACGACUUUCGUUUAGAUCGCUAAGGCUAAAUCUCGCUCUAUCAUAAAUCCACUAUUUACGCUUCCCGGUAUCGUACCGGUUUCGUCACAAAACUUCAACGGGUCAUAACUUCUUCGUUAUAACUCGGAUUUCGGCGUUCUUUAUAUGUACGGAAACCUUGAGAAAUAUUCUACAACUUGGUUAAGAUUAUUUAUUCUAAAUAAUCCUUUGUCGAAAAGUAGUUUUUGAUACUUAUUGUCUCUAAAUUGACUAGCCCGGAUCUGCGGACGUUACAAGUAAGGCCAAAUCAAUCAUUCUGAGGCUAUAAGCUCUUAACCGUAUACAACUUUAAAAGCAUACACCUAGCAAAUUUCACAUAAGCAACAUGGUUCAAAAUUAGUAUAACAUGACAAGCAUAUAGGGGAACUACUCACUUGGCUCGGCUGAUCACGCGCGUUGCACUCUCAUCUUUUCAUUUUUAUGUUAUUAUUUUGAAAACAUUUCUACCAUUCCUUAGUUUGAGUCCCGGCACACUCGAGAGUGUGUCUGAAUCCCUCAAACUAAGGCUCUGAUACCAACUUGUAACAACCUAAAUUUUACAACGAAAAUUUUCAUUUAAUUUAAAUAACACAUUGACAUAAAACCGUGAACCCUACAUUUAGUUUAAAACACCAUCCAUUACAUUACAUAAAUUAUAAGAGUGUGUCCCCAAACAUAUUAGUGAAAAAGAGAGAUAGAUAGAGUGCACGCCGCGCCAUCACGUCUUGCCCUUGCCUUUUGGCUUCGAUGUACCUGAAACAAUUCAACAACCUGUAAGCGAAAUGCUUAGUGAGUUCCCCAGAGCAUACUACACACCACUCAUACACAUAUCCUAGUAACAUAUCACAUAGGCCAUGCAUACAUAGAACCAACAAGAAUGUCAUGGGCUACCCCACAUGGACUUUACCUAGGACUCCCAUGGGCUACCCCACAUGGUCUUACAUCCAGUGUCAUAGGCUACCCCACAUGGUGUUUACCUAGGACUGCCAUGGGCUACCCCACAUGGUCUUACAUCCAAUGCCACAGGCUCUCCCUGGGAUCUUUAUGCAAAACAUACAUUCACAUUACAUAUCAAAACACAAAGUGAUUACACAUAUACCAUAAACACAUAAUGGGUCGGCCUUGGUGUCAUAGACCCAUGGGUAGGGUGAGAAGACUCACCUUCAUCCGAAGAAUAUAAAUACUGCACUCUUAAUGACCCGCAACCUCCCGAACUGAAUAAUAAAAAUAAUAAUAUCAUCAAUGAUUGGUCCAUAAAUUAUCCCAAGGGAGGGCCCAACCUUUAAACCUUACCCUAAAGGCCCAAUCACACUUUCAUUGCAAAUGGGCUCAAGAUCUAAGUCUAAUAUCCUUAAUGGGCCCGCUUGGCCCAAAAAGGCCCAACCAAUAAGUCCAUGGUCCAAACUGAUAAAAAAGCCUUUAACUCACAGAAUCCAAUCAGGCCUAAUAACCCAAAAGAGGCCUAACAGUUCGACAACCCAAAACAAGAAUGGCCCAAACUGCCCCGUGUACGCCCAAUGUACACUUCAGGUAUGCGCAGCGUACCGGGUUUUCAAGUGUUACGCAUAGGGUACUCAGAGUACGCCCGACGUAAGUCUCAGUUAAGAACUUUCUCUAUUAAGUGCUUAUUAUUCCAUUCUUUUACGUCCAUAAUCUAUCUCUGAGUCCAUUAACACCUCCUAGGGCAUAAAGUUGCUAACUUUAUGCCUUUGCAUGUCCAUUAAACCUCCAAAGUCAUCAUUAAGACCUUUCCCAAGUCUUUAAUUCAUGCACAAGGUUAAGACCUCCACCAAGCUCCUAUUUUAUGCUCUUAAAUGGCUUAAGGACCUUAGAUCUGACCUUAUUAUCGAAUGGGGACGAUCUAGCCAACAAAUGAGGCCUAAAAUCCAUCAAAAGGACCAACUACAAAAACCCUAGCUAGAUCUAAAGAUCAAAGAGGAAAGGUGCAAGCUUUUUACCUCUAAGAGCUCUGUAAGAUGAUUAUGAUGCAAGAUCUUGAAGCACCCGCUUGAUCCAAGCUUGCUUGACCAACUCUUCUUUUUGAAAUGAACACUAAAGAUUACAAAUGCACACUUUUAAAGCUCAAAAAUGAUUUCUCAAGGCUUUCAGCAGUGAAAUGGCGUUCAAAGGCAGUGGAGGCUCUCUAGGGUUUAGUCCCAAGGGAUUAAAGUCGUUUAUAUAGGCCUCAAGUCUGAAAUUAGGGUUUUUUUGGUCCCUAGCACGUACACCCCGCACAAUCCAUGGUAUGCCCAACGUACCUCUUAACAUCCGCGAACAGAAAAGGUCCUAGUACGCUAAGCGUACACCUAAGUACGCCCAACGUACUAAGGGACUAAUAAUGCAAAAACUAUAAUUUAAAGGGGUUCAAGUCAUACCAUUUAUUUCUGGAUGUUACAACUUAGUAUAACUAGAGUCUCCUGGAGGGAGAGCGUGAGAUUUUUGAAUAUAUCUAUUUGAGACUGAGAAUCCCACACCUAAACUGCUAGCUACAGUUAGGAAGACAUGCAUGUGGUGACAAAUAUCAUACUGUACGACGCCUGAAGAAACGUCGCUGAGGUUACUAGUCAUAUCAAGCAUGGUUAUACGAACUCACAAUAGUAUAAACUAACAUUUGUUUAUGGGAUUUCAUUCUUCAUUAGUUUUAUUUUAAUUAAUAGAACUACCAUACAUUACACUGGAGGAUUCCAGGGAUACAUUACUCUGUUUUAUUUUAAUUAAUAAAACUACUAUACAUACUGGUGGUAGCCAGGGUUUUCAAAUAUAACAUACUGGUGGUAGCUAGGGUUUUCAAACAGAACAUACUAUACAUACCGGUGGUAGCCAAGGUUUUCAAACAGAACUUACAUGUUAGAAAAUAUUGGAUUUUCUUAGGAAACAUGCAUACAUUUUUCAGAAUUCAAUGACUGGUUUCAUUACAAAAAGACUCUUAUGAACUCAAAAGUUGAUACUCUUUCAGAAUCGCUUAUAUUCUCAGGAAAUCAGUAGACAGAUACUCCCACCGGCUUCCGGAAGACAGAGCGUUCAGAGUUUCAUCUUUAUAUUUUUGCUACUUUUUAUGUAUACAAACAAUGAAUCAAACAAAUGUAACUAUUCAUAUCUUAAUGUAAUGGUUGUGUUUACUUUGAUUACUAUGAUGCAAUUGUUGUGAUACUACACAUGACGUCCUCCACCCCCGAACGUUUUCGCCGUUCCGGUUUGGGGGUGUGACACACACACACACAUUAAUACCUGAUUUUGAUACAUCACUUUCAAACCAUUUUACAUAAAAUAUCGUAUUUUCUGGCGUUUUACAAACAAUACAAAACUUUUCAUUCAGACAUGCUUAUGAACUUACCAACAUUAUAUAUGUUGGCAUUUUCAAAAUAACUUGUAUUCUCAGGGAAUCGUUAAGCGGAAAGGUCAAUAAGAACACAUGGAAUUUUUCGUAUUUUGUUAUCAUCAUUCAUUGAAUAUUUUGGCAUGUAAUUUAUGAUACUAUACUUGAUGUAAACAAUGAUGGUUGUAUUUUGAUAUGUAUGAUGAUGGUGUUGUCUUGUUUCAAUUAUAUACAAUGUGAUGAUAUUACACGAUGAAGUGACCAAAUCCCCCGGACGUUUCUACCGUCUGGUUCCGGGGUGUGACAAAGAUUCUUCAAAUUACGCAACUCCUUGCAUGGAAAAAUUAUGUUGAUUUUCAACAAUUUAUCACCAUUCUCAUGUGCAUCUACUUCAAUUAAAUUUGAAAAAGACCAAGGGAAUUGAACUAUCUUUAUCAUAUCCAGAGUACAACACAUAGGGAGUUGAGCCUGCUAAGAAAAAAUCAAACAUAGAUCAUCACAAACAUAUAACAAUUAUACAAGAAAAAUACAUUUAGUAUACAAACAUAUUAAAUGAUUGCAUGUUUUAUUAUUCUUCAAUGACCCAACAUGUAUUUCCAAUCAACAAUUUAGACUUUAUCGAUGAUUGUUAAGUCUUUCUAUUUAUUUAUUUAUUUUAUUUAUUAUUAUUAUCAUUAUUCAUAUAAAUCGUAUUAUUAUUAUUAUUAUUAUUAUUAUUAUUAUUAUUAUUGGGGGGAGGGGGUAUCAAAAUGAAAUAAAAUAAAAAUAUAAAAACAAAGUGUUCUGGCAACUUUAAAAGAACUAAUUUUCCAUGUAUGAGUGUAUAUAACAUCUUUCAUAACAUAAGAGACAAUUUAAUAUCUUAGGAAUGAAAUAUUAAUCUAUAAUAAAAAAUAAAAUUGCAUAUUUUCAUAACUUUUUAUGGAUAUAAAAAAUGGGAAGUGGUUAAAUGAUGAAGUAAAGUAACAACAUACCUCAUCCUCAUGUGUAACAUUUGUCAAAUGGAAGUUAAGGCCACAUUUAAGACUAUGCUUGCCUAUUCCUGUAUGUAUGUAUCUGAGCUUCGGAGCCAUCAAGUGAACAGAUGUGAAAUUCAUCAUUUAUGGGCAACCAUACAUCUCAACCUUUUCCAAUACUGGCCACCUGAACUCAUUCAUCACCAACAAGAAACCCUUGAGAUCUGGUAAAUCUACCAGUGUAAGGGACUUGAGACGUGGGAAGACUAUUAUAGAUUUAGAUGUUUCUGUGUGCUCUGCGUAUUCCUUCACAAUCACUUUCAUUGCCUUGCAUUCUACUACCAUCACUUCUUUUAGUUGCUUAAGGCUUUCAAGUGUGGAACUUGUGAAUAUAUAUUCCAAACCUUCACAUCUAUCUAUUUUCAAUAUCGUUAGGUUGGGCAAUUCAAGCAGAGUCAUAUUUGCGGACCUUGGGAUGGUGAUUGCAGUACAAGUAUCAUCACUUCCAUCACCAACAUUAGUAGUACUAUCAACAUCAUUGUUGUUUAUCCCUUUACUUUCAAAUACAUAGGAUGGAAACACUCUUGACAAGGCAUGACAAUCAGGCAUACUAAUCACUUUGGAGUAUUAGCAUAAGAACCAAGAAGCAACAACUUGAGAACACCACAACAACACAUGAAAAAUCAAUGGAUCUGUUUAAAUUAACAAAGCUUAGUUGUUUGCUACACACAUACACACAACAUGUGUUUCUAAAAAUAUGGUUACAAACACGAGUGCUUCCCACAACUAAGGUAAUUAUGAACAACUACAAAAAGGUAAACUAAAUCAAUCAUAAAAUUGGCCUUAUAGUGGGUUACAGGAGAUUAUAAACAACUUCAAAAAGGAAAUAGAAACAAGAAAAAAACAAAACUGUCACAUUGCUAAUUAACACAACUAAUUAGCAUUUAUUCAAAUUAAAACUUGAAAAUGAAGCGACUUUGAUUAGCAAUUAAUCAGCAUAUAUAUUUCACACGUAUCUGCAGGAACACAUGCAGAAUCAAAGUAUAAACACAUGCAAGUAUGAUAUAAACCAUAAAAUAUACAAAUAUUGUAACUAUGAAUUUUACUUGUGUGUACUGAAGAAGGGCUAAAUGCAAAACAUAGCAACACAUUUCCAUUUAUUCGUUUGUUAAAGCAUCGUACUUUCGUUUCUUUCUAUUUAAGCAACAGAAAUCGUUUCUAUUUUAAUAACUUUUUUUUGUUUUUUUUUAAACUCGAGUUGGAGAAAAAAGUUUAUUUGAUGGUACGAGUUUAAGUUUCUACUCCAAAAGCUAUUUCAAGUAGAUUUUAGCAUCUUUCAGUUUUUUGAAAUUCUACACCGUUAAGUGUUAACUACUUUUAUGGAAUAAUUACACACAAGUAAUCACCAUAGAGAUCUCAAACCAAGUACAAAGGGCUUUUUUGAGACCAUAUAUACCGGAAUUUUAGAAGCCAACAAACUUCACCCGGUUGGUGGGCAACACUUAGGGGAGAAGUCAUGUAAACCUCCUCAUGAAGAUCGUUGUUCAAGAACACAUUCUUACCAUCCAUUCAGAAUAUCUUCACUAACUAACGAAUGGAUGCAACUGUGUUAUUAGAGUACGACAUUCAUCACUUUUGUCGUCAAUUUUUGUGUGGGUGAAACUAACCCUUCUUAUGAGUCUAGUGAAGAGUCAUAAGUUCCUCAACUAUAGCAUUCUACCAAAGGAGAUCAUAAACAGCCUCUCUGUACGACUUGGUUUCUCACAUAUUAUGUAUAUUGGCAAUAAAUGAAGCAAACAAAGUCAAAAUAAGAUGGAUAAGAAAAUUGCAUGAGUUUGAUGGACUUACAAGUACCGUUGGACUUAAAAUGUGGUGGAAGUUUCAUAGUCACAGUUAGAGAGGAGCAUUUAGACCAAAAACCAAAUCGAAUCGAAUCGAACUGAAUUAGGCCUGAAUAAGCAAUUCGGUUCGGGUUUCGGGUAUCUAUAUUAGGCUUAGUCGGUUCUCGAAUUUUUCGGUUUGGGUUACCCAAAUAAGUGCUUAUUCGAUUCAAAAUAUCCGGCCCAGAAUUUCAGCAUGGUUGCAGAAAUUUAGGCAACUUUGAACUGUAAUGACGUCUUCGUUAUUUACCCCAUUUGCCUAUUUUUUUCCAUCUUGUAGCUCACGGUUUAAACUACUAUUUACAUAGUUUAUAUGCUAUUUUUGGUUAUAUAUUCAAUGAGAUACAUGCCCCUAAAUAUGGGGUAUUGAAGCUAAAUUUUCUGUUUCAGCAUGUUUGUAGAAAUGUAGGCAACUUUGAACUAUUAUAGGGUCUUCAUUAUUUGUCCGAUUUGCUUGAUUUUGGGGGUUGGAUUUUACAUUCUUAUAUCUCAAGAAUAGUUAACCCGUGUUUACAAUAAAUUUAGAGAAAAAGUGAAAUCAUUUUUGGUGUAUAUCGAAUCUUUUGUUCGUUAAUUUGGGAACAAAAACAUACAAAAUAUAAAUUCGUGUUUACAUUUAAGUCUACAGUUAUAUAUUUGUCCAUGCUGCGCAUGCUUAUUACACAAAUUCUGACAUUUUUUUGCAUCUUUGAAACAAUUAUAUAUACUUUCAUUAUUUUUAAUCAAACAAGAUUGUUUCUUUAAUAGUUUUGUUAUGGAAUCAUAAGCUACAAAAGUAUUAAAAAAUACAGUUUUUAUAAUCAUAUUGUAAAUGUUAUUCGGGUUAUGGAAUCAUAAUACGGUUUAUUUGCUUUUUUUCAGUUAUAUUAAGUCAUUAAUCAUAUCGUGAAUGUUAUUCGGGUUAUUCAAGUAAUAACUGACCCGAACCGAUUAAUACCCGAAUCGAACCGAACUCGUAUUAGGUUAUUCGAUUCGAGUUUCGGUUCCUCCGAUUAGCCUUAUUCAGUUUUUAGAUUAUUCAGGCUCAGGUAAAGUCGGUCCGGUUCCGACCCGAAUAACAUCCUAGUCACGGUAGGUAAACAAUAAGAGGAACUGGAGCAAUGUAUGAUGUUGUAAGCAUAUUAUAAAUUGGGUCAUCAGAUGCAAUGUUAUCUCUUUAAUUCAAAUGUACUAGAGUUGAUUAUCUAAUACAUCCAAUGGAUGAAAACAACAUUAAAAUCAAUAGCUAGUUAUAAAGAACGUUACAACAACAUUAUGCAUAUUUUAUUGGUCCUACACCUAAAGUACAUCACCACGUUAACAAUAAGCAUAGAUCCUAAAUAUCCCAAAUAGGUAAAAAAAAACAGUAUAUCAAAAAUUAAGAAUUUACAUGUAAUGUUAGGCCUCAUUAUUUAGUAGCGGAUACUUGGACUUUCUUUGGUAAUCUCAUCUGCAUGAUCAACAAACAUAAUUUACCUUUAACUAAGAUAUAAAAUAAGUUUAACUAGUCUACAAAUAAUAGAUUAUUAGAGAAUUUUGACCUUAGAUUUUGUGGUUCGCCAUCCUAUUGCGUUGGCUUCUGGAUGGCUUCUGGAGAUGUAUAGGCAAAUUUUUUCAAACGGAUUUUAUGAGUCGCCUUUACUCAAACUUGUAACACUAGAAGGUGAGACUUCCUACAAUUAAAAUCCCGAUUGUUACACAUGACAGUAUAUGACAAAACAAGUUGUAUUGCAUCUGGAAUGUAUUGGAUCGGGACAGUGUGACUGAUUUCAAUAAGACAAAAGUUGCAAUUUUUAAGGGAGUCGUUUUUUAUUUGACAUAUAUGCAAAAUUACCUUAUUUUUGUGGAUGCAUCGAUAUGUUGGAUUUCUAGUCUGUCAGAAUAAAAGAGUACCUGCAUAUAGAAAAUUUAAAUAAGUGGGUUGUAUCAUAGUUACCAGAAACGCGGUACGAUACGGGGAACGAGGUACGGUACGGGUUUCAAAACAUUGACCGUAUCGGGUACCGGGGGGNGGGGGGGGGGUAGGCUCAUUUCUGUACAAUCCGGUACAGUUUAUUGUAUAGUCCGGUAGAGUGUGCCUAGUUCUAAGACAUUUCAUAAAAUAUAUGUAAUUAUGUAUUCUAUUACUUAAACUUAAUAACAAAAGUACUAAUUAUCAAAACAGGAACAAAAUAAAUACCACAAUUACUUCAUCAUAAUACUUAAUAACAAAAAUAUUAAAAUACUAUAAAGGCAUAAACUAGUUUAUCCGUUGCCUUUUUCCACUUUCAUUCUCCACGCCUUCAUCAUCAAGGUUCUCCCACACCAUUUCUUCUAGACAAGCACUUGAACAUUCAAUGUGAUCACUUUCCGGAUUGAUGUCCCAUUUUUUGUUGGGUCCGACUUUGUAAGAUUCUGAAAACCGAGACAAAAGUCUAAUAUUAGAGUGAAUAUACACAAGUUUAUCCGCUCUUGGGCCAUUUAAACGAUUCCUUUUGAUGCUAUGUAUAUGAGAGUAUGUACUCCAAUUCCUCUCAGCUGAAGAGCUACUAAUCGGUUGCGAGAGGAUUUCUUUUCAUGCCUCCUGGUGCCAACUUUGCAAGAUAAUGCUUGUCAUAAUAUUUAUGAUUUAAAUCAAAUCCUAAACAAUGGAGAGGGAUAGUCAUCUGGUCCCACCUUUCGACCAUAAUUUCAUCAACUUUAGUGUAAUAGAUUGAGAGUUUAUUGUCCCUCAUAGUAAUAGCCUCUUUGAUUUAACCCAUAAUAUUGUCCAUUCAUUCAUAUAUUUCUGCCAUUUUCAGACAUUCACCAUCACAAAACUUUACCAUGUAAAAGAUAGGUUUUGUGACAGCCAAAUUGUGAGCAAUAUCAUCCCAAAAAUCUUCAUCUUUAAUUGUAUCUGCAACCUUAUUAACAAGUACUUGAGUGUGCGGAUCCACCGUGUUGACCAUUCUCGCCACGAGUUUAAGCCAAUAGUAGUAGCAAGUGCUUCCCUACACUCGGUUAGUCUUUUCAACAAUAUGUAAUGUGAUGCAAAUCGUGUUUGUGCAACCUUCAACAAUUGCAAUUUCGAGUUGUCUCUAAAGAAAGCUAAGGCGUGUGUGUGGUUUAAAAAAACGUAACAAUACCCUUCCCUCUGUUAUAUGUAUCGGUCAGCCAGUCAAAUUGCUUCGCCAUGUCUAUAAAAAUCAAAUUUAAAGAAUGUACACAACAAGGGGACCAGAAAAUAUGUUUAUAUACCUUCUGUAUUUCUCGUCCAGCCGCCUUGCAAUUCGCCGCGUUAUUGGUUACAACUUGAGUAACACUACUUGGACCAAUCUCCUCAAUAGCUUGUCGAAGAAACUUAGCAAUCUCCACCCCCAUCUUCUCAAUCCCCGAAAAGGCCUCCGCAUACAUAAAAGUUGCACCACGUGAAUUUUGUGCAAUAACAUUUAUAAGCGGUUCAUUUUUUACAUUAGACCAACCAUCUGAGAUAACGAAUACUCCUUGCGUUAACCACGUGUCUUUGACCGGAUCAAGUUCUUUGCCCACAUCUCUCACAAAUUGAUCAAGCAAUGAAGUUCUAGCUUUUUCAUAUGAAGGUGGCUUGUAACCUUCCGAUGCUUUCUUAAUAGCUUGAAUCAUUUCAAUGAAUUGCGGGUUCCGUAACACAUUAAAGAGAAUCCCAUUAGCACACAAGCCUCGAAGUAUCUUCAUGUCAACCUCCUCUCUCUCGAGCAUCUUAAAUGCAUCUUCAAUCCUUCUUUUUGGAGUUGAGUUUUUUGAGAGCAACGAAUUCUUCAAUAAUUUGGCAGCAACACCAUUCUUUUCCGCUUCUUUCACCCUAUUAUAUAGAACGUCAUAAUACGGGUUACUUUUAACAAGAACCGGACACCUUUUGAUCUCAGUUGUUUUCCCUGCAGGAGGUCAGAAAGUGAACAUGGAUUCUAGUAUAAGAGCUGGUAUAUUUUCCUUUACAGUGGUUACAGGUCCAACGUUUAGAACCUCCACUAUUCUUGUUGUUUCCUAGAACUUCUUUAUAUGUAACUUCUUCAUGGAGUGGUUUUCUUGGAUCUUUCUCAACACUGUUUUUUGGGGCUGUUUGUUGAACCUCAUCAUCAACAUGGAUUGUUGUUUGAUCUUGGGUCUCACUAAUAUGAGUGCUUUCUGUUUCACUGUCAGAAUGAGUUGGCUGAGACUCUGAAAAAUUUUUUCUUCCAAAUUCCAUUCUUCACAAUGGGAUGCACAAUUUAUAGUGGAAAGUGGAAACUAGAAAAUUAGAUAUAACUAAAAUCGAAAUUGAAGACAGAAAGCUGAAAUGGAAAUUGAGUUUGAAUGUCCGAUACAAGAUUACAAGGUCUAUAUAUACUAAUCUCAAAGAUUUGCAAUUAACACUUUUACAAUGUGAAAUUAAAAUUGAGAAGGCUAGGCAUCAAUGAUCGAUCCAUAGUAUCUAGCUGAGUCAACGAUCGGAGAAGUCGAAUAGCCUCUGUGAAACGUGGCUAAACUCCCGCCCAAAUCGCCAUUCAGUCGAUGCAUAAAACCCGAUCGGCAACAACAAAUCGACUUCACGUACGCUCUAUUUUGACUUCAGGGACGUUCGAUUUUGACUCCGGGUACGAUCGAUUUAGACUCCAAGAACGUUAAUUGGUUCGAUUGGGAUCGCUAUUAGGUUCGAUUUGGGUCGCGAUUGGCGUCGACUGUAUCAUUUUCUAGGUACGUUCACAUAUCACGUAUUGGACCGGUUUCCAAUCGUUUGGGUACAGGGUGUUUCGGUACGUGGUACGCCACUACUUCGACGUUUCUGGUGACUAUGGGUUGUAUAUCUCCAUAGGAUCAAACAAGUAAAAUUAAAAUAAAACAUAGCCAAAUUUCAAAACAUGUCAAGUGACUUAAAAGUCAGCCAAAGUGUAAUCAAAUGCAUCCAAGGGUUCGAAUUGGUUGAGUCAAGAAAUUAGAUUAUUAGGGUAAAUACAAGAGAUAGCAACAUACUUUCAUUUUACUUGUGUAUGAUUUCUUCGUAUUAUAGCAUUUUAGUUUCAGGUUUUUUUUCUUAUUAAAGCAGUGCACUUUGAAAAAUCUACCCAAUUAUAGCAGCGAAAAUUGCUUUGUAUAUAGAUGACAUUGCUAUAAUUGGGUUGGUUAUUCAAAGUACAAUACUGUAAUAGAAAAAAAUAAAGGUAUGAUGCUACAAUAUGAAAAUCAAAGAACCAACAUUACUAUUUCUUGCAAAUAACCAUAGAUUUUUAUUGUAAUAAAGAGAUUUUGUAAUCAUAUUCAAGACAUGGAUCAAUUAUAAAGUUAGGAAAAUGAACAAAAAAAACAUUUCCAGUAAACCUAAGGCAUGACACAACUCCCAACUCCCAAAAAAUAAAUCAGAAAAAAGACCGAUAUACCCUCAAUAACUAUACACCAGAUAUGCGACAAGAUAUUAUAAAAGUAUGAAUUGAUAUCAUACCUUGUUUAAAAGCUGCACAUUGGAUGAAUCAGUUGCCACAACAUGUAACCCAAGACAAUUGUGUUGAUCACUACAAAAAGGGCAGAAAGCCGUAUUAAAUACACAUCCAUCUUCUUUACUCCAUAUUCCUUCAUCACCACUUCUUUUCCAAAUUCUCCCAUCAACACAUGAAAGAUCAGACACCACAAUAGCCACACUUGCCCCACCCUUUUCUCUCCCUUUCCAACUUGACACCAAAUGCACUUUAGAUAAUGACAUUGAUGAACAAGGGACAAAAUAGUCAUUUUCCGCAAGACCCAAUGGAGUUUUACAGAGUGAACACGAUAUUUUUAGAUCUUUCUUGGUUUCAUCACCAAGAUUCAUGGUUUCUUUCACUGGAAAUGUGGGUUUGGGUUUGGGGGAAUCAAAUUGGGACAUUUUGACUGAUGCAAAAGCUGAAGACUUUCUUCUUUUGUGAAAAUGGGAAUUGACACUUGAAUCUAGAGGUGAAUUGGUUUGAGGGAUUUGUUGUUUUUUAGGUGUUGGUGUUGUUGUGUUCAUGCAUUCAGAAGCUGAAGUGGAACAAGGGGAAGAAAAGGAACAAGUGGGAAACUUUGAUUGGAUUAUGGUUGACUCAGAGACAGAUUCAAGAGUAGCAGGGUAACUGUUCUUGAUUGGUGUUUCCUUCAGAAUAGGUGGCUCAUGGUCAAGGGCAUUAUCGUCAUUUCUCGGGGUUUCAUGAACAAUGGUUAAGUCGAAAUCGUCAUCAUGAGAUAUAUUCAUUGAUGGUGGCGAUGGAAACCUGCACCCAUCAUAAGACAUACAUCUGUUACCAACUUCUAUUCUCUUUUAGAGUAAUUACAAGAAUGGUCCCUGUGUUAUUCCCAACAUUUCAGAUUCAGUCCAACUUCUAUGAUAAAAUGACUUUUCUACCCUCACAUGUUUCUUUUUAAAGAACAUUGCAUUUUUGGUCCCCAAGUAUAGCUGAUGUUUUUAAUUUUGGUCCCAAAAGGUUGUCAUGCUAAUUUGGUCCUUAUUUAAGAUUUUUGUAACGUUUUUUGUCCCUGUUCCUAGUAAAAUGGCUAUUUUUGGGAUCGAAAUUUCAAAAAUCACACCCAUAGACCAAAAUGGUCACUUAAUUUGGAACCGGGACCAAAAACAUUACACGAAUGUCAAAUAAGGACCAAAAAUGCAAAAGAAAACCUUUUAGUACCAAAAUUGCAAAAAGCAACCAUACUCAAGGAGCAAAAAUGUAAUUUGACUCUUCUUUUUAACUUUUCUAUAAUUUGUUUAUUUUAAACUAUUGUUAGAUGUCAUUUUACAUGGAUCAGUGACAGAUCAGAAACAAAAACCAAUGUUAGGGACCAAUUUGAAACAAAAAAAAAAAACAUUGGACUGAAUAUGCAACAGUGGGUAUAACACAAGGACCAUUCUUGUAACUAACUCUUUUUAUUUCAAUGAUUGAAAGAACAAGACGCGUAGAUAAAAUAACAAGUUUAAAAUACCUGUUUUGUGUCUCCAAAUCACCUUUGGAGUCAGUGUAAGUUAUACCAGUAUUGAUGUCACUCUUUUUCACUCCCCUAAUUGUUUCCUGAGGUCUAGAUUCUGCUUUGAGGGAGGGGCAAUGUAACUUUUUAGAUGUAAUCGGAAACUUUUUUAAUAUUAAUGUGUAACCUCACUAUGAGAAACCUUCAUCAACAAAAAUUAUGAACCCUAAUGAAAAACCAAAAAAAAAAAAAAAAAAUAGAAAAUAAAGAGUGAUACAAAAUGCCUUCAUCAUUUCAACAUCUAUCAUUUCCAUAUUCUCUUUUUCAUAGUCCAUACAGGUCCCAUUGGUUUUCUUGAUUGGUAUUUCCUUCAUACUGGGUGGCUCAUAGUCAAGGGCAUUAUCGUCAUUUCUCAGGCUUUCAUGAACAAUGGUUUAUUUGAAAUCGUCAUGAGAUAUAUUCAUUGAAGGCGACGAUAAAAACCUGCACAGAACAUAAGAAGAUAUAUAUAACCGAAUUUCAUUCUUUUUAUCUCAGAAGUUGAAAACAAAACAGAGCUUUAUGAUCUUUGCUAAUAAAGCAUUUGUAGUUGAGACUCACUUCUUCAAGAAUGAAGUGCUUUUAUACAAAUCAAACAUUAAUACUAGGGGUGUUGAACGGGUAAUUUUUUCGGGUUUCGGGUAAUUCGGGUCGGGUAAUUCGGGUUUUUCAUGUUAGAAAAAUUACCCGUUACCCUACCCAAACUAAAUUCGGGUAAUUCGGGUAUCGGGUCGGGUUUGGGUAAUUCGGGUAUUACCCGAAAUAUAUGAUUUUUUUUUUGAAUUUCACCUAAAAAUAAAUUUAAUGGAAUAAAUACGUCGUGCUUUAUUAGUCUUGUUUAUAUAAACAAACGAGACAUAAACGAAGUUACUCAAGCUUUGAACAUUGAGAUUUUCUACUCAAUAAUACAUGAGAUAUCAAGUAUUUUUGUAACGACUUAAUCUAAUCUAAUAAGAUGUUAAAAAAACAAAUACCUAAAGAUCUUAAUUUAAAAGUUUAAAAUGUUUAAGAUAAACGUAGUCAUAAGUUUUGCCAUGUUUUAAAGUUUCGUCAAGAUAAUGAGUUUGUUAAUUGUAAUAAAAACUAUAAUAUAGAAAACAGUUAAGUUUUAAAGAACGUGAUGAUAUAUAAAAAUUACUUUUAAUAUUGUUAGUGUCGUAUUGUCAUAAUAAAUAUAUUUAUGUUUUAUAAUAAUGAUAUUAGUUUAAGCGUGAUCAAAUACUUGCUAUAUAGUACAAGCUCUAUAAGAAAAAUGAAAUUUUAAAAUAAUUUGGGUAAUUCGGGUAAUUCGGGUAUACCCGAAAUCCAAAAAAUGUACCCUUUACCCGACCCGAAAAAAAUCGGGUAACCCGAUUACCCGGAAAAUUUACCCGAUACCCGAUUUACCCGACCCGAUUUACCCGUUACCCGAAAAAAUCGGGCGGGUAAUUCGGGUAUCGGGUAUUUUCGACAGGGCUAAUUAAUACACUCAACUUACACUAUUUGUAAUGUAGAGGUUGAGCAACAAGAUCAUUUGAAAUGUGAGGUUGCUGCCAGGACUUGGUUUGAGAUUUUUAAAUGGUUGGAGAUUUCACAAAUUCCUUUUGAUUCCGUUCCUGAUUUGUUUAUGUUGGUGGAUCAGUUGCCUAUCGCUUCGAAAAAGAAAGUUGUCUUGGAUACUGUGGUCUGAAUUUCUAUUUGGUAUAUCUGGAGGUUCAGAAAUAAAAAAGUGUUUGUUUGAGGAAAGAUAAGGCGGAGUGAGAUUGUGGACUCUAUUAUCCAAUUUUCUUAUCUUUGGUAUAAUAACAGGAACAGCAAAUGUAUCAUAGAUAGGAUAAAUUGCCAGUGAGGCUAUUUCAGAAAAAAAUGAAAAAUACACUCAACUUACAAGAGGUGCCAUUGAAGAAUUUUAUCAAACACUUGGUGUUCAUAAAAAUAAAGAACACAGAUCUGUUGAAUUAAGGGCAGUUUUAGGUUAUUCAUUCUUUUUCUUUUCUUUCUUGUCCAGUAUGUGCUAAGAGAGUUUCAUCUAUGUAUUACCAUUCUAUGCACCUUCAACCCCUGAAUUUAUGCAUUAUUUAAAAUAAUUGAAUAUGUACAAACCAACCAAAAAAAAACUUGUGUAAUUAUUGCUAAGUUAGUCACAUCUUAAUCAAAUAGAAGAAAUGGACACAUCAUACAUGAGAUUACAUGAAACUAGAAAUUCAAUAAUUCGAAUUGAAAUUUUAAGCAAGCAACUCUGAUUACAAGUCAAUUCAAUGAUCAGAUAAUUAAGGUAGAGAAACAUGUACAUGAUUAGGAAGAAGGAAACAAGUGUAGGAUGUAAUCAUACCUAUGCUAUUUAGCUGACUUCAAAAUGAGCCAAACUGGACGUGUGAAUUCAAAUGUUCCUCUAGAACUGCCAUCCCUGUAGGAGAUUACAAAAAAGUGGUAAAUUAGAGAGUAAUGUAAAGUUUUUGUUGGAAAAAACAUUAGUCUGUUAAUAAUAACCAAAGGUGACACCACAUACCUCUUGUUGAUAGGUCUUUAUAAAAGAGUUGGGUUCUUCUGUUACAUGACAAAAUCCAAAAGUUGUAUCUAUUAACUUUAGCUCCGGAGUAGUUGAUUGCCCAUUUGUGAAUACUGUUAUUUUUGGACAAUAUUUGAUUUCCAAAGUAUCUAAUGAUGGCCAUUCAAAAGCCUCCUUCCCCAGGCAAAAUCCCUUGAGAUUUGGAAGCUUUUCAAGUGUUAUGGAUUUCAGACAAGGGAACACAACCUCAGUAGUAGUCAGUCUGGUUUCGGAAUCUUCAACUUGCUUCACAAUCACAUCCAUACUCUCGCAGUCACUUAUUUUUAGCUCUUGGAGCUGGAAUAGACUACCAACCAUGCAACUACUGAAAACGUGUCCAAGAAGCUUACAACUUACAAUUGAGACCUUUGUAAGGUUUGGAAAGUUCAACACUAUCCACCGAUUGCUCUUCCACACAUGCUUCAGAGUAUUUAUUCCACCCAAAGUCACCUCUUUCAGCUUCUCAAAUACCACAACAGAUUGCAUUCCAAUAUCCACAUCUUCAUUUGUCCCUUCUGCUACUUCAAAUACUUCCUCUAUUUUAGAUUCACCAUACUUCCUGGUAAUAGAAAGCUUUUCAAGAUUCUUCAAAUUAAGCAACUCCUUGCAUGGAAAAAUUAUGCGGCUUUCCAACAAUUUGUCAAUCCAUUGUGCAUCUACUUCAACUAAAUUUGAAAGAGACCACGGGAACUGAAGUAGCUUUAUCAAAUCUGGAGUAGAGCACAUAGGGAGUUGAGUCUGCUAAGAAAAAUCAAACAUAGAUAGAUCAUCACAAACACGACAAUUACUAAAGAAAAAUACAUUUAAUAUUACAAACAUAAUAAGGAUUGCAAGUUAUGUUAUUCUUCAAUGAGCCAACAUGUAUUUUCAAUCAACAACCUAGUUUAUGACACUGCUUACAUUAUAUUUUGUGAAGAUGAGCAUCAUGAAGAAAAUUUCUGCAUUAUAUAUUGCAUUUGCUCAAACAAUUUAGAUUGUUAUCGAUGAUUGUUGAGUCUUUUUAAAUAAAAGUAAAAAUUAUAGUUUGUGGGUGAGUGGGUAGGGAGGAUAAAAUAAAAAGUAAAAGUUAAGUGUUUUGGCUACUUCAAAAAGGGUAAUUUUUCAUGUACUGAAUAUUUACAUCCAAUUUUUUUAGGAAAAAAGAUAAUUAUGUUAUUGUAUUUUUUAUUGCAUUGUCAAAUACAACAAAUGAUAUAUGGAUGAUAUGCUUACACUUUUACAAUCAUCUCAGCUAUACUAUUUUCGUCAAUUUUAGGUAAUAAACGCUAAAAAAAAAUGUUUACCUUGUAAAAGAUGAGAGAGAAAAGAAGAACUUGAUUAAGUAACAACUAGCAUCACAAUAUUUAUAAAAUAUGUUAGAUAAUUGAAUUAAAUUGGAUGAAAACGAUAUAAAUGAUUUAAUUACAAUAUAUACUUCCAUACAAAAAUCUAUUUGUUAACAGAUAUGAGUGAAAAUAUGUAUAAUAAGGCAAUGCUUUAAUUUCCAUCUAUUUUGUGUUUUCUUUUCUUAACCGAAUGAAGAUGUUAGUUCUAAGUUCCUAAUUAAUGAUAUAUGACAAGUACCAAACGAUCACAUUCUAUGAAAUUUACAAAUGAUUUGAAUAAGAAUGAACUUGCCAAGUAUCAUUUGUAAUACACAAGAAAAUAAUUUUUUAUUUUCAUAUAUUUGAUAUAAAUUCUUAAGUCUUGUAUUUUUAAGGAACGUAACUAUUAUGUGAAUUUUAGAAGCACUUUUUCUUAGGUGCUUAUUUUGUUAUUCCUUUAAUUGAAUACUUGCCCAAACUCAGAGCCACUAGUUAGAUUGUUUGUUUUUCUACAAAGCGAUCAAUUUUUUGUCAAAUUAAAAUACGUUUUAGCGAAAACUGCAAAUUUGGUCCCUGUAUUUGUUGAUUUUUGUGGUUACAAUGGGGACAGUGUAAUAAAGAAGGGGUUGUUGAUCUGAUUCUGAUCAAACGGAAACUAGUAUUGUAUAUGUUCAGAAAUCUUUGGACAUGGAAAAAACCACCCUCAAUGAAUGCGUCAAUUGGGCUUUUUGUCUUUACUUCAUCUAACUUGAUUAAAAUAAUAAAUUGCUAACUUAUGAAUUAGUGAAUAUAACAUCUUUUAUAACAUAAGAGACAACUUAAUAUCUUAGGAAUGAAAUAUUAACUUAUAAUAAAAAAAUAAAAUUGCAUAUUUUCGUAACUUUUUAUAGAUACAAAAAAUGGGAAGUGGUUAUAUAUGUAUCUUCAUUUGGUUUUGUUUGUGUUUCCUUCCGGAAUACACAUAUGAACCGACUAAAUUAGUAAGCAAAUAAUAUGUUGAACAUCAUAAAACGACAUCCUGAUCACCUGGUUAAAUGAUGAAGUAAGGUAACAACAUACCUCAUGUGUAGCAUUGGUCAAAUGGAAGUUGAGGCCAUAUUGAUCAAGACUAUGCUUGCCUAAUUCUGUAUGUAUGUAAUUGAGCUUCGGAGUCAUGGAGUGACCAGAUGUGAAAUUCAUCAUUUGUGGGCAGCCAUAAAUCUUAACCUUUUCCAAUGCUUUCCACUUGAACUCAUUCUUCCCCAAGAAGAAACCCUUGAGAUCUGGUAAAUCUGCAAGUGUAAGGGACUUGAGACGAGGGAAGAAACCCUUGAGUUCUGGUAAAUCUCCGUCUUCCUUCACAAUCACUUUCACUGCCUUGCAUUGUUUUACAGUCAGUUUUUUGAGUUGCUUGAGGCUUUCAAGUGUGGAACUUGUGAUUAUAUAUUCCAAUACUUCACAUCUUUCUAUUUCCAAUAUCGUUAGGUUGGGCAAUUGAAGCAGAGUCAUAUUGGCCGACCUUGGGAUGGUGAUUGCAGUACAAGUAUCAUCACUUCCAUCACCAACAUUCGUAGUACUAUCAACACCAUCUUUUUUUAUUUCUUUACUUUCAAAUAUCUCCACCAUUGACUUACAUUCUUCUAUUCUCAACUCUUCAAGC
rnacentral:lncRNA from 1 species